UACGACAGAAAACUUUGGAUCUUCCUCUUCAAUUAGGAUAAAAUCCAACAAAAACUUGAAGAGAUGGAAACUCGACUUCAAAUGGGCAAAGCUAUGAUGAGUCAAUGAGAAAGGUUUGCCCCGGCAAAGAAUUUUCAUUGCAUCGUUCAUAAUGUUAAUCUUGAACAUACUACAAAUUUCUGACAUCGUGCUGUUGUGCAAAUUUCAUUAUCAGCGCUUACCCCGGGCAUAUCCUGGUACGGUCAUACAAAGACAUCUUUGAACUCUAGAGGUAACUCAACAAGGUCUUGUUUCGCUUUUUUGGCUAUGCAUGUUCUUGUUUUACUACUUUUCCCUCUUUCAAGGUCACAAUCUCCAUUGUCUCCUCUUGAGGCAAAAUUUUCCUUCCUACUCUAUCAUCCUCAACAAGUCCGAUGAUAGGCCACAAUAUAUGACAUUUUCAAAGUCAUAAAAUCCCUCUAAACACAUGUCUCACUCAAGAGGAGGUUUUGAGUCUGUAGCAGCGUCAUUCAUGUCAUUAAUAUCUAGGGACCAUUUGUAGAUACAAAAGAAUAUACAAAGAAUAUAUGAAUUUACGAAUAACUACUUGUACAAUAUGAUUAUGAAUGAAUGAAUGAUUUGGAAGAAAAUCCAAAAGAAUCAAAGAAUCUAGAAUUAUUUGUAAUGAAUGAAAAUAUUAGCUCAAAAAUAAUCGCAAAGAUGUAUUUCAUUAAAAUAAUAACGUUCAAACAUGAGCCUAUUUCACAAAUAAGUUCUCAUUGCUUCUAGACUAAAAGCAACAAGUGUGUUCUGAAUAUUAUUCUAAAUAAGCUCUAAAUACUAUAGGGAUUUCUUUUGCAGUACAAUUGCUUAAAACACUCCUAGGGUUAUAAGGGCGGAUAUCUAACAAGGUCCCUUCUUAAGUUGCUUUUUCAUAAAUAACAUCGAUGCGAACAUUUCCCACCUUUUUCAUACAUUGCAUUCACUCCAUUAUAAAUUAUGAUUGGGUAGUGGAUUUUCUGUACUAGAUGAGUCAUCAAAUUUGACAUCUCCCAUACUGAUAAGCCUUUCAAUUACUUUUUUAAAAGCAAUGCAAUUUUCUAUGGAAUGCCCCGUAAUUCCCGCAUGAUAAUCGUAUUAUGCAUUCAUGUCGUACCAUUUGGGGUACGAAAGCUGUGGGGGUUUUGAGUAGAAAUAAGUAACAAUGUACGCAUCGAAUAAGCUCUGAUACAGCUCCUUAUACGCCAUCAGAAUUGGUGUGAACUGGAGCUUUUCAGUGCCUUGUUUCACACCAAAUUCUUAUCUUGAUGAACCUUGUUGACUAGCAAUCACCUUUCUUGGCUGAUUCAUUGUAAUCGAUUUGUUGUAUGUGUUCACAUUGUUCACAUUGUUUUCCUUCUUCUUUGAGGCCGACCAUUUAUUAUUCUCCCUACCAUCAAUCUUUCCACUUCUUACGGCACUUUCAAUCAUUUCACCAUUCAUGACUAUGUCAAAAAAGCUUUUUGUAGCGCUUCCUAACAUAUGUGUGAUGAAUGGGGCUUUCAAUAUAUUGAUAAAGAGCAUUGUAGUUUCUUUUUCUAGGAGCGGCUGCUGAACUUGGAUAGUGACUAUAGGAUCGUCGGCACCCCUACGGCGCAGCGGAAAAAUUUAAUAAAUCGGCGACCCUAACCUCGGAUCCAUGUAUGAGGAACGAAUCGGGGUGAAAAGGUUGCGAAAUUACUAAUAUUUAUUCUAAGUAGACAGCAACUUCUCAACAACGUGUAGUCUGAUCUACAGUCGAACCAAGUCGCAAUCUAUCGAGACUCCGACCUCUACGUAAUCCACCCAGUUGACUACAAACGGAAGAAAUCCCCCAAACAGUUUUUAGUUUUAUUUUUCUUUGACUACUGCUAGACCUAAAAACAAAGAAAAAUGGGAUUCUUAUAUAUCCUUUUAUUUUAGGGUUUUUAGGAAUUAAAUAAAUAUAUUAAUAGUUUAAACCAAAAAUUAUAAUUACAUUAAUUAUAAUAUAAUUUCGGUAAACCAUAUAUAUUUAUUUAAAUUCAUAUGCUAACCAAAUUCAUGUCCUCAUUAUGCGUACAACAAACUUGUACAUAAUGUGUUGGAAAUUUGAUUACCGAAUUAAAGUAAUUCUAUAAUUAAUUUAAUUCAAGCGACACCCAAAACCAAUAUCAACUAUGGUUUAUUCCGUUCAUUUCAACUAUAGGGUGUGACCCUGUAGGUUCCUGUAAUGUUAGCAGUAAUACUAGAACAAUUCCAAUGUUACAAACAAUGAGUGGCAUCUAGCAAUGCAUCAUUGCUACCUAAGUCACAAGAGAUCAUGAUUCGACAUAACAUUUUUUAAUGAUUAACAUUUUAUGCAAUAAUCCUUAAGUCCUUUAUCUCUGGAUUGGACACAAGUCAUGGAAUAGUCACACUUGUAUAGUCCAUUCCAUGUUCCUUGAUAUCUUAAGUAGACUACGAUAUACAAAUAAGUAUGACAUCUCAUAUCAACUUAUUUGAGCAUGGCCAUGCAUUUCUAUUCUCACUUAAUCAAGUGGCCUAAGAUAUUACUCCCAUUAUGUAGGAGGGACUUCUUCUGUAUCGACCAACCAUAUCCCUCUACAUUGAUUAUGGUAUAUCCAACAUCAGCCUUUAUAGAACAACCAGUUACGGUGUACAUUUGAUUGUAUCAAAAUAUACUACUCACGAUGUUGGGAUUAUGAUGAUCUCAAGUCUGAGGAUCAUAUACAUAUUAAUCACUAUGAGUAAUGUCGUGACAAUUACAUAAUAAUCCAAGAAACAUACUCAUAAUGGGUCAGUCCAAUAUGUUGUUCUCUAACACACAUAUUCAUGCAUCGAUUCUGACAUUCCAUAUCAAUGACAACUCUUUAUCAUCAAUCAACUACAUGUUAGUCUUAAUGCAUUAUCGUUGUCCUAUCCAACAAUAAUAAUUGACUAAGGAUCUUUUAAGAAUAAUCAUAUUAUUCUUAGGACAUUAUUAUAAAACAGUUUAUUUAUACACACAGAAAAGAAACUGAAAUAAUAAUGGUAACGCCUUAUAUUAAUAAACAUGAUCAAUCAAGUAUGUUAUUACAACCAUCUCAUGAUUGAUCUUUGGGCAUACUCUAACAGCGACUUCCCUCCAUCUUUGUGCGUAUUGCCUAAAACUCUCUCUCAGUUUCUUCUCCAUGUUUUGUAACAUAAUUCUAUCAGGGGUCAUAUUUGUUACAUGACUGUACUGUUUCAUGAAUGCCUGUGCUAGGUCCCUUCAUGAACCAAUCUCGAUACAACUCAAUUGAUUGUACCAUUUAGAUGCCGCCCCUACCAAACUGUCUUGGAAACAAUGUAUUAGCAGUUAAUCAUUGUUGACGUAGCCAGUCAUCCUUCUGCAGAACAUGGUGAUGUGAGCCUUAGGGUAACUAGUUCCAUCGUAUUUUUCGAAUUCAGGCAUUUUGAACUUGUGAGGAAGUACUAAGUCUAGAACCAAGCUCAAAUCUUUAGCGUCGAUUCUAUGAUGACUAUCAAUACUUUCCAAGGCUUUAAAUUUUUCCUCCAACCAUUUACAUCUAUCCUCCCACUAUUUUGGCAGUUCCACAUUUGCCUUCUCCUCUUCAGCUACUUUAUCAAAAUGAGGAAUAAUAGGAUUAAUCGGGUUAUCUCUCGGGCUUAAACUUGAUCCACCUUGGAAAUUCAUGGGCAUCGGGGCAUCAGAUUAGAGUUGUUGAGGCCUAAUUGUGACAGGUGGUCUCUUUGGGUACAUUUCAGCUCGAGUUUGUGCAUUUGGUGGAGUAAAACCCGGAGGAUAUAACGAAUCCUCAUUAUUUUCUGCGGGAUUGGCCAUAGGGCCCUUUCCCUUAUUUACUCCUCCCGCCAGUAGUUGGGUCAAUUGAACCAUCGUAUCUCUUUGAGAUUCCAUCAGUUUUUCUAUCAUGUUUUCUUGGAUUUUAUCUAGCCGCUCUUGCAUUUGCACUUGUAACUGUUUUUGCAUAUCCUUUUAAAGCCACUCAAGCUUUUCCAAUCUUUGAUCCGUGUUUCUUAACUUUGUAUUGGUACCGUAAGGGUGUUUGGUUGGUUGGUUUUCUAGAUUAGCUGAAAUAAAUUUACUCAAUUAGACUCUUUUAGUGGAUUUUAAUGCAUAUGAUGUCAUGUAAUGCAAAUGCAUGAAAUGAAUGGCUAAAUAGACGUUGGUUCUGAUUGAAUUACAUUUAGAGACCUUUGCUAGAAGAUAAAUUUCUUUACAUAAAGCGGAUAUAUAUACGACUUUGCCCUCAUACCCCAGGCAAAGACAUCUUCUCUUUCCUCAUCUGGAUGGUAAGAUAAACCUUGCGAAUUCUUCAAAAUGGGUGUCUCCUUUAUCUCCUUCUUGCUUGAUCCUAGUUGAGAUCCAUCAUCUGCCUAUCCUCGUGAUGCUCAUCAGCUUCUUUAAGGAAGUUGGAAUGUCGAAGGCUCUCGGAUGAUCAGCUUGAAUCCUCGAGCCAUGAAGUAAAGUCAGGCAUUCCUUCAUUACCCUUCUUGUAUUUCCCGAAAUAUAUUUAGGCAGCCAUAUUAUCUUCCACUUUAUCAAGAAAUUCAUUUUCCAUGACAAGCUCUCUAAUUUAGUAAUCAAACUUGAAUCCACACCUCUUUCCUAAGAUGCAAAUGCAAUAAAAACAAAACAGAAAUGAGUUAGUACAAAGUAAAAGCAAACAAGAGAAUAAAAUAGAGUGCCUAAUCGGGUGACCUCUAGGGGUUUGGCAUAGUUCUAUCUAGGGCUAGUUCCUAAGGUUCACUAUAUGUGGUUUGGCUUCUAGAGAAAAGGUAACUAAACCAUCAGAUUCCUCAAUCCUCACCCAUUAUAGGCUCAUACGGACUGAGUUUAGUUCAGGGGAAUACAUUUCCCUAUGGCUGCACGGAGAUGAAAAUCUCACGAAGACAUAGGUACGGAUAUAUUCCGAAAGUGAUCCACUAUCCUGCACGGAGGUGAAACCUCACGAAGGAGUAGUUUCUCACUUUCACUUAAAAGGUAAGACUAAACAGUCUUUAUGCAAUAUGAUGCCAAAAUAUAGAACUUAAUCCAUAGUAAUCAAUCACAAACAAAUGCAAUGAGAGGAUCGUAAUUUUUCAAAUCAAAUUUUAAAUUUCCAAUAAUAAGACAAAAAACAAUCAAUUUUACAGCUUGACUCUCUAAGGUCCCCAGCUGAGUCGCCAAGCUGUCGAAACCAUUUUUUAGAAAUCAAAAAAUUUGGUUGUCGACUUAUUAAAAAUGAAAAUUGGAGUCACCACCGAUCUUUUAAUGAGGUGUGAUCGGAUCACCUUGAAAACGAUUUUAGGUCUACGAACUUUGAAAAAAUAGGUUUUGGAGUCGGUUACGCACGAGGAAGGGUUAGAACCCUCGUAACGCCCAAAAUUGGUACCGAAUUGAUUGUUUAAUGUCUUAGUGUCGAGAAUUUGAAAAGAUUUUAAAAUAAAAUCAUUUGAAAAGAAAAUUUGAAUAAAAUGAAUUGGAUGAUGAGACUCACUUAUUUCAAAGAAAUAAAUUGUCACACUCAGUAAGUUAGAGUGCAACAUUUUAAAUCCUCAAAAUUAAGUUUAUCUUUUGAAUUUUAAAACCUAUGCAUUUGAGAAGGAUAUCUGAUUAUUUGGAUCAAAUAAAAAAAAUCAAAACCCAGUAAGUUAGGGUUCGAUUUCACAAAAUUCCUAAAUACUAAAUAUUGCCUUUGUUUUUAUUUAGAAAAAUCCUCGUCUCGAGAAAACAACAUGUCAUAUCCAAAGCGUUAGGACACGACGUAUCGAAUUCCCGAGAACGAGCUUUUUAUUUAUGUGUUUUGAUUAAAGAAUAAUCUCGAUUAUUUAGACUCAACAAGGAAAAUUGGAACCCAAUACGUUAGGGCUCAAUUCUUUCAAAGAUCCCAAAUACUGAACAUUAUGUUAUCUUGAAAGUUUUGAAUGAAAUGAUUUUGAUAUUUAAACGAUAUUAGAGGUAACCUUUUAAACAAAUAAAGUGUGAUGGAUUGAUAAAGGAUGAUGCAAAAUAAUAAUUUGUAAGUCACAAUGUAUACUAAUAAAUGAUAGAUAAUGAAAUAAUAUGGACAAGCAACACAAUAUGCAUAAUAGCAAUUGUCUCACAUAAUAUAUCCUUGCCAAUAUUAACAAAUAAAAGCUAAAUGAAUUGGAAAAUUAAUAUCGAAUGAAACAUCAUGCAAACUAAUACAAAAAACAUAACGAAGAAAAGAAUUGAGAAUUGUAUGAAUAAAAGAAUUUAAAUAAAAGGCACGAAGAUUUGAAAUAUAGAAAUAUCAAUAAAAGUAAGUAAUAUGUAAAUGAAUUUUAAAGUGUAAGUGGUAUAAAAUGAAAAUCAAAUAAAUGGUAUAUACAUAUUAAAUAAGUAAUACAUAUAAAAUGACAAUUUAAUAUGACAAAUAAUGUAUACACAUAAUAAUAUGUAUGAAAGUAUUUUAAGAAUAUUAUCAUAUAAAUUUUUAAAGUUUAGAAGUAAAUAAAAAUGAAUUUUAGAAAUAAAUAUAUUACAAAGUAAUAUUUAAAAGGUUGUGCUCAAAUUAUUAAAUUUAUAUAUAUAAUAUAAAAUAACACAUAAUGAACUUAAAAAAUAUAUGAAAAAAAAACUUAGAAGCAAAUAUAUGAUAAAUUGAAGCAAUAUUAAGGAAUAACAAUACAUUAGAAUAAUAUUGAUGAUAAAUUUAAAAGUAAUAUUAAGCUUAGAAAAAUAAUAUUAGAUUUAAUAUUAAAUAAAAAAGGGUCGGAAUAUAUAUAUAUUUAGAUAAAUUUAAAAAAACAUUAAGCUAAAUUAAAUAAGACUAAACUGAAUUCAAAACAAAAUUAGGAAGAAAAAAAAUGAACUAGAACAAAAUAAUGGGCCAAUAUAUAAUGCGCAAAUGACAUGGAGGACUAAUCAGAAAUAUUUCCCGCCCUCUCAAAACGCAGCGUUACAUUGGAUUAAAAUGAAUCAAAAAUAAAAUAAGAGAUUAAUUUUUUAAAGAAUAAAAGGACUGGAUUUAAGUGCGCUAGAAAUGCAGAAGGACCGCGUGCGCAAAUAACCCAUCUUUAUGAAACACGCAGAUCCUCCUCGGGUCGGGUCAACACAUGGAUCGACGGCUACUAAACAAUGUCAUUUUAAGGCCACUGAAGCAGGCCUUAAAUGACGUCAUUUUUUGCUCUAUAAAAUCUACCAUGAUAGCCGCAACAACACCCUCGGCUCUCUUCGUCGUUUCGAACCUCCUCCAACUCCGAUUUCACCGGAGUGAACAAGGAUUCCGACGUCGCACAAGGGUAAGAUCUUCUCUCUUCCUCUCUUUUGGUUUUUGGUAAAGUAGUAAAAACGAUUUGAAAAGCCUCAGAAAAUGAAAUCUGUGCUUACUCUUUUUAAAAAUCGGAUCUAUUAUUUUUUUUUUGUUCAUAAUAGAAAUCAAUCAAAGUAACAAAAGAAGAAAAAAAGUGGAAAUCGGAGAAUCACCUUCGUUUUUGUUUCUGUAUUUUCCUUAUAAUAUCUUCGUAAAAAAAAUACAGGGUUCGAAUCUUGGCUUAUAUAGCCGAAAAUACAGAAUAAAAUAAAAAGAAAAAACUACAAAGUCCUAUUUUCUGUUAUUCAUUUUCGCUAUUUUUGUUUCUUUCUGUUUCGCUGUGUGGGUGGUUUUCUGCAGGUGUACAAAGGCCGUACGGUGACGUGGAAGGUGGUGCUGGAAGCUGUUGGGCGCACGGCGGCUAGGGUAGAUAGCGUUUUAGGGUUUCUUUUUUUGUUGUAAUCGGGUUUGGGUUAGGCUAAUUUGGUCUGGGGUUGGCUGAUGGGUCUGAUAUAAUUUUGGGCUUUUAAUUUUUGUUUUAAAUUAUUCGGUUUAUUAUUUCUGGCUUGGGCCCCAUUCAAAAUGGGCCGUUUACACAUAUCAUUAUAACCAAAACCAAGACAUCCAAGAUUAUCGAUAGAAUUAAUGGACAGUGUGAUAAACAUUCAUACAUCCAUUCAAUACAUUAUUCCCUUUUUUAUCUAAUAUAUCAAUGUUUCAUCAAUUUUCGUACAAUGAACAUUCAAAUCAUAUUCACACCGAUAACAUACAUUCCAAGCAUUUAAGAAUAUAAUUCAAGUUACACGAACUUACCAUACUAAAUUGCAGAAGUAAAAAAAUUCAAGGACAUUUUGGUAAUUUUCUAUUUUCCUCAAAUUUCCACCCAAUCUUGAUCUAAAUUAAUAUUUCAUUCAAUUUAUUAAUUUAAAUAAUAAAACAAUUCAUUUCAUGCAAUUUGGUCACUUUUUGACAUUUUUUACCAAUUUACCCUUAAAAUAUUACUUUUAUUCAAUUUAGUCCUUAAACCUAAAACAUGCAAAUUGACCAUUUUUAGUGAAAACUCAGGCUAGUUGAAUAAUCAUAUAUUUUCCUCCUCCUCCUCUCUAUUCCACAUCCUUAAUGUAUACAACAAGCUUAUAAGUAACAUUAUCUAUAAUUUCACCAUUUAUUUAUGUAUUCAUUCAAAGCUGUCCACUUGAGUCAUAGUCACUAAAUUAUUUAUAUCUUGAGCUACAGAACUCCAAAUUGGGAUCUGUUAAUUUUCUCUGAAACUAGACUCACAUAUCUUCUUACCAUAAAAUUUUUAGAAUUUUUAGUUCAGCCAAUAAGUACAAUUUAUUCUUUAAAGUCACCCCUAUUCUGUUGUCUAACAAUUUUGACCCUUCUUCACUAAAAAUUAAUUAUCUCCUCUUACAGAAUUCAGAUGACGUUCCCGUUAAUACAUAUAAAUUUAAGACCCUAAUAAUUUUUCUCUAAUUUUUGAUGAUUUUCCAAUGUCAGAAUAGGGGAACCCAAAAUCAUUCUGACCUUAUCUCACCAAAUUUAUUAUAACUCAUGAUUUACAAUUCCAUUACUUACACCGUUUCUUUUAUGAGAAACUAGACUCAAUAAGCUUUAAUUUCAUAUUUUAUUCAUACUUUAAUUUUAUUUCCAUAAUUUAUGGUGAUUUUUCAAAGUUAACCUAUUGCUACUGUCCAAAACUAUUUUAGUGCAAGAUGUUGAUUACUAAGUUUAUAACUUCCUUAUUCCCUUUCUCUAUAACAUUUCCCAUCACUUUCACUUAUUUCUUUUCACUAAUAUAUCAAGAACACAAGACUUUAUAUAAGAAAACUCUACUAUAACAUCUUUUCCAUGCUUUUUCAAUAAUAUCAAACUUAAAAAAUAUUGAAAUCUCAAUGUUCUUACCUUGUCCUAUUGGUUUCAACCUUUAACUUGAUUUUUUUCUCUCCUCUAGCUUCUAUUUCUUGAAUCCAACUUGAUAUUCUAGCUCCCCAUAGUCUUUUUUGUUAUCUUUCUCUUUUAAUGGCUAUGGAAAUUCCUUUGAUUUCUAAGUGAAAAAUGGUGAAUUUUUGGUGAAAGGACCAAAAUUGUAAAGAAAGCAAAACUUUCUUUCUUCUCUUCUCUUCUAACAUGAAAUGCAUGGAAAAGAUGAUGAUUUCUCAUCAUCUUUCCUCCCUUUUAUAUUAAUCAUUUAAUAAUAAAAUAAUACUAAAAAUCUUAAUAAAAUAUUAAUUAAAUAAAAUUUAUCUAAUUAAUUAAUUAAAAAUAUCACAAACAUCAUCAUUACCUUCUAGAAUUCUCUCUCUUUCUAAUUGACAAUUUUGCCCUUCAUAAUCUUUUGAAUUUCAAUCCUUGAGUCAUCACUUAAUUUGGUAAAAUUACAAUUUAGUCCCUUAAAAUUCUUCACAUUUCCAAUUUUGUCCUAAUUCAUCUAUUUUCCUUAGUUUCUAGAUUAUUCCCCCUUAAAAUAUUUACAAUAUUGACCCUUCAACUUUUUCGUAUUUACAUUUUAACCCCUCAAAUUUUGAGUAUUUACUCUUGGGCCACAAAACUUUUCUCACUUUUGCGAUUUAAUCCUUUCUUGAAUUAAUAUGUCAUAAUAUACUUCUCAAUGUUGACGUAACUCAAAAUUACCAUUUUUAUCACUUUAUUUCCUUAUUUUACUAUAUCAGGAAUAUUAUCUUACUUUCUUACUGUAGUAAUUUUCAGGGUAUUACAUUAUAUAUCUCAGUCAUCUUCCCAAUAAUCAUCUUAAUGUUUUUGUUGGCCGCUACUACUGCUCUGUUCAUUUUUGGGAGAUAGGGUGAGGAAUUAUGAUGCUUUAUCUGAAACUGCUCACACACUUCUUUCAUCAUCUUGUUGUUCAAAUUCAAAGUAUUAUCUGAAAUAAUUCUCUCAGACACACCAUAUCGACAUAUGAUUUCCUUUUUUAGGAAACUGCAAACUGCAAUUUUUGUCACCUUGGCAAACAAAGUAGCUUCUACCCAUUUUGUGAAGUAGUCUAGAACCACAAAGGUGAAUCGGUGUCCAUUAGAAGCCUUCGGAGAAAUUUGCCCUAUAACAUCCAUGCUCCGCAUAGAAAAAGGCCAUGGAGAAGUCAUGACAUGAAGGGGCAAAGGAACUGCAUGAAUUUUAUCGCUGUAAAUUUGACACUUGUGACACUUUCGUGCAUAAUUGAUGUAAUACCUUUCCAUCGUCAGCCAAAAAUAACCAAGUCUCAUAAUCAACCUAGCCAUAGUGAAACCAUUGGCAUGCAUUCCACAAAUUCCUUCGUGGACAUCUUUAAGUAUUCUUCUGGCUUCAACAGCGUCCAUGCAUCUUAGGAGCAUUUGAUCAUUUCCUCUUUUGUAUAGAAUACCCCCGUCAAGAAUAAAUCCAACUGCCAUUCUCUUGAUUAUUCCUUUGUCAUUCUUGUUUGUUUGCUCGGGAUACAUUUAAUUCUUUAUAUACUCUAAAAUAUCAUGGAACCAUGGUCGUCCAUCUGACUCUUUCUCAAUGCUAAAACAAUAUGCAGGGACUUCAUAUAUGCUCAUUUGAAGAGGUAUUAUUUCAGUUUCCCUGUUUGCUUUGAACAUUGAAGCCAAAGUGGCCAGGGCUUCAAUCAACUGGUUUUCUUCUCAUGAGAGGUAGUUAAAAGUCACUUCUUUAAAUUCUUUGACUACUUCUACGACGAGAUUGCAAUACUUAACUAAUUUCAAAUCCCUCACUUCCCAAUCUCCAUGGAUUUGAUAAAUCACUAAUGCUGAGUCCCCACACACCUCUAGAAUUUUGAUUUUUCAUUCAAUAGUUGCACGAAGUCUCAUGAUGCAAGCCUCAUAUUCCUCUAUAUUAUUGGUACAGAAGAAAUUUAGUCUGGCAGUAAGCGGGUAAUGGUUCCCUUCUGGUGACACUAGGACUACUCUUAUCUUAUUCCCUAAUGCAUUUGAUGCACCAUCGAAGCUUAACUUCCAUGAUUGAUCUUUUGAUGGCUCACCCUCUUUUUCAGAAAUACACAAAAAGUCAUCAAGUCUUUGUUUGAAAAAUUGAUCUCAAAGGCUUGUAUUCUUCCAUUGCUCGACUUUUUAAGAAGUUUGCUAUUGCGCUUCCUUUUAUCAACUUUUGACUCACAUACGUGAUGUCAUACUUAGACAAUAGGAUCUGCCAUCGUGCUAUUCUUCCUGAGAGUGAGGGUGAUUCCAUCAUGUAAUUUAUUGGGUUUAGCUUUGAGAUUAACCAUGUCGUAUGAUACAACGUGUAUUGUCUGAGCUUUGGAACUACACAGACCAAUGCACAAUAGAAAUUUUCAAUUGACGGAUACUUUGCCUCAUACUCUAUGAAGUUUUUACGUAGGUAGUAAAUCAUCUUUUCUCUUUUCCCUGACUUAUCAUGUUGCCCCAGUACGCAACCCAUUGAGUUUUCAAACACAGUCAAAUACAAUAUUAAGGGUUUUCCAGGGGUCGGCAGUACUAGUAUCGGAGGAUUAGACAAAUACUGUUUUAUCUUGUCGAAGGCCACAUGACAGUCCUCGUCCCAUUCUCCUAGAUUAUGUUUUCGAAGGAGUCGAAAAAUUAGAUCACAUUGGUUGGUAAGUUGAGCAUGAAUCAAGUAAUGUAAUUCAACAUUCCUAAAAAUCAUCUGACUUCUUUUUGCGUGCGCGGAGGUGGCAGUUCUUGUAUGGAUUUUAUCUUAUCUGGAUCAACCUUAAUACUUCUUUCGCUGACAAUAAAACUUAGCAAUUUUCCCGAGGUAGCCCCAAAUGUAAACUUGGCUGGGUUAAGCUUCAAUUGGAACUUUCUUAAUCUUUCGAACAGCUUCCUGAGGUUUCCAACAUGCUCUUUUUCUUCCUGGGAUUUGGCAAUCAUAUCAUCAACAUAAACUUCUAUUUCUUUGUGCAUCAUGUCAUGGAACAACAUCACCAUGGCUCUCUGAUAUGUUGCCCCAGCAAUCUUCAAUCUGAACGACAUCACUUUAUAAUAGAAUGCUCUCUACAUUGUCAUGAAUGUGGUUUUCUCCAUAUUUUUGGGCGCCAUCUUUAUUUGAUUGUAACCCGAGAAACCAUCCAUGAAAGAAAACAAAGAAUGUUUCACCAUGUUAUCCACCAACAUAUUGAUGUGUGGCAAAGGAAAAUUAUCUUUAGGGCUUACUCGAUUCAGAUCGCAAUAAUCCAUGCACAUUUGCACCUUGCCGUCUUUUUUUUUUUGGUAUCAGGACUAUAUUAGCUACCCAUUCUGGAUAUUAAGACACUUGUAGGAAGCUGACAUCAAAUUGUUUCUUGACCUUUUCUUUUAUCUUUAACAUCAUUUCAGUGUCAUCUGUCUUAGCUUCUAUUGAAUGGGUUUGUAUUCUAAUUUCAAUGGGAGCUUAUGGACCACCACAUUUUCGUUCAACCCUGGCAUGUCCUGAUAAGACCAUGCAAAUACGUCUUUGUACUCAUUGAGCAAGGCUAUCAAAUUCUAUUUGGUAUUCUCUGAAAUGGAAGUCCUAAUCUUCACUUGCUUUUUUUCUUCAUUUCCCAAGUUUACUGUCUCAACAGAUUCUUGAUGGGGUAGAAUCUGUUUCUCUUCUUGUUCUACCAUUCUCAGUAAGUCAGGAGAUGAGACACAAUUUUCAGCAUUUUUUUCGGCUUCAAAUUCUCUUAAACAAAUAGUUUUUUCGAAAUAGAUUUCAGGACUUGUAACAGAUCCGUUUAUGCCAUUAAUAUUUGAGCACCUGAAAGGUAAAUGGAAAAGAAAACUAUAGAAGAGCAUCAAAGUAUUGGAAUCAACAAACACAAUGUUAUGGAAUGAUAUGAGACAUAUGUAGAGAAAGGUUAUGAAAAGAGGGAAUAAUUAUGAAGCUAAUGGAAAUGAAAAGACCAUGACAAAAUGCAUCUUCAUUAAUGUUCAUUGGAAUGAUAAAGAGCAGACAUAAGCUCUUACAAAAAGAAUCCCACUAUUUAGGGGCACACAAAAUAAUGGAGAAUUAACAUUGGGCAUUACUCUGGAGAGGACUCAGAAACUACAAGAAGGUCCAUAGUAGUCCAAUUGUUCAAAACAUAUCCUAGAGGACAAGGGCAUAUCAUUGAAGCAUCCUCAAUUGCAUCACCUUUGUUGUCAACAACAUUUAUGCUGAUAAUAUAAAGACCCUUUUCAAUCAAAGCACUUCAGGGAUUGUCUUGCCCCUCGUCUUCAUUUGUUACCGCAUUCACAUUCCCAUCAGCAUGGUUAGGAAGAGGAUUUCUAGCCAUAUUACUAACGCUAUCAAAUCAUAGAAUGCUAGUAUCGAUGAGAUCUUGAACCCUCCUUUUAAAGGCGAGACAAUAUUCUGUUGGAUGCCCUUGAUUUCUAGUGUGAUACAGACAAGAUCUGCUAUCUUCGAUCUCCUUUGCUGACAAAUCUGGAAGACAACACCUGCUAUCUUCGAUCCACUCCGCUGCCAAAUACAAGAAGACAAGUUCUGAUAUCUUCGAUCCCUUCUGCUGCCAAAUACAGGAAGACAAGAUCUGUUAUCUUCGAUCUCUUCCACUGCCAAAUACAGGAAGACAAGAUCUGCUACCUUCGAUCCCCUCUGCUGCUACAGGAAGACAAGAUUUGAUAUCUUUGAUCCCCUCCGCUGCCAGAUACAGGAAGACAAGAUCUGCUAUCUUCGAUCCCCUCUGCUCCAAAUACAGGAAGACAAGAUCUGCUAUAUUCGAUCCCCUCCGCUACCAAAUAGGGGAAGACAAGAUCUGCUAUCUUCAAUCCCUUCCGCUGCCGAGUUCAGGAAGACAAGAUCUACUAUAUUCGAUCUCCUCCGCUGCCAAAUAAAGGAAGACAAGAUCUGCUAUCUUCGAUCUCCUCCGCAACCAAAUACAGGAAGACAAGAUCUGAUAUCUUCGAUCCCCUCCGCUGCCAAAUUCGUGAAGACAAGAUCUAAUAUCUUCGAUCCCCUCCGUUGCCAAAUACAGGAAGACAAGAUCCGCUAUCUUCGAUCCCCUCCGCUGCCAAAUACAGGAAGACAAGAUCUGAUAUCCUCGAUCCGCUCCGCUUCCAAAUACACGAAGACAAGAUCUGUUAUCUUCGAUCCCCUCCGCUGCCAAAUAUUAGAAGACAAGAUCUGAUAUCCUCGAUCCCCUCCGCUGCCAAAUACAGGAAAACAUGAUCUACUAUCUUCGAUCCCCUCUACUGCCAAAUACAAGAAGACAAGACCUGCUAUCUUUGAUCCCCUCCGCUCCAAAUACAGGAAGACAAGAUCAGAUAUCCUCGAUCCCCUCCGCUCCCAAAUACAGGAAGACAAGAUCUGAUAUCUUCGAUCUCCUCCGCUGCCAACUACAGGAAGAUAAGAUCUGCUAUCUUCGAUCUCCUCCGCUGCCAAAUACAGGAAGACAAGAUCUACCAUCUUCGAUCCCUUCUGCUGCCAAAUACAGGAAGACAAGAUCUGAUAUCUUCCAUCCCUUUCACUGCAAAAUUUAGGAAGACAAGAUCUGAUAUCUUCGAUCCCUUCUGCUGCCAAAUACUGGAAGACAAGAUCUGUUAUCUUCGAUCUCUUCCACUGCCAAAUACAGGAAGACAAGAUCUGCUACCUUUGAUCCCCUCCGCUGCUACAGGAAGACAAGAUUUGAUAUCUUCGAUCCCCUCCGCUUCCAGAUACAGGAAGUCAAGAUCUGCUAUCUUCGAUCCCCUCCGCUCCAAAUACAGGAAGACAAGAUCUGCUAUAUUCGAUCCCCUCCGCUACCAAAUAGGGGAAGACAAGAUCUGCUAUCUUCGAUCCCUUCCGCUGCCGAGUUCAGGAAGACAAGAUCUGCUAUCUUCGAUCUCCUCCGCUGCCAAAUAAAGGAAGACAAGAUCUGCUAUCUUCGAUCUCCUCUGUAACCAAAUACAGGAAGACAAAAUCUGAUAUCUUCGAUCCCCUCUGCUGCCAAAUUCGUGAAGACAAGAUCUGAUAUCUUUGAUCCCCUCCGCUGCCAAAUACAGGAAGAUAAGAUCUGUUAUCUUCGAUCCCCUCCGCUACCAAAUACAGGAAGACAAGAUUUGAUAUCUUCGAUCCCCUCCGCUGCCAGAUACAGGAAGACAAGAUCUGCUAUCUUGGAUCCCCUCCGCUGCCAAAUACAGAAGACAAGAUCUGAUAUCUUCAAUCCCUUUUGCUGCCAAAUUCAGGAAGACAAGAUCUGAUAUCUUCGAUCCCCUCUGCUGGCAAAUACAGGAAGACAAGAUCUGCUAUCUUUGAUCCCCUUCGCUCCAAAUACAGGAAGACAAGAUCCGAUAUCCUCGAUCCCCUCCGCUGCCAAAUACAGGAAGACAAGAUCUGAUAUCUUCGAUCCCCUCAGCUGCCAAAUACAGGAAGAUAAGAUCUGCUAUCUUCGACCUCCUCCGCUGCCAAAUAUAGGAAGACAAGAUCUGCUAUCUUCGAUCCCUUCUGCUGCCAAAUACAGGAAGACAAGAUCUGAUAUCUUCUAUCCCUUUUACUGCAAAAUUCAGGAAGACAAGAUCUGAUAUCUUCGAUCCCCUCUGCUGCCAAAGACAGGAAGGCAAGAUCUGCUAUCGUCGAUCCCCUCCGCUGCCAAAUACAGGAAGAAAAGAUCUGAUAUCUUCGAUCCCCUUUGCUGCCAAAUACAGGAAGAUAAGAUCUGCUAUCUUCGAUCCAUUCGCUGCCACAUACAGGAAACAAGAUCUGCUAUCCUCGAUCUCCUCCCACUGCCAAAUACAUGAAGAUAAGAUCUACUAUCUUUGAUCCCUCUACUGCCGAAUACAGGAAGACAAGAUCUGCUAUCUUCAAUCCCCCCACAACCAAAUACAGGAAGACAAAAUCUGCUAUCGUCGAUCCCCUCCGCUGCCAAAUACAGAAAGAAAGAUCUGAUAUCUUCGAUCACCUCCGCUGCCAAAUACAGGAAGACAAGAUCUGCUAUCUUUGUCCCUUCGCUGCCAAAUACAGGAAGAACAAGAUCUGCUAUCCUCGAUCCUCGAUCUCCUCCGCUGCCAAAUACAUGAAGAUAAGAUCUACUAUCUUCGAUCCCCUCUGCUGCCAAAUACAGGAAGACAAGAUCUGGCUAUCUUCAAUCCCCCACUACCAAAUACAGGAAGACAAGAUCUAUUAUCUUCGAUCCCCUCCGCUGCAAAUAUAGGAAAACAUGAUCUGCUAUCUUCGAUCUCCUUCGCUGCCAAAUACAGGAAGACAAGAUCUUCUAUCUUUGAUCCCCUCUGCUCUAAUACAGGAAGACAAGAUCUGUUAUCUUCGAUCCCCUCCGCUCCAAAUACAAGAAGACAAGAUCUGCUAUCUUCGAUCCUCUCUGCUGCCAAAUACAGGAAGACAAGAUCUGCUAUCCUCGAUCUCUUUCACUGCCAAAUACAGUAAGAUAAGAUCUGUUAUCUUCGAUCCCCUCCGCUACCAAAUACAGGAAGACAAGAUUUGAUAUCUUCGAUCCCCUCCGCUGCCAGAUACAGGAAGACAAGAUCUGCUAUCUUGGAUCCCCUCCGCUGCCAAAUACAGAAGACAAGAUCUGAUAUCUUCAAUCCCUUUUGCUGCCAAAUUCAGGAAGACAAGAUCUGAUAUCUUCGAUCCCCUCUGCUGGCAAAUACAGGAAGACAAGAUCUGCUAUCUUUGAUCCCCUUCGCUCCAAAUACAGGAAGACAAGAUCCGAUAUCCUCGAUCCCCUCCGCUGCCAAAUACAGGAAGACAAGAUCUGAUAUCUUCGAUCCCCUCAGCUGCCAAAUACAGGAAGAUAAGAUCUGCUAUCUUCGACCUCCUCCGCUGCCAAAUAUAGGAAGACAAGAUCUGCUAUCUUCGAUCCCUUCUGCUGCCAAAUACAGGAAGACAAGAUCUGAUAUCUUCUAUCCCUUUUACUGCAAAAUUCAGGAAGACAAGAUCUGAUAUCUUCGAUCCCCUCCGUUCCAAAUACAGAAAGAUAAGAUCUGCUAUCUUCGAUCCCCUUCGCUGCCAAAUACAGGGAGAAAAGAUUUGAUAUCUUUGAUCCCUUCCGCUGCCAAAUACAGGAAGACAAGAUUUGCUAUCUUCGAUCCCCUCCGCUGCCAAAUAAAAGAAGACAAGAUCUGAUAUCUUCGAUCCCUUCUGCUGCCAAAUAUAGGAAGACAAGAUCUGUUAUCUUCGAUCUCUUCCGCUGCCAAAUACAGGAAGACAAGAUCUGCUACCUUCGAUCCCCUCCGCUGCUACAGGAAGACAAGAUUUGAUAUCUUCGAUCCCCUCCGCUGCCAGAUACAGGAAGACAAGAUCUACUAUCUUCGAUUCCCUCUGCUGCCAAAUACAGGAAGACAAGAUCUGAUAUCUUUAAUCCCUUUCGCUGCCAAAUUUAGGAAGACAAGAUCUGAUAUCUUUGAUCCCCUCUGUUGCCAAAUACGGGAAGGCAAGAUCUGCUAUCGUCGAUCCCCUCCGCUGCCAAAUACAGGAAAAAAAGAUCUGAUAUCUUCGAUCCCCUCUGCUGCCAAAUAUAGGAAGACAAGAUUUGCUAUCUUCGAUCCCAUUCACUGCCACAUACAGGAAGACAAGAUCUGCUAUCCUCGAUCUCCUCCGCUGCCAAAUACAUGAAGAUAAGAUAUACUAUCUUUGAUCCCCUCUACUGCCGAAUACAGGAAGACAAGAUCUGCUAUCUUCAAUCCCCCACAACCAAAUACAGGAAGACAAGAUCUGCUGUCUUCGAUCUCUUCCGCUGCCAAAUACAGGAAAACAUGAUCUGCUAUCUUUGAUCUCCUUCGCUGCCAAAUACAGGAAGACAAGAUCUGCUAUCUUCGAUCCCCCCGCUGCGAAAUACAGGAAGAUAAGAUCUACUAUCUUUCAUCCCCUCCGCUCCAAAUACAGGAAGACAAGAUCUGCUAUCUUCGAUCCCCUCCGCUCCAAAUACAGCAAGACAAGAUCUGCUAUCUUCGAUCCCGUCCGCUGCCAAAUACAGGAAGACAAGAUCUGCUAUCCUCGAUCUCUUCCACUACCAAAUACAGGAAGACAAGAUUUGUUACCUUCGAUCCCCUCUGCUACCAAAUACAAGAAGAAAAGAUUUGAUAUCUUCGAUCCCGCCACUGCCAUAUACAGGAAGACAAGAUCUGCUAUCUUCGAUCCCCUCCGCUGCCAGAUACAGGAAGACAAGAUCUGCUAUAUUCGAUCCCCUCCGCUGCCAAAUAUAGGAAGACAAGAUCUGAUAUCUUCAAUCCCUUUCGCAGCCAAAAUCAGGAAGAAAAGAUCUGAUAUCUUCAACCCCCUCUGCUGCCAAAUACAGGAAGACAAGAUCUGCUAUCGUCGAUCCCCUCCGCUGCCAAAUACAGGAAGAAAAGAUCUGAUAUCUUCGAUCCCCUCCGCUGCCAAAUACAGGAAGACAAGAUCUGCUAUCUUCGAUCCCAUUCGCUGCCAAAUACAGGAAGACAAGAUCUGCUAUCCUCGAUCUCCUCCGCUGCCAAAUACAUGAAGAUAAGAUCUACUAUCUUUGAUCCCCUCUACUGCCAAAUACAGGAAGACAAGAUCUGCUAUCUUCAAUCCCCCCACUACCAAAUACAAGAAGACAAGAUCUGCUAUUUUCGAUCCCCUCCGCUGCCAAAUACAGGAAGACAAGAUCUGAUAUCCUCGAUCCGCUCCGCUUCCAAAUACACGAAGACAAGAUCUGUUAUCUUCGAUCCCCUCCGCUGCCAAAUAUUAGAAGACAAGAUCUGAUAUCCUCGAUCCCCUCCGCUGCCAAAUACAGGAAAACAUGAUCUACUAUCUUCGAUCCCCUCUACUGCCAAAUACAAGAAGACAAGACCUGCUAUCUUUGAUCCCCUCCGCUCCAAAUACAGGAAGAUAAGAUCAGAUAUCCUCGAUCCCCUCCGCUCCCAAAUACAGGAAGACAAGAUCUGAUAUCUUCGAUCUCCUCCGCUGCCAACUACAGGAAGAUAAGAUCUGCUAUCUUCGAUCUCCUCCGCUGCCAAAUACAGGAAGACAAGAUCUACCAUCUUCGAUCCCUUCUGCUGCCAAAUACAGGAAGACAAGAUCUGAUAUCUUCCAUCCCUUUCGCUGCAAAAUUUAGGAAGACAAGAUCUGAUAUCUUCGAUCCCUUCUGCUGCCAAAUACUGGAAGACAAGAUCUGUUAUCUUCGAUCUCUUCCACUGCCAAAUACAGGAAGACAAGAUCUGCUACCUUCGAUCCCCUCCGCUGCUACAGGAAGACAAGAUUUGAUAUCUUCGAUCCCCUCCGCUUCCAGAUACAGGAAGUCAAGAUCUGCUAUCUUCGAUCCCCUCCGCUCCAAAUACAGGAAGACAAGAUCUGCUAUAUUCGAUCCCCUCCGCUACCAAAUAGGGGAAGACAAGAUCUGCUAUCUUCGAUCCCUUCCGCUGCCGAGUUCAGGAAGACAAGAUCUGCUAUCUUCGAUCUCCUCCGCUGCCAAAUAAAGGAAGACAAGAUCUGCUAUCUUCGAUCUCCUCUGUAACCAAAUACAGGAAGACAAAAUCUGAUAUCUUCGAUCCCCUCCGCUGCCAAAUUCGUGAAGACAAGAUCUGAUAUCUUCGAUCCCCUCCGCUGCCAAAUACAGGAAGACAAGAUCUGCUAUCUUCGAUCCCCUCCGCUGCCAACUACAGGAAGACAAGAUCUGAUAUCCUCGAUCCGCUCUGCUUCUAAAUACAGGAAGACAAGAUCUGUUAUCUUUGAUCCCCUCCGCUGCCAAAUAUUGGAAGACAAGAUCUGAUAUCCUCGAUCCCCUCCGCUGCCAAAUAUAGGAAAACAUGAUCUGCUAUCUUCGAUCCCCUCUGCUGCCAAGUACAAGAAGACAAGAUCUGAUAUCUUCGAUCCCCUCUGCUGCAAAAUACAGGAAGACAAGAUCUGCUAUCUUUGAUCCCCUCCGCUCUAAAUACAAGAAGAUAAGAUCCGAUAUCCUCAAUCCCCUCCGCUGCCAAAUAAAGGAAAACAUGAUCUGCUAUCUUCGAUCCCCUCUGCUGCCAGAUACAGGAAGACAAGAUCUACUAUCUUCGAUUCCCUCCGCUGCCAAAUACAGGAAGACAAGAUCUAAUAUCUUCAAACCCUUUCGCUGCCAAAUUCAGGAAGACAAGAUCUGAUAUCUUCGAUCCCCUCUGCUGCCAAAGACAGGAAGGCAAGAUCUGCUAUCGUCGAUCCCCUCCGCUGCCAAAUAUAGGAAGAAAAGAUCUGAUAUCUUCGAUCCCCUUCGCUGCCAAAUACAGGAAGAUAAGAUCUGCUAUCUUCGAUCCCAUUCGCUGCCACAUACAGGAAAACAAGAUCUGCUAUCCUCGAUCUCCUCCACUGCCAAAUACAUGAAGAUAAGAUCUACUAUCUUUGAUCCCUUCUACUGCCGAAUACAGGAAGACAAGAUCUGCUAUCUUCAAUCCCCCCACAACCAAAUACAGGAAGACAAAAUCUACUAUUGUCGAUCCCCUCCGCUGCCAAAUACAGAAAGAAAAGAUCUGAUAUCUUCGAUCACCUCUGCUGCCAAAUACAGGAAGACAAGAUCUGCUAUCUUUGUCCCUUCGCUGCCAAAUACAGGAAGACAAGAUCUGCUAUCCUCGAUCUCCUCCGCUGCCAAAUACAUGAAGAUAAGAUCUACUAUCUUCGAUCCCCUCUGCUGCCAAAUACAGGAAGACAAGAUCUGCUAUCUUCAAUCCCCCACUACCAAAUACAGGAAGACAAGAUCUAUUAUCUUCGAUCCCCUCUGCUGCCAAAUAUAGGAAAACAUGAUCUGCUAUCUUCGAUCUCCUUCGCUGCCAAAUACAGGAAGACAAGAUCUUCUAUCUUUGAUCCCCUCUGCUCUAAAUACAGGAAGACAAGAUCUGUUAUCUUCGAUCCCCUCCGCUCCAAAUACAAGAAGACAAGAUCUGCUAUCUUCGAUCCUCUCUGCUGCCAAAUACAGGAAGACAAGAUCUGCUAUCCUCGAUCUCUUUCACUGCCAAAUACAGUAAGAUAAGAUCUGUUAUCUUCGAUCCCCUCCGCUACCAAAUACAGGAAGACAAGAUUUGAUAUCUUCGAUCCCCUCCGCUGCCAGAUACAGGAAGACAAGAUCUGCUAUCUUGGAUCCCCUCCGCUGCCAAAUACAGAAGACAAGAUCUGAUAUCUUCAAUCCCUUUUGCUGCCAAAUUCAGGAAGACAAGAUCUGAUAUCUUCGAUCCCCUCUGCUGGCAAAUACAGGAAGACAAGAUCUGCUAUCUUUGAUCCCCUUCGCUCCAAAUACAGGAAGACAAGAUCCGAUAUCCUCGAUCCCCUCCGCUGCCAAAUACAGGAAGACAAGAUCUGAUAUCUUCGAUCCCCUCAGCUGCCAAAUACAGGAAGAUAAGAUCUGCUAUCUUCGACCUCCUCCGCUGCCAAAUAUAGGAAGACAAGAUCUGCUAUCUUCGAUCCCUUCUGCUGCCAAAUACAGGAAGACAAGAUCUGAUAUCUUCUAUCCCUUUUACUGCAAAAUUCAGGAAGACAAGAUCUGAUAUCUUCGAUCCCCUCCGUUCCAAAUACAGAAAGAUAAGAUCUGCUAUCUUCGAUCUCCUUCGCUGCCAAAUACAGGGAGAAAAGAUUUGAUAUCUUUGAUCCCUUCCGCUGCCAAAUACAGGAAGACAAGAUUUGCUAUCUUCGAUCCCCUCCGCUGCCAAAUAAAAGAAGACAAGAUCUGAUAUCUUCGAUCCCUUCUGCUGCCAAAUAUAGGAAGACAAGAUCUGUUAUCUUCGAUCUCUUCCGCUGCCAAAUACAGGAAGACAAGAUCUGCUACCUUCGAUCCCCUCCGCUGCUACAGGAAGACAAGAUUUGAUAUCUUCGAUCCCCUCCGCUGCCAGAUACAGGAAGACAAGAUCUACUAUCUUCGAUUCCCUCUGCUGCCAAAUACAGGAAGACAAGAUCUGAUAUCUUUAAUCCCUUUCGCUGCCAAAUUUAGGAAGACAAGAUCUGAUAUCUUUGAUCCCCUCUGUUGCCAAAUACGGGAAGGCAAGAUCUGCUAUCGUCGAUCCCCUCCGCUGCCAAAUACAGGAAAAAAAGAUCUGAUAUCUUCGAUCCCCUCUGCUGCCAAAUAUAGGAAGACAAGAUUUGCUAUCUUCGAUCCCAUUCACUGCCACAUACAGGAAGACAAGAUCUGCUAUCCUCGAUCUCCUCCGCUGCCAAAUACAUGAAGAUAAGAUAUACUAUCUUUGAUCCCCUCUACUGCCGAAUACAGGAAGACAAGAUCUGCUAUCUUCAAUCCCCCACAACCAAAUACAGGAAGACAAGAUCUGCUGUCUUCGAUCUCUUCCGCUGCCAAAUACAGGAAAACAUGAUCUGCUAUCUUUGAUCUCCUUCGCUGCCAAAUACAGGAAGACAAGAUCUGCUAUCUUCGAUCCCCCCGCUGCGAAAUACAGGAAGAUAAGAUCUACUAUCUUUCAUCCCCUCCGCUCCAAAUACAGGAAGACAAGAUCUGCUAUCUUCGAUCCCCUCCGCUCCAAAUACAGCAAGACAAGAUCUGCUAUCUUCGAUCCCGUCCGCUGCCAAAUACAGGAAGACAAGAUCUGCUAUCCUCGAUCUCUUCCACUACCAAAUACAGGAAGACAAGAUUUGUUACCUUCGAUCCCCUCUGCUACCAAAUACAAGAAGAAAAGAUUUGAUAUCUUCGAUCCCGCCACUGCCAUAUACAGGAAGACAAGAUCUGCUAUCUUCGAUCCCCUCCGCUGCCAGAUACAGGAAGACAAGAUCUGCUAUAUUCGAUCCCCUCCGCUGCCAAAUAUAGGAAGACAAGAUCUGAUAUCUUCAAUCCCUUUCGCAGCCAAAAUCAGGAAGAAAAGAUCUGAUAUCUUCAACCCCCUCUGCUGCCAAAUACAGGAAGACAAGAUCUGCUAUCGUCGAUCCCCUCCGCUGCCAAAUACAGGAAGAAAAGAUCUGAUAUCUUCGAUCCCCUCCGCUGCCAAAUACAGGAAGACAAGAUCUGCUAUCUUCGAUCCCAUUCGCUGCCAAAUACAGGAAGACAAGAUCUGCUAUCCUCGAUCUCCUCUGCUGCCAAAUACAUGAAGAUAAGAUCUACUAUCUUUGAUCCCCUCUACUGCCAAAUACAGGAAGACAAGAUCUGCUAUCUUCAAUCCCCCCACUACCAAAUACAAGAAGACAAGAUCUGCUAUUUUCGAUCCCCUUCGCUGCCAAAUACAGGAAGAUAAGAUCUGCUAUCCUCGAUCUCCUCCGCUGCAAAAUACAUGAAGAUAAGAUCUACUAUCUUCGAUCCCCUCUGCUGCCAAAUAUAGGAAGAUAAUAUCUACUAUCUUCGAUCCCCUCCGCUGCCAAAUACAGGAAAACAUGAUCUGCUAUCUUCGAUCCCCUCCGCUGCCAGAUACAGGAAGACAAGAUCUGCUAUAUUCGAUCCCCUCCGCUGCCAAAUACAGGAAGACAAGAUCUGAUAUCUUCAAUCCCUUUCGCAGCCAAAUUCAGGAAGAAAAGAUCUGAUAUCUUCAACCCCCUCUGCUGCCAAAUACAGGAAGACAAGAUCUGCUAUCGUCGAUCCCCUCCGCUGCCAAAUAUAGGAAGAAAAGAUCUGAUAUCUUCGAUCCCCUCCGCUACCAAAUACAGGAAGACAAGAUCUACUAUCUUCGAUCCCAUUCGCUGCCAAAUACAGGAAGACAAGAUCUGCUAUCCUCGAUCUCCUCCGCUGCCAAAUACAAGAAGAUCAGAUCUGCUAUCUUCGAUCCCCUCUGUUGCCAAAUACAGGAAGACAAGAUCUGCUAUCUUCGAUCCCUUCUGCUGCCAAAUACAGGAAGACAAGAUCUGAUAUCUUCGAUCUCCUCCGCUACCAAAUACAUGAAGACAAGAUUUGCUAUCUUCGAUCCCUUCCGCUGUCAAAUACAGGAAGACAAGAUCUACUAUAUUCGAUCCCCUCCGCUGCCAAAUAUAGGAAGACAAGGUCUGAUAUCUUCGAUCCCUUCCGCUGCCAAAGACAGGAAGACAAGAUCUGCUAUAUUCGAUCCCCUCUGCUGCCAAAUUCAGGAAGACAAGAUCUGCUAUCUUCGAUCCCUUCCGUUCCCAAAUACAGGAAGACAAGAUCUGCUAUCUUCGAUCCCCUCUGCUGCCAAAUUCAGGAAGACAAGAUCUGCUAUCUUCGAUCCCUUCCGUUCCCAAAUACAGGAAGACAAGAUCUGCUAUCCUCGAUCUCCUCUGCUGCCAAAUACAUGAAGAUAAGAUCUACUAUCUUUGAUCCCCUCUACUGCCAAAUACAGGAAGACAAGAUCUGCUAUCUUCAAUCCCCCCACUACCAAAUACAAGAAGACAAGAUCUGCUAUUUUCGAUCCCCUUCGCUGCCAAAUACAGGAAGACAAGAUCUGCUAUCCUCGAUCUCCUCCGCUGCAAAAUACAUAAAGAUAAGAUCUACUAUCUUCGAUCCCCUCUGCUGCCAAAUAUAGGAAGAUAAUAUCUGCUAUCUUCGAUCCCCUCCGCUGCCAAAUACAGGAAAACAUGAUCUGCUAUCUUCGAUCUCCUUCGCUGCCAAAUACAGGAAGACAAGAUCUGCUAUCUUUGAUCCCCUCCGCUGCCAAAUACAGGAAGACAAGAUCUGAUAUCUUCAAUCCCUUUCGCUGCCAAAUUUAGGAAGACAAGAUCUGAUAUUUUCGAUCCCCUCUGCUGCCAAAUACGGGAAGGUAAGAUCUGAUAUCUUUGAUCCCUUCUGCUGCCAAAUAUAGGAAGACAAGAUCUGUUAUCUUCGAUCUCUUCUGCUGCCAAAUACAGGAAGACAAGAUCUGCUACCUUCAAUCCCCUCCGCUGCUACAGGAAGACAAGAUUUGAUAUUUUCGAUCCCCUCCGCUGCCAGAUACAGGAAGACAAGAUCUAUUAUCUUCGAUUCCUUCCGCUGCCAAAUACAGGAAGACAAGAUCUGAUAUCUUCAAUCCCUUUCACUGCCAAAUUUAGGAAGACAAGAUCUGAUAUCUUCGAUCCCCUCUGCUACCAAAUACGGAAAGGCAAGAUCUGCUAUCGUCGAUCCCUUCCGCUGCCAAAUACAGGAAGGAAAGAUCUGAUAUCUUCGAUCCCCUCCGCUGCCAAAUACAGGAAGACAAGAUCUACUAUCUUCGAUCCCCUCUGCUGCCAAAUACAGGAAGACAAAAUCUGCUAUCUUCAAUCCCCCACUACCAAAUACAGGAAGACAAGAUCUAUUAUCUUCGAUCCCCUCCACUGCCAAAUACAGGAAAACAUGAUCUGCUAUCUUCGAUCUCCUUCGCUGCCAAAUAUAGGAAGACAAGAUCUGCUAUCUUUGAUCCCCUCUGCUCCAAAUACAGGAAGACAAGCUUCCUUUAUUUGGCAGCAGAGGGGAUCCAAGAUAGCAGAUCUUAUCUUCCUAUAUUUGGCAGCGGAGGGGAUCGAAGAUAGAAGAUCUUGUCUUCCUCUAUUUGGCAGUGAAGGAGAUCGAUGAUAGCAGAUCUUGUCUUCCUGUAUUUGGCAGCGGAGGAGAUCGAAGAUAGUAGAUCUUGUCUUCCUAUAUUUGGCAGCAGAAGGGAUCGAAGAUAGCAGAUCUUGUCUUCCUGUAUUUAAUAGCGGAGGGGAUCAAAGAUAUCAGAUCUUAUCUUUCUGUGUUUAGCUGUAGAGGAGAUCGAAGAUAGCAGAUCUUGUCUUCCUUUAUUUGGCAGCGGAGGAGAUCGAAGAUAGCAGAUCUUGUCUUCCUGUAUUUGGCAGUGAAGGGGAUCGAAGAUAGCAGAUCUUGUCUUCCUGUAUCUGGCAGCGGAGGGGAUUGAAGAUAUCAAAUCUUGUCUUCCUGUAUUUGGCAGUGGAGGGGAUGGAAGAUAGCAGAUCUUGUCUUCCUGUAUUUGGCAGUGGAGGGGAUCGUAGAUAGCAGAUCUUAUUUUCCUGUAUUUGGCAGUGGAAGGGAUCGAAGAUAUCAGGUCUUGUCUUCCUGUGUUUGGCAGCGGAGAGGAUAAAAGAUAGCAGAUCUUGUCUUCCUGUAUUUGGCAGCGGAAGGGAUCGAAGAUAUCAGAUCUUGUCUUCCUGUAUUUGGCAGCGGAGGAGAAUGAAGGUAGCAGAUCUUGUUUUCCUGUCUUUGGCAGCGGAAGGGAUCGAAGAUAUCAGAUCUUGUCUUCCUGUAUUUGGCAGUGGAGGGGAUCGAAGAUAGCAGAUCUUGUUUUCCUGUAUUUGGCAGCGGAAGGGAUCGAAGAUAUCAGAUCUUGUCUUCCUGUAUUUGGCAGUGGAGGGGAUCGAAGAUAGCAGAUCUUGUCUUCCUGUAUUUGGCAGCAGAGGGGAUCAAAAAUAGCAGAUCUUGUCUUCCUGUAUUUGGCGGCGGAGGGGAUCGAAGAUAGCAGAUCUUGUCUUCCUGUAUUUGGCAGCGGAGGGGAUAAAAGAUAGCAGAUCUUAUCUUCCUAUUUGGCAGUGGAGGAGAACGAAGAUAGCAGAUCUUUUCUUCCUUUAUUUGGCAGCGGAGGAGAUCAAAAAUAGCAGAUCUUGUCUUCUAGAAUUUGGCAGCGGAAGGGAUCAAAGAUAGCAGAUCUUGCCUUCCUUUAUUUGGCUGCGGAGGAGAUCGAAGAUAGCAGAUCUUAUUUUCCUGUAUUUGGCAGCGAAAGGGAUCAAAGAUAUCAGUUCUUGUCUUCUUGUAUUUGGCAGCGGAGGGGAUCGAAGAUAUCAGAUCUUGUCUUCCUGUAUUUGGCAGUGGAGGGGAUCGAAGAUAGCAGAUCUUGUCUUCCUAUAUUUGGCAGCGGAGGGGAUCAAAAAUAGCAGAUCUUGUCUUCCUGUAUUUGGCGGCGGAGGGGAUCGAAGAUAGCAGAUCUUGUCUUCCUGUAUUUGGCAGCGGAGGGGAUAAAAGAUAGCAGAUCUUGUCUUCCUAUUUGGCAGCGGAGGAGAACGAAGAUAGCAGAUCUUGUCUUCCUUUAUUUGGCAGCGGAGGAGAUCGAAAAUAGCAGAUCUUGUCUUCCAGAAUUCGGUAACGGAAGGGAUCAAAGAUAGCAGAUCUUGCCUUCCUUUAUUUAGCUGCGGAGGAGAUCGAAGAUAGCAGAUCUUGUCUUCCUGUAUUUGGCAGCGGAGGGGAUCAAAUAUAGCAGAUCUUGUCUUCCUAUAUCUGGCAGAGAAGGGGAUCGAAGAUAUCAAAUCUUGUCUUCCUAUAUUUGGCAGUGGAGGGGAUCGAAGAUAGCAGAUCUUGUCUUCUUGUAUUUGGCAGCGGAGGGGAUCGAAAAUAGCAGAUAUUGUCUUCCUGUAUUUAGCAGUAGAGGAGAUCGAAGAUAGCAGAUCGUGUCUUCCUAUCUUUGGCAGCAGAAGGGAUCUAAGAUAUCAGAUCUUGUCUUCCUGUAUUUGGCAGUGGAGGGGAUCGAAGAUAGCAGAUCUUAUUUUCCUGUAUUUGGCAGCGGUAGAGAUCAAAGAUAUCAGAUCUUGUCUUCCUGUAUUUGGCAGCAGAGGGGAUAAAAGAUAGUAGAUCUUGUCUUCCUGUAUUUGGCAGCGGAGGGGAUCGAAGAUAGCAGAUCUUGUCUUCCUGUAUUUGGCAGUGGAGGAGAACGAAGAUAGCAGAUCUUGUCCUCCUGUAUCUGGCAGCGGAGGGGAUCGAAGAUAUCAAAUCUUGUCUUCCUGUAUUAGGCAGUGGAGGGGAUCGAAGAUAGCAGAUCUUGUCUUCUUGUAUUUGCCAGCGGAGGGGAUCAAAAAUAGCAGAUCUUGUCUUCCUGUAUUUAGCAGCGGAGGAGAUCGAAGAUAGAAGAUCUUGUCUUCCUGUCUUUGGAUGCGGAAGGGAUCGAAGAUAUCAGUUCUUGUCUUCCUAUAUUUGGCAGUGGAGGGGAUCGAAGAUAGCAGAUCUUGUUUUCCUGUAUUUGGCAGCGGUAUGGAUCAAAGAUAUCAGAUCUUGUCUUCCUGUAUUUUGCAGCGGAGGGGAUAAAAGAUAGCAGAUCUUGUCUUCCUGUAUUUGGCAGCAGAGGGGAUCGAAGAUAGUAGAUCUUGUCUUCCUGUAUUUGGCAGCGGAGGAGAUCGAAGAUAGCAGAUCUUAUCUUCCUGAAUUCGGCAGCGGAAGGGAUCGAAGAUAGCAGAUCUUGUCUUCCUCUAUUUGGCAGCGGAGGGGAUCGAAGAUAGCAGAUCUUGUCUUCCUGUAUUUGGCAGCGGAGGAGAUCGAAGAUAGCAAAUCUUAUCUUCCUAUAUUUGGCAGCAAAAGGGAUCGAAGAUAGCAGAUCUUGNNNNNNNNNNNNNNNNNNNNNNNNNNNNNNNNNNNNNNNNNNNNNNNNNNNNNNNNNNNNNNNNNNNNNNNNNNNNNNNNNNNNNNNNNNNNNNNNNNNNNNNNNNNNNNNNNNNNNNNNNNNNNNNNNNNNNNNNNNNNNNNNNNNNNNNNNNNNNNNNNNNNNNNNNNNNNNNNNNNNNNNNNNNNNNNNNNNNNNNNNNNNNNNNNNNNNNNNNNNNNNNNNNNNNNNNNNNNNNNNNNNNNNNNNNNNNNNNNNNNNNNNNNNNNNNNNNNNNNNNNNNNNNNNNNNNNNNNNNNNNNNNNNNNNNNNNNNNNNNNNNNNNNNNNNNNNNNNNNNNNNNNNNNNNNNNNNNNNNNNNNNNNNNNNNNNNNNNNNNNNNNNNNNNNNNNNNNNNNNNNNNNNNNNNNNNNNNNNNNNNNNNNNNNNNNNNNNNNNNNNNNNNNNNNNNNNNNNNNNNNNNNNNNNNNNNNNNNNNNNNNNNNNNNNNNNNNNNNNNNUUUCAAUUCAAAUCCCCUUUGGCCUAAGGUGCCAUUUGAGGGUUUUCCCUUUAGCCUCUCCAUUUUUACUUUUUCAUUUUUCAUUUUUUUCAAUCUUUUCUUCUUUUUUUUAAUCAUUUUUUGUUUGAGUCAAAGUGCCCUUUGCAGGUUUUCACAUUGGUCCUUCCUUCUUCUUUAAACGAAGUGUUUAUUAACUGGAUCUGAGUUUAUAGGAUUGGCAAUCUCACUCAGGAUCAGUGCUCCUCUGAAAAUGGUCUUCUUUACAACAUAGGGACAUUCCUGGUUUGGCAUUCAUUUCCCUUUAGAAUCCUUUCGUUAAAGGAGAAUAUUUUUCAACAUCCAUCCCUCUCGUGGAAUUCUCUGAGAUGAGCCUAUUUAUUAUGGGCUCAUAUUAUUUAUUUAUGGUACAUCCGACCCUGAUGAAUAGCUUUUAACCCUUUUCCUAGGGCCAACUGAUCACAUCGUGAUUGGAUCCCUCCAACAAGUAAUGAGGGGAUUUUGAUAGGUAAAACUACCUCAAUCCUGUAAACCAAAAAGAGAUGUGUUGCCCCAAUACAAAUGUUCGACAAAUGAUGAGGGCAAAUAGUAAUUUCUCAUGCCAGUCCUUGUUCACCUCAAGGUAAUUUGGUGACAAAACGUUGUGUCUGCUUCUGAAUUAAUUUCAGACCUCAGUUAUCGUGCUAUCAUUUAAGUUCAAUGCAUUUUCCAAUACCAUCCUCUCUGAAAUUCUGUAUCGGUAUAGGAUGACCUUGAUCCAUGAAGUAGCCUCUCAAAAAUGAAGCAAUGCCCAUUAGAAGUCUUCGAUAAUGGUGAUGUUCAUGCCCCAUUUUGCUCAAAAUUUGAGUCGCCCUUUUUCGGGUUUUCAACUCAGAUCCACCUUUGGUCAAAGCGUCCUUUGCGGGUUUUCGCAUUGACCUCUCUUUUUUCUUUUUUUCUUUUUUUUAAAUUUUUUUUAAUUUUUUUGAUUUUUUUUAAUUUUUUAUUUUGUUGAGUCUGAACUCACGAGAUCAGGCAAGUCCUGGUCAUGCUUUUCGACCAGAAUCAAUGUUAUUCUAAAGUCUUCCACAUAAGAUCUUCCACUUUUAUCUUGUAUGUGAAAAACCUUCUUUGGUACCAGAUUUCUUUCAUAGAGUCCUUUUUAGGACGGAAAUACAACAGAAAACUUCGGAUCUUCCUCUUUAAUCAAGAUAAAAUCCAACAACAUCCUAAAGGGGUGGAAACUCGACUUCAAAUGGGCAAAGCUAUGUUGACUCAACGAGAGAGGCAUUGCCCCGGCAAAGAAUUGCAUCGUUUGUACUGUAAAUUUUUGACAUCAUGCUGUUGUGCAGGUUUUAUUAUAAGAAUCGAGGCAUACCCUGGUAUGAUCAUACAAAGACAUCUUUGAACUCUAGAGGUAACUCAACAAGGUCUUGCUUCGUCUCUGUGGUCAGGUCAAUUCUAGUCUUCACCAAGCUCACAAUUUCUAAUGAUUCCUUAAGAGGUAGGAUCUGUUUAUCCUCUUGUUCUACCAUCCUCAACAAGCUUGGAGAUAAGCUACGAUCUAUGUCAUCUUCAAAGUCGUGAGAUCCCUCUAAACACAUGUCUCGCUCAAAAGGAGAUUCAAAGUCUGUAGCAGUGUCAUUCAUGUCGUUGAUAUCUAGGGACCUAUUGUAGGUAAAAAAGAAUAUACAAAGAAUAUAUGAAGUUAUGUACAAUAUGAUUAUGAAUGAAUGAAAGAAUGAUUUGGAUAAAAGAAUACAAGAGUAAAAAUAAUCAUUUAAGAAAUGAAAGAAUAUUGGUUCAAAAGAUCGCAAAGAUGCAUUCCAUUAAAAUGAUGACGUUCAGACAUGAGCCUAUUUCACAAAAGAGUUCUUGUUGCCUCUAGGCUGAAAGCAACAAGUGUAUUCUGAAUAUUACUCUGAGUAAGCUCUAAAUACUAUAGGGAUUUCUUUUGCAGUCUAAUUAUUCAGAACACUCUCAAAUUUAUAAGGGCGAACAUCUAAUAAGAUCUCUUCUCCAGUUGCUUCUUCGUAUGCGGCACUGAUGUGAACAUUUCCCAACAUUUUUCAUUCAUCGCAUUCCCUUCAUUAUCCGUAUGAUUGAGUAGAGGGUUUUCUGUACUGAGUGAAUCCUCAAAUUUGACAAUGCACAUAUUGAUAAACCUUUCGACCAGCUUUUUAAAGGCAGUGCAAUUUUCUAUAGAAUGCCCCGUAAUUCCCGCAUGAUAGUCACAUUGCGCAUUUGUGUCAUACCAUUUGGGAUACGGAGGUUGUAAAGGCUUCAAGUAGAAAGGGGAGACAACACGUGCGUCAAAUAAUCUCUGAUACAGUUCCUUAUAUGACGUCGAAAUUGGUGUAAACUGGAGCUUCUCGGUACCUGGUUUCACCCUAGAUUCUUGCUUUAAAGGACUCCGACGUCUGCUGGUUUCUGUCUUUGACCGGCCUACAGUGAUUGGUUUUGAGUGGCCCUUGUUAUAUCUGUUCGCAUUAUUCCCCCUAUUCCCCUUCUUUCUUGGGGCCUCUAUAGUAUCUGGGUACUCUGCCCUCACCUGCUUCAUUUCUACUGGAUCAUCACAUGCAACAAGAAAAUUGUUCCUCAAAUUGGAUCUUGGGCCCGUCAAGCCACUCACUGGUGCUGUUGUACCAGUUUGAUAUUGUUGAGAUUUGAUGGUGAAUAGUGCCCCUUGUGGGUGCCCAUCUGGCUGGACCUGGACACUUGUCGGAGUACAAUCUAAUAAAUAAGCAAAAUCCUCAUUAUCAACCUCAGAGUGGUCUAUCAGGUCCUUCCUUUUUUCUAACUCUCCAGCUAGCAAUCGGUUGAAUUGGCUUAUCAUAGUUCUCUGUAAUUCUAGCAUCUGAUCUCUUAUCUCCUGUUGAAAUUCGAUCAAUUGCUCCUGUAUCUGUAUCUGCACUCGCUCUAAUUUUUCCAACCUUUGUUCCAUUUCUCUAGUUCCUGUUCGGGUAGCGCAAGGGUGUUGGUUUGGUAGGUUGGUUUCCAUUGACUCUGAAAUGAUUUCGUUUGAUUAAGGUCUUUUAGUGAAAUUUGAUGCAUGCAAUGAAAUGCAAUGCAGAUGCAUGAAAUGAAUGCAAAAAAGAGACGUUGAUUCUUGGUUCAAUUCUAUUAGAACAACUUUACUAGAAAACAAAUCUCUUUACAUAAAGCGGAUAUAUAUACAGCUUUGCCCUUAUGUUCCAAGAGAACGAUCCUUUUCUUCAUUCGCGCGUUAAGAUAAAUCUCACAAACUAUUCAAAAGGGACGUCUCUUUUAUCUCCUUUUUGCUUGAUCCGGGCCUUGACUCGUUACUCGCUCAUCCUCAUGAUGCUCAUUGGCUUCUCUUUAAGAAAGUUCAGCGGCUCUCGAAUAAUCUUUGUCACCUUGAAUCCUCAGGCAACGGAGCAAUAGUUGUGUUGUCCUCUAUUAAGUUAUCAUCUUUCUCUUGUUGUAUUUUUUCAGAACAUAUUCGGGCAACCGUAUUAUUAUCCACUUUAUCAAAAAACCCAUUUCCUUAUGACAAGCUCUCUAUUUAACAACCGAACCUGAAUCAACACCUCUUUAUGAUGAAAAUGAAAUGCAAUCAUAACCAAAACAAAAGAAAAUAGGUUAGUACAAAGCAAGAGCAAGCAAGAAUAAAUAGAACACCUAUUCGGGUGACUACUAGGGGUUCAAAGUGGUUCUACCUAGGGUGGGCUCCUAAGGUUCACUACAUAAGGUUUGGCUCUAAAGUAAAGGUACCCAAACCAGCAGAUUCCUCAAUCCUCACCCAUUAUAGGCUCAUAUAGACCGAGUUCGGUUCAGGGGAAUACAUUUCCCUAUGGCUGCACGGAGAUGAAAAUCUCACGAAGACAUAGGCAUGGAUGUAUCCCGAAAGCGAUCCACUAUCCUGCACGGAGGUGAAAACCUCACGAAGGACUAGCUUCUCACUCCCACUUAAAAGGUGUGACCAACGGUCAUGCAAUGCAAUGUAGAAAGAUAUAAAAAUUUAAAAUAUAAAACAUGAUGAAAACUAUAACUCAAAACAAAUGAAAUGCAAUGAGAGAAUUGUAUAUUUAAAUCAAAUUUUCAACUUUCGACAAAAAGACAAGAAAUAAUCAACUCGUGGCUUGACUCUCUUAUUUAAAGUCCCCAGCGAAGUCGCCAAGCUGUUGACACCAUUUUUUGGAUUAAAAACGGGGUCGACUUGGGUUUUGAAAAAUGAAACGGGAGUUGCGACCAAUCCUUUUUUAUGAGGUGUGAUUGGAUCACCUCGAAAAGUGGUUGUUUUUAAUAAACAGUUUGAUUUUAUUAAAACAACAAGUUUGGUCCACGAAAUUCAGAAAAACGGGUUCGGGAGUCGGUUACGCACGAGGAAGGAUUAGCACCCUCUAUACGCCCAAAAUUAGUACCUAGUUGAUUACUUAAUGUCUUAAUGUCGAAAAUUGAGAACUUUGGAGAAUUUUAAAAAUACGAUCAUUUUUAUUAAAAUGUUGAAAAUUUUUAAGAAAAAAGGGGAUAUUUCACGUUAUUCGAGAUAGAGAAUCAUAUCCAGUAAGUUAGGACACAAUGUCUCGAAUUCCCGAUACGCGAAUAAAAAAUACUUAUUUAAAAGAUAUUUAAUUAUCUUGGAUUUAAAAAGGGAUCACGACCAGUAAGUUAGGACACGAUCCUUUUUAAUUCCCGAUAUUGUUUAAAACUUGAGUUUAAAAAAAAUUCGUGUAAUAAAGUUUAAAAGAAUAUUCAAUUGUUUAAAUCAAAUGAAGAAAUCGCAACCCAAUACGUUAGGGCACAAUUUCUCAAAAUAUUAAACAUUGAAUAUUGCAUUUAUUUCGAAAAAUCCUCGUCUCAAGAAAACAACGUGUCACAUCCAAUGCGUUAGGAUACAACGUAUUGAAUUCUUGAUAACGAGCUUUUUAUCAUUUUUUUUAAAAGAGUAAUCUCGAUUAUUUAGGGUCAACGAAGAAAAUCAGAACCCAAUACGUUAGGGCUUAAUUCUCUCGAAGAUCCCAAAUACCGAGUAUUACUUACAUUUUUAAAAUUUCUUUUUUGAAAUCUAAAAAAAUGGGUGUAAUGAAAUGAUGAUGAUAAUGUAAGUAAAGUAAUCACAAGCAAAACAAUAAAAGGGGCACAUAAAAAAACAAUUAUACAUGAAAUAAUGAGUAAAUAAAAAGAACUAAAGCAUUUCAUAAAAAUAAUGAUAAACAAAUAAAUAAAUAUCAAAUAAAACAAUCGAGAACAAUAUGAAUUACAAAAAAUACAUUAUUUAUGUAUGUAUAUCUAUGUAUAUAUAUAAAUCAUAAAGCCUUAAAAAAUAAGUAUGUAUAUUUAAAAUAUGUGGGUAUACAUAUAUAAAGCAUAAAAUACAAAUAAUAUAUAAGUAAGUAUAUAUAUAUUAAAGUAUAUAAAAAUAUAAGUACGUACAUAUAUAAAAAUUAAAAAUGUAGAUAUAUAUAUAUGUUAGUAUGAAUAUAUAUAACAAAAUCUAAAAAUGGUAUAAGUGGGUAAAUAAUAAUAAUAAGGAAAGUAAUAAUAAUAAAUGCAAUAACAAGAAUAAUAAUAAUAAUAAUAAUAAUAAUAAUAAUAAUAAUAAAGGAUUAGAUUGAAAGCAAAACAAAGUCCCAGGGGAGAAAUCAGAAUAAAGUAAAGAAAAAGAUUAAUUUGGAAUGCGCGUGAAAGAAGGGGGACCAAAAAAAGAAAUAUCCCAUCCCUCCCAACGCAUCACUUUACGUAGGACUAAAAUGAAACAACGAUAGAACUAUACGGCUAAAUUAAAAAUAAAGAAAAGCAGGAAAGAGGGGCAAAUUGCAACGCGCUGCAAACGUGGAGGGACCGCGCGCGCAAAUAGCCCUUUUAAAGAAAACACGCGGAUCCUCCCCUCAGGGUCGGGUCACUGCGCGGGUCUAAGGCAAAACGGCGCCGUUUUAGGCGCUUGAAGCCAGCCUCAAAACGACGUCGUUUUGCAGGCUUAUAUAACCUUUUUUUUGAACAAAAAAAAUCAUUUCAUCCCUUGUUUUAAAAAAAAACUCCCAACUCUCUCUCAACUUCCCUUCCCCUUUUCUGUGUGCUGCCCAGAAUUCGGCCAACACCGCUGCCGCGCUGGCCACCGUACACGGUGGCCGGAAAGUUCAACAAGGUUUUUUUUUACUUUUUUAAUAUGUUAUGUAUAUAUAUAUGUAUAGUUUAAAAUAAAAGAAAAAUAAUAAAAAAAUUUCGAAUGUAAAUAAUCCAAAACCGAAAAUAAUGAGAAAAAAAGGACCUUUUAUUGCUUUUUCUUGAAUCUUUUUUCUCUUCCUUUUUGAAUAGAUUUUUUUUUAAAAAAAAGAAAAAAACCCCGCAUUACAAUGUUUGAAUGGCCUUAUAUAUAGAGCCAUUUUACAAUUUUUUAUUAUUUGCUUGCUAUCGUUUCUCUCUGAUUUUGCAGGUGCAAGUGGGUGGAGUUGGUGCGGCACUACAGGCGACAGUGGAGACAGGCGGUCAGGGGUAGGUACGGCAGUGGCAUGGGCAAUGGUGGCUGAAGGCAGUAGGCUAGGGUUUCAGAAAACUGAAACCCUAGUUUGACUAUUGGAAAUUUGGGUUGGGUCUGAUUUGUUAUUGGGCUUAUUGGGCCGAUUGCAUUGGGUCAUUUAUUUUUUUUGUUUUGUUGGGUUUUGGGUGUUGUUUGGGUUUGGUAAUGGGUUUAUUGAUUGGGUUAGUUGGGCCCCGGGCAAAAUGGGCUUGUACAAAAGCUAUUCAACACUUUAUAAAAACAUUGUUUAUAAAUGUUAUAUUAUAAAAUUUAUAUUAUUUCUUUUAUCUAAUUUGCAUGAAAUAAUAGCAAUCGAAAUAUUAUAAAAAGGUUAUAAAGUUGGUUUAUCAUUGAACACAUAGUAAACUGAAAAUUAGAUUCAUAAAAACUAUUAUAAUUGAAGGAUUAUAAAGUUGAUUUGUGCCUCAAAUACUAGAAUGCUAAGAAUGAUGUUUGGGAGAGAAAAUAGAUCAAAAUUGUAUUUUAUAAAUAUAUUAAUAUUAUCAUCACCAUGCUGAUAUUUUAUUUGUCUCACAAAUUAUUUAAAUUAUUACAUGUUUUUAGGAAAUAUUAUGUGGUAGAUGUUGAUUAUACAAAUGCAAAAGGUUUUCUUGCAGUAUAUUACGGGGUACGAUAUCAUUUGAAAGAACAGAGCUAGACACAAGUACCAAACAAGGCUCGCAAACUCUUUAUUCAAAGCUUUGAAAUGUGGUUGAGAGGAUAUUUGUUGUUUUAAAAAAAUAUUUCUCAUAUUAACAAACCACAUCAAUAUAGUCUAAAAAACAAUGUUCAAUCGUUCUAACUUGUUGUAUACUUCACAAUUCCAUUUAUAGGUGGAAUUGGAAUUAUCAAUACUUUUAAUGAUACAAAUAAAAAAAAUGAUCUGGAUAAUCUUAAUGAUGCAUAUUCAAAUUUUGAUUUAGAUGAUGAAUGUUAAACCCACGCCACAUGGACACAUGUCAACUAUGUAGACAACAUUAACCCUCUCAUUUAGUCUACCUAAGAAGAUGUCUCGCCGAACCAUCCACUAAGAUCAAAGGAGCACCAACCCUUUUGAAAGGCUAGCAUCCUUUUUUUGGUGUGAACACAUCCUUGAGGCCAUUAGGACUUGCAUGGGCGUAUUAACCUUGUACUGAUCGAAUGAAUAACAUAAUGGGCCUCCAUCAUGAUUAUACUUUAUGUUCAUGAAUAUCCUUUACACAUUUGGUGGGACUGAACAUUUAUCCUGCCAUGUCAUGCUAAUGGACAAGAGGACCUCUCUUAUAAAUACUUUUCCACCACUCACUCCACCUUACCUCCUCCUUACUCCCCUCUAUUGUUGUACCUUGUAUCAACAAUGAAGAAAUAGAUCAAGAACUAAUAGAUGAUGAUAAGAAGUAUAUGUUAAAUGUUAGAAAAGGAAUAACCCAACAAAUAUGGAAUGCUAGAGCAAUAAUAAAGUUGCAUAUGAUGUUUAGUUUUCUUGUUCUUUUUUAUCGGCAAUCGUGCUGUUUGUUAUUUUCUUGGACUAACAUAACAUGAUUUGAUUUUAAUUUAUGUCACUUGUUUAAAUUUUUUUCUCAGGUGUUAUUGAUAACUAUUUAUAGUAAUUAAUACUUUUUAAACAAUUUAAAAUUUGUAAAUGUGUAAUUACAAUUUAUAUUACUAAACAAGGCACAAAUAAUUAUAAUAUAAUUACACUCUACUAGCCAAAUGCAUCUAGAAAAUUAUAAUUCUUUGCAAUUACUAGAAGGUGACAUUACUAUCUUAAUAAUCACAUUUUCAUCUCAUACCGCCGUGGCAUCAAAAUACACUUUACAUGUAUACAUGGAAAUACCCUGUACAUCGUGUGCCUAUACUAUGCAUGAAUGCAAAAUUAAUUAAAAAAAGACAUAUCAAUAGUUAAAGUAGGGCUUAAAGGUAUUUUUGAUUGUCGAACUUUUUCGAAAAAAUCAAUUAAGCCCUUGCAAACUUUUUGCACCCAACUGAGCCCUUAAACUAACAAAACUGACAAAAUAAGUCCUUUAACUAAUGUUGACCGAUACUUAGAAAAACAAAUAUCAAUAGUUAAAGAAGGGUUUAAUGGUAUUUUUGGUCCUCAAACUUUUUCAAAAAAAUCAAUUAAGCCCCUGCAAACUUUUUGUACCCAAUUGAGCCCAUGAACUAACAAAAUUGGCCAAAUAGGCCUUUUGACUAAUAUCGACCGUUACAAAGUUGAUGUGGCCAUUAACAACGCUAACGUUGUGCUUCAUGUUAGCGAUAGUUGGUUAUGUGGCAAUACCACGUCAACUUCCAUGUCAAGAAAAAUAAAAAAUUAAAAGGAAUAUUUAAACUUUUUAAAAGGAAUAGUUGCUGAUGACGUAGUACCAAGUUCAUUUGUUUUGAAGCUUAAAAAUUUUUUAAAUUAAAAAUAAUAUUUAAAAAAAAUAUGUUUUAAAAUUUUAUAAAAUUUUAAAAUAUUAUUAAAAUUUAUAAAAUAUUAAAAAAAUUUAAAAAAUUAAAAAUUAAUAAAAACCAUUUACAAGUUAAUUCUAUGUUUAAAUUCAUUCAAGUUUUUCUAAAUUGUACAAAGUUUAAAAAAUAUUAAAAAUUAAUCUUCUUUAAAAAAAAAUUGAUACGUGUAUCAAUGUUCUAAUUCCAUUCGUACAUUUUAGAAUGUAUAAAAAUUAAAAAAAAUUCAGAAAAUAAAUAAAAAUAAAUAUUAUUAAUUGUUUGUGUAAAGUAGUUUUAAAUGUACGAAUAGAUCCAAUUUUUUAAACCUUUUUGGCUACACAUGUGAAAUAAUAGAUACACUGUUUUAAUUGGAUAUAUUCAUACAUUUAAAAAAUCUUAAGACGUAUGAUUAAUAAAAUUUAAAUUAUUUAAAUUGAUAUAUAUAUAUAUAUAUAUAUUAUUCAUCCUAAGAGUUAGCAAUAGAAAAAUAUUGACACACAUAUCAAUUUUUAAAGAAAAUUAAUUUCAGUAUAUUUGAAACUAAUCAUGAAUGAAUUUGGACAUAUUCAUUAGGGACUUAAGUUUUAAAUAUUUUUAUUAAAUUUUAAUAGAGUUUUACACAUUUAUAAAAAAACUUAAUUUUUUUUUAAAUUUAAAAAAAUUUAAGUUUUGAAACGAAUGAACUUGGACAACCAUAUGUUUAGGUUCAUUCUAGUAAAAUAAAUUUAAAUAUUCCUUUUAAUUUUUUAUUUUAUUUUUAUUUUUGCUGACAUUGUAGCUAACUAUCGCUGACAUAGAGCGCCAAGUUAAUGUUGUUAACGGUCGUGUCAGCACUGUAAGGACCAUAAAAUAGAUGAAACACCUAUAAUUAUACAAAAAAAGGACAAUUUUCCAUAAAAUAGGUAAAUAGUUUUCCCUUUCAUUUGACUGAAAAAACUAUUAUGAUCUGUAUUGAAUCAAAAUAGUAGAAAUUAGAUUGAGUGUUUCGAUUGAAUUUUUUAUUCAACACAGAAAAACAAAAGAUGGAUUCAAUGGAGAAUCCAAGUAUGUCUUAUUUGUUGACAAAUUUAUGUUCAAAGACUUAAAAAUCAAGUGGUUGGCGACAAAUAAAAAGAGGGUAAUCAUUUUUGUUCCUAAUCAUUACAUUUUCCAGUUCUUUCAUGGUUCUUGAAUAAUUGGUUUCUCAAUCCGAUUCUUUUAUCUAAAUCGGCUUGUUUGUUCGCAAUCCCUUUGUGGGUAUUCCAUAAUUUUCUUUCUUAUUACUGAUUUACCUUGCAAUCUCUUUUUAUUUAUUUUUAAAAUAGAUGGAACUAAUAUAAGAAAAUUUUACAUUCUCUGUUCUAUUGCAUUAGUUUUGGCUUUCUUUAAUUUCAUUUUAGAUGGAAUUAUUUCACUUAUUUUUCUUUUAUUGUAUGUGUGAAAUCUUGUAUGGAAACUUGUAAUCUAUCACUCUAUCAUGAGUACUAUUGUUGUUGUUGAUAUAGAAUGGAUUCAGGUUGUAUACAUAUUCAGAAAAUGAAAAUCUUUCUUAUUAGUGAAUAUUGGAACCAAUCAAAAAUUGCCAGAAACAAAGGCUACUCAUUCUUAUAAUAAAAGGUAAGACUUAAGAUCAAAUUGUUAGAACGGAUCGUAGAUACUACAUCCAUCUCUGGAAAAUUUCUUGUCACUUUCAUUAGAAGUCCUCCUUAACUUGAUUUCUUGAUAUGCUUCUUAACUUGGUUGAAAACAACUUUUAGUAACUGCCUUAAAAGAGUGCUGAAACUAGGGCAUACUUUUUAUUAUCUUCUUUAUGUUGGUUGAUGUCACACAAUAUUUGUAUUGAAGGAAGGAACUAUAUUGAUUUGACAUUGUGUUUGUUCUUGUAAAUUUAUAUAUAUUUCUUGUGUUUGUAUAAAUGUAUGAAUAUAAGUAUAUAAAUUUUUAUGGAUUUAAAUUUAAAUUUUAAUAUGUCUGUCUGUUUACAUGGCUGACAUGGGUGGUAUUAUGUCAUUUGUAAUGCAAUACUUAGGCUCUGUUUAUUUACCAGUAAAAUAUUUUCCCUAAAAUAUUUUUCAUAUUUUAUUGUGUUUGUUUGAUGGAAAAUAAAUUACUUCAGAAAACAUUUUCUAAACCAAGGGUAAAUGAAAUGGCUUUUUAUGGAAAACGUCUUACCGAUUUUAUUUCGGUAAGACAUUUUCCAUUUUCCUCCACUCUAUCACAACAGUCGUUCUCCUUCCUCUUUGUCGAUCAGCCUCCGCCUCUCCUCCUCGUCUCUAUUCGUUGGCCUCACCUCCGAAUUUGAGUCUUAUUAUCUCGUCGUCCUUACCAAGUCUGCAUUUUGAAGAAACUCCAAAAUCUAGCUUUCCAAUCCUAUCAAGGUAUAUCACUAUAUUUUAUUUUGACUACUCUGUAAAUGAGCAUUUGGAAUUUCCUUCAUGGGGUUUAACUUGUUGCUUUUGUCAUUGUUGCUUUUCUCUUUGGCUAUUUCCCUGAUUAUUUUUGUUCUUCAAAGUUAUUGUAUUUUGGUUACUCUGUAAAUUCGUUGCUUUCUCCAUGGCCACAUGUGACGAGUUUCUCUUUUUCUCUUUCUAUGUGAUUUUUCAGGGUAAGCUGACCAAGAUUUUAAUUGGGGGUUUUGGUUGUUUUUCAAGCUUGGUUCUUGAAUUAGCUUUUUUUGGUAAUCUCUUGAAUUAGCUUUUGUGUGUAAGGGAAAGGGUAUUUGGUAUAUUUGGUUUUUGUUUUGUUAAAAGACUAGGAUUUUUUGGAAUUGGAAUUUGUUUCUUGAAUUGUUAAGAAUUGGGAUUCAAGACCGAUUGCCAUUUUGGGUUUUUAUUUAGUAUAUAUAUAUCGGAAAAUAUUUUUCAUUUUUUCAUUUGUUUAAUAGUCUGUUUCCAAUUAUUUUUUCAUUUUCCGUUUGUUUUAAACUCUAAAUGUUAACCUUUUGUUUUACCGGAGAAGAACAAUAAGAAUAUUUUGUUGUAAUGCAGCAUGUUUGACACUAUAAAAUGCUAGUUCGUCUAUCAUUUUCUAUUGUCUGAAGUCUGAACUUUUGGGGUAAAUGUGAAGAUUCUAACUGUGUAAAGUUUCAUGUCUCUUGAAGCGCCAUUGGCUCGCAUGCAUCUUGUGAUGUAUGCACUGUUGUAAGGCUUGAGUUAGCAUCUUCCAUCCUUUGCAGGCAAUAGAAGUUUGUUUAUACUAUACUGCAGUGAGAAGAAACCUGUAUAUUUUUGCCUUUGUACUUCGAUUCAGACAUGCACACUCCGACUUGUUUGAUACUUUCUAAUUAUGCUACCGUGUUAUAGACCAAUAAAGCUGUAAAUUUGCUUUUAGUAAUGUAAUGUAUCUAUGCAUGCAUGACAUGAUGCAAACCUUGUAGGGCCACUACAUUUUUUGUGCAUAUUAUGAUCUUUAAGCCUGAUGCUUUGCACUCUUUGCUUUGAGAUGUAAGCCAUAAAUUAGAUGUUGGAAAUGCUUAAGCCUGAUAGAUGCAUUCAUAACUUCUAAAAGUCCAGAAAACCUUUUUGUCCCAUCAUUUAUCUGACAUGACUUGUCUGAUUGUCUCUCCACAAAAUCAAUGAAGAUUUUUAGCAAUUAAUUAUCUUAUCAUUGCUUGAGAAACUUUCAUAUAUGUAUGUAUGCACUUUAGUCAUGGUAACUUGCAGUUAUUUCAUGUAGCUUAGGAGUUCCAAAUAUUAAAAUUUCAAAGUUGUGUUUCAAGAAAUUUGUAUAAAGCAAAGACCAGUGCGAUAUAUUUAUGGCGAGGGAUAAAUCCCUGCUUGAUGUACUUUAUUCAUUGCACAAUGAGGUAUGGGGAUAUAAAGAGUUGAGACAAUAAACUAUUUUGCCUUCACUUAUAGUUCUUUUGGUUCUUAAAGAAAUACAGCAGUCUCAUGAAGACAUAUUUACUAUGUAAUUUUGCCCGUUUCACGUUAGUAGCAUAUUCCCUCCUGGAUGGCUUUACUAACUACUAUUUUCUUAAAAGCCUUUCGUGAGUAUUUGGUAGAUAAUUCAUAUAUGAGGAGUUGUGCUUAUAUGUAUAACAAAAGAAAUACACACUACUUGUGCCGUGGUUGAUAAAUUCACCCUUAAUAUACUUAUAUUUUAUUUAUCUUUGAGUUGGUUUGAAAGAAGCACAAAAUUCAAGGAAGCAGCCAGCGAUGAUGUCUUAAUAUUUGGAUCAAUUUGCAGAAUUUAUGUCUUCUAAAGCAACCGAAUAAACAGGUUUAUUAAACAUUGCAAUUCAUUCCAUCAUAUAUAAAACCAGAGAUGGUCUACAAACAAAUUAUCAGAGCAUGAUAAACAGUAUCUAAUCAAAAAGCGCAUGGACUUCACACAUCACAAGUUUUAGUUUUGCCUCCAAUAUGCAUUUCACGGUUCAUGAGUUGUAACAAAGAGAUCAUCCGAAGAGGAAUUCCCAAGGAUGUAUGGCGAGAAAGGAACUCUUCACACACUUCCUUCAUUGUUGGUCGGGACUUCGGUUGUGGAUUUAAGCAAGCGAAUGCCAGUGUAGCAACAUGAACAAGAUUUUGUGUAACUAGUUGGCUUGUUGGAAGUGGUAAACGGUUGUCUAACACAUCAAUCAGCUUCAUGUUUACCAAAGAAGUUGGUGAUGACAACCAUGAUAACACUUCUUCAGGAUGCUUUCCCAUCAAUAUUUCCAGUGCUACCACUCCAAAACUAUAAACAUCGCAUUUUUCGGUGACAAUCAUUGUAUAAGCAAGUUCUACAUACACAAAUUAGUAAGAAGAAAUUCAAUUAUAUGUUCAGAGAAAAGGUCAGUAAAUCAAGUAAAAAAAGAAAACGCCACCUGGAGCUACGUAGCCACAAGUUCCGACAAUAAUGGUCUGAUUGGAUGAAUCAAGAUCCAACAUUCUAGCUGUUCCAAAGUCGGCCACAAAGGCCUCCAAACUUGAGUUUAAAAGAACAUUGUUACUUGAUAUGUCUCGAUGACCUAUCGGAGGGCAGCAAUCAUGGUGCAAGUAAGACAAAGCAUGUGCUAUGCCUUUGAUGAUCUUUAGUCUUUUCGUCCAAUCCAUUUCCACAGCAUUCAUUUCAUCCCUUAGGUUGCAGAACAAACUCCCUUUUUCCAUGUAUUCAUAGAUCAAAAACAUGGAUCGUCGGUGUAGACAAAACCCGUGAAGCUUCACAAUGUUUCGAUGUCGUAUUUCUGAUAGAAACUUGAUCUCGUUCCUGAAACUCCUGUCAAAAGUUGGAUUUUCGGCUUCUAAAUGAUGAAGUUUCUUCAAAGCAACUACUUUACCACAAGGGAGUUCUGCUUUGUAAACACUACCAUAACCACCAACUCCAAUACAGUAUCGGAAGUCGAAAUCCUCUGUUGCUGCAACGAUAUGCUCGUAUGCUAUCUUUCCAUCAUAGUUCCAUAUGGAACACAAAUCCCCAUUCUUGGUUGGUUGUACGUUGACAUGGUUAUUCUUGAGCUUAAACCGUGAAAAUAGCAAACAUCCUAAAAUGGAGAUUGUGAAUAAGAUCGCAAUAGGGAGGAAUAUUUUGAUAUAGUAAGGAAUUCUGCUGCUGGUGGCUUUUUUGGUAACUGGAGUAAGACACAUAUAGGGUGAUAAAUCACUAUUGCCUUCAAAUGGAUCGGGAAAAAUCUUUUGACAACCAUUUCCAGCGUCGACAAUGUAGAGAUGAGUAGCAGACAAGAUAGGGAUAGGACCUGAGAGUUGGUUGAAGCUAAGGUUUAGAUUUGAUAGAUCAAAAAGCUUGCCAAUUUCUUUUGGGAUAGAACCUUUUAAUAGAUUAGAAGCAAGGCUUAAGUACUGCAACUUUGAUAAACUACCAAUACAAGAAGGGAUUGAACCAGUCAAUUUGUUUUGGGAGAGGUACAACGAAGUUAAAUUUGCUAGAUCACAAAUUUCUUGGGGAAUAGGACCUUUUAAUAGAUUAGAAGCAAGGCUUGAGUACUGCAUCUUUGAUAAACUACCAAUACAAGAAGGGAUUGAACCUGUCAAUUUGUUUUGGGAGAGGUACAAUGAAGUUAAAUUUGCUAGAUUACAAAUUUCUUGGGGAAUAGGACCUUUUAAUAGAUUAGAAUCAAGGCUUAAGUACUGCAUCUUUGAUAAACUACCAACACAAGAAGGGAUUGAACCUUGAAGUUGGUUAUUAUCAAGGUACAAAAUUUCCAAAUUGGUUAAUUGGUACAGAGUAAUUGGUAUUGAAUCGACAAGUCUACUGUUGUAGAGAUCCAAACAAGUCAAAUUUCUCAAAUAUCCAAGUUCUAAUGGGAUAGAUCCAUUGAUUUGGUUCCCCCAAAGGAUCAGAGAUUGGAGACUGGUUAAUUGACCUAAAGCAGAAGGGAUUGGACCAACAAUUCUAUUGUUGGAGAGACUCAAAUAAGUCAAAUUUCUCAAAUAUCCAAUUUCUAAUGGGAUAGAUCCAUUGAUUUGGUUCCCCCAAAGGAUCAGAGAUUGGAGAUUGAUUAAUUGACCCAAAGCAGAAGGGAUUGGACCAACAAUUCCACAUUGCCUUAAGUUUAAAGUCACGAGGUUCUCUAGAUUCCCCAAUUGUGGAGGGAUGGAACCAUUAAUAUUAUCAUUAUUGGAAAUGUCGAGAAAAUUUAAUUGGGUCAGCUUUCCUAAAGAAGGAGGUAACUCACCAAAUAAACCACAAUUGGACAAGUCAAGGUACUUCAAUGCUGAUAUAUCACCUAUCUGAUGCGGGAUUUUUCCUCUAAGUUGAUGAUCACUAAGAUUAAGAAGGACAAGAUUUGGAAAUGAAGAGAAAUUGAGUUUCCCAAAUCUAUCUCCAACCUCAAUGUUGGGCGCAUCAGAUAAGUUAAUUUGGGUGAUGCUUUCAGCAGUGUUGCAGGUUAUACCAGGCCACUGGCAACAUUGUGAAGUAUUGCUGCUAUGGUUACUCCACCACCUGCUUUCUAGCAGAGCUAUGGCUUCGGACUCCAAUGGCGAUGGAUAUGCUGCUGUCACAGUUGUAGCAAAGGAAAGAAGGAUGGUGGCCCACAGUACCCCUAGAAUAACAGAAAUGGUUAAGGAUGGGGCCAUGUUUAAUCUGGUAAGGAUUUAGUGGUAGCAUAUAUGUUAUGGUUUCCAAACUGAUGAAUUUAAAGGAACUCAUCAAAGGAUUCAAGGUCUUGUUGCAAUAGUUGCAGGGGCCAGCUGUCGUCAUUGCUUCAGUCCUUGUCAUGGAACUUAAUUCAUCAAAGGAUUCAAGGUCUUUUUCAUGGAAAUUUCUAUGUUGUUAGUAUCAAUAAUGCAAAUAUUAUAUCAUGCAAAUACUUAUUUAUAAAAAAAAGUUAUGGUCAAAAAAUUUAAAUAUAACUUAUUUAUGUGUCCAUACUGUAUGUUAUAGAAAAAAAUAUACUUAUUUAUAAAACAAUUAUAAUUUUUUUCCAUGACUUAUUUAAAAAAAACUUUUUAAGAUAAAAAUAUAUAUUAUUUAUAAGAAGUGUUUUGGAAGUUAUUGGACACCUUAUAAAUAUUUUUUUAUAUAGUUGGUAUAUAUUAUAAAUUUUAUACUAUUUUAAACCUAAUUCAUGUAUUAUAAAAAUGGUUAUAAUUUAAAAAAUUUUAAGUUGUGGCCUAUUAGUCGAAUAUUCACCUUUUCAAGGAAUAGUCUAGGUCAAAAUCUCAUUGUUCAAAAAAAAAUUGUUAUAACUUAACAUAAAUCAUUUUUCUUGUUAUUUUUAUUAGUAAUCAUAUUAUCGAUUAUUUUCUUGGACUAAUAUAUUAAAUAUGAUAGAUUUUAUUUUAAUUUUUGGUUCAGUCGUGAUGGAAUUUAUUUUCCAAAGAAUUGGGCUUUUAAUGUGGCAUUUAUUUUAUAUAUCGUCUUCAAUUUCUAUAUAAGAAAUUUCUCACCCAUUAAAACUCAAAAAGUCGAGAGUUCAGACAAAUUAAUGGUGUUUUCUUUAUUGAUAGAUUUUAAUAUGUUUAUAUAAUAUAUUUUAUUGGAGUUAAUCCGAUAUCAAUUCGGUCGGAAAAAUUACUUAGAAAUAAGUUUUUUAAUAAAAUAAUGAAUAUUAAUAUAAGGUUAAAGUGUAAAAAACACCUUAGUAAAAAGUUAAAAAAUCAAUCAAGUUCAUAAUAGAAAAAUUGACCCAAUUGAGCAUUCAAUGAGAAAAAAAAUCAAUUGGCUCCUUUCGCUAACGAAAACGGUUGUUAACUGAUUUUAUCAAUAUUGGUUGUUGAUGUGGUUGGCGGAAGCUAUGACAAAUUGACAUGUGACAUUCCAUGUGGAAGUAUGUUAAUAUUGCUUGUCAAGUUAUUAGAAUAUUUUAAAAAUGUAAAAGUUAUAAAAUUUAUAAAAUUUAUUACAAAUAUAAAAAAUAAAAUGUGAAUAAUUUUUAAAAAGUUCCGAAAAAAUUAUAAAAUAUAACUUGACCUGCUAUGAUAGUUCCAUUUGGUAUUUCACUCAAAUGUCUAUAGAAAUAGUCUCAUGUAUUGGUAGUGUAAAUAAUCUUUAGACUUACACAAACUCUCCUUAUGUGUUAACCGUCAUACUUUGAUUCAUCACCAAAUGGAUUCACAUUGAUAGGUGCUUAAAGUAAUGUUUUAAAUAUGGUAUGACAUACGAAGGUGAUGGAGUGGUUUAGAAAGGACUCAUCACUCCAAGUGAUAUGAGAGGACAUAUCUUUUUUGCUCUUAACUUGUAUAAUUACAUAUCUUUUUAUGAAGGCCGAUAAUCAAGGUUAAUAUAAAGAAUUGCAAGUCUGACAUGGAUAAGCAAAGGUAGACACCACGCCAUGCCUUUUAACUUAUUUGGGAUAUAUAAUGGAAAGAUUGAAUUACACAUAAGUACUAAGUACUGAGUUUUUGUCGAAAAAAUUUUAAUUUUAACUUCACCAAUAAUUUGGGUCAUAAUGAAUUACUAAAUUCUACUCAUUUUUUAAUUGAAAUAGAUUAUAUUUAUUACCAACAUAAUUGAAAGUCUAACGGGUGACACACCAAAAAACACCGAGUCGUAGCAUAUACGUUAUAGUUUCCAAACUGAUGGAUUUCCAUAGGAGUCAAUGUCUUUUUGCAUUUGUUGUUAUUGCUUCAGCCGAUGUCAUGGAACUUACUUUUUCAUACGCGAUAUACUUCUUUUUCAUGGAAAUUUCCAUUUCGUGCCUGCAUAUUGAUUAGAAAAGAUAAGUAUACAUUUUUUAUGUUGUUAUUAGUAUCAAUGAUGCAAUUACUAGGGGUGAGUGUUGGAUCGAAUCGAGUAAAAUAAUUUCGAGUUGACGAGUCUCAUUUUAUCAUUCUAAUUCAAUUUGAAUUUUUUUUCAAAUCGAAUCAAGUGAAAUAAAAUUUGAGUCGAGCCAAAUUAAAUGAAAUUAUUUGAGUUAAAUUAAAAUUUUAAACAUGCCACAAUAAAUCUUACUACAAUCUAAUGAAUUUCAUAUUAAAACAUACAAAUUUAAAAUCAUUUAUAUAUUUAAAAACUCUUUUAAACAAAAUUAGAGACUUUAGAAUGACUAAACUAGAUUAAGUUUUAUGAAGUUAAGCUAAUUUCAGAGGCUUAAUUGAAUUAGGUCAGUGUUAGAGUCAUUUCCUUCAGCAGAUUAAACUGGAUUAAAUUUUAGAAUUUUUCAUAUUUCUUGUAUAAGCAAAAUGUCUUACAUAAUAUUUUAAUGAUUGAAAUAUUAUUAAUGUGACAUUUUAUUUGAAAAUCCCAAUGUGAAUUAAUUAUUUGAAAACAACUUAAUUUCAUGAAUUUUCUUUGCAAUUGUUUUGAAAAAAAAAAUCAGUUUAACUUGGACCACAAAGUAUAUGAUUUUGAAGAUUUCAAUAUAAAUUAAUUAUUAGAUUUGAGUGUGAUUAAUUGCUAUUAUAAAAGUAUAGUAUGUUUGACUAACUAUUGUUAUUGAUGGGUCCAUUAAAUUAAAUGUAAUUAUAGCACCUCAAUUAUACUAUUUAAUUUUUAGAGAGUUGAGAGUUGGGUAAUUAUGCGAGUAAUUACAAUAAAUUACUAAUUACCUUAUAGUUUUUCAAACAUACGUACAUGAUUUAAGAAAUUAUUUUUUAUACAAAUUUAUAAAAGUUAUUUUAAUAUAAUAAUAAAGUAUUUUAAUUUUAGAACAUAUAUUUUAUAUUUUUAAAAUAUAAUUAUAUAUUUCUUAUUGGGUCAAAAUUGCUUUGCUAUUAGACAUAUAAAUUCAAAUAUUUCAUGCAAAUAUUAGAUUUGAGUGCAAUUACUUGCUAUUGCAAAUGUGUGGCGUGUUUAGAAAACCAUUGUGAUUUGUGGGUUCACUAAAUUGAAUGUAAUUUUAGCACCUCAAUUAUGCUAUUCAAUUUUUAGGGGUUGAGAGUUGGGGUAAUUACGCGAGUAAUUACAAUAAAUUACUAAUUACCUUAUAGUUUUUUAAACACAUGUACAUGAUUUAAGAAAUUAUUUUUUAUACAAGUUUACAAAAAUUAUUUUAAUGCAAUAAUAAUAUAUUUUAAUUUACAAAAAAUAUUUUAAUAUAAUAAUAUAUUUUAAUUUUAGGACAUAUAUUUUAUAUUUUUUUAAGUAUAAUUAUAUAUAUCUUAUCGGGUCAAAAUUGCUUUGCUAUUAGACACAUAAGUCAAAAUAUUUUGUGUAAUUUUUUUUUGAUUUCUCAAUCUAUCUACCUAAGCAAGCCCGAUAACUAAUCUUUCACAUUCUGUAAGCCCAUUAAGGGGGUAGAUACUGGCCACAAGUUUUAAAACUACUCCAUACCUAGAGUAAGGAUCAAACCCUCGAUUAUUGAUUAAUGUAGGAGAAACCCUUGCCAUGUCACCUAACUCCUGUAUUUUUUUAAAGCAAAUUUUAACCUAGCAAAUUAUGCUUAUAAAUCGUGUGUUAUAAUUUUUAUACUAUUAUUGUGUGACACAUAUUUGAGCACUUUAACAUAAGCACCAUAAAAGCUAUUCAGCACUUUAUAAAAACAUUGUUUAUAAAUGUUAUAUUAUAAAAUUUAUAUAUAUAUUUAUCUAAAUUGCAUGAAAUAAUAGCAAUCGAAAUAUUAUAAAAAGGUUAUAAAGUUGGUUUAUUAUUGAACACAUAGUAAACUGCAAAUUAGAUUUAUAAAAACUAUUAUAAUUGAAGGAUUAUAAAGUUGAUUUGUGCCUCAAAUACUAGAAUGCUAAGAAUGAUGUUUGAGAGAGAAAAUAGAUCAAAAUUGUACUUCAUAAAUACAUUAAUAUUAUCAUCACCUUGCUGUUAUUUUAUUUUUCUCACAAAUCAUUUAAAUUGUUACAUGUUUUUUAGGAAAUAUUAUGUGAUAGAUAUUGAUUAUGCAAAUGCAAAAGGUUUUUUGCAAUAUAUCACGGGGUAUGAUAUCAUUUGAAAGAAUAGAGCUAGACACAAGUACCAAACACAGCUCGCAAACUCUUUAUUCAAAGCUUUGAAAUGUGGUUGAGAGGAUAUUUGUUGUUCUAAAAAAAUAUUUCUCAUAUUAACAAACCACAUCAAUAUAGUCCAAAAAACAAUGUUCAAUCGUUCUAACUUGUUGUAUACUUCACAAUUCCAUUUAUAGGUGGAAUUGGAAUUAUCAAUACUUUUAAAUAGUACAUGAAAAAAAAAAGAUCUUGAUAAUCUUAAUGAUACAAAUAAAAAAAUGAUUUCAAUAAUCUUAAUGAUGCAUAUUCAGAUUUUGAUGUAGAUGAUGAAUGUUAUAUCCCCGCCACAUGGACACGUGUCAAUAGUAUAGACAACAUUAACCCUCUCAUUGAGUUUUCCUAAGAAGAUGUCUCACUGGACCAUCCACUAAGAUCAAAGGAGCACCAACCCUUUAGAAAGGCUUGGCACCCCCUUUUUUGGUGUGAACACAUCCUUGAGUCCAUUAGGACUUGCAUGGGCAUAACAACCUUGUAUUGAUCAAAUGAAUAACAUAAUGGGGCCCAUCAUGAAUAUCCUUUAUGUUCAUGAAUAUCCUUUACACAUUUGGUGGGACUGAACAUUUAUCCUGCCAUGUCAUGCUAAUGGACAAGUGGACCUCUCUUAUAAAUACCUUUCCAACGAUGAAGAAUGGAUCGAUUUUCCAAUCCUUAAAGUUACUCUGAGCAGCCAUCUCCACUUUCAGCAAUCAGCCUAUCCUCUUGUUCCUUUUCGGCUCUCCACCUCUUUAAGUGAACCGGCCUCCACAAAACCACCACUCACUCCACCUUACCUCCUCCUUACUCCCCUCCAUUGUUGUACCUUGUAUCAACAAUGAAGAAAUUGGUCAAGAACUAAUAGAUGAUGAUAAGAAGUAGAUGUUAAAUGUUAGAAAAGGAAUAACCCAACAAACAUGGAAUGCUAAAGCAAUAAUAAAGUUGCAUAUAAUGUUUAUUUUUCUUUUUUUUUAUCGGUAAUCAUGUUGUCGGUUAUUUUCUUGGACUAACAUAACAUGAUUUGAUUUUAAUUUAUGUCACUUGUUUAAAAUUUUUUCUCAGAUAUUAUUGAUAAAUAUUUAUAUUAAUUAAUACUUUUUAAACAAUUUAAAAUUUGUAAAUGUGUAAUUACAAUUUAUAUUACUAAACAAGGCACAAAGAAUUACAAUAUAAUUACACUCUACUAGCUAAAUGCAUCUAAUUCUUUUCAAUUACUAGAAGGUGACAUUACUAACUUAACAAUCACAUUUUUAUCUAAUUCCUUCGUGGCAUCAAAAUGCACUUUACAUGUAUACGUGGAAACACCUCGUACAUUGUGUGCCUAUACUAUGCACGAAUGUAAAAUUAAUUAAAAAAGACAUAUCAAUAGUUAAAGUAGGGCUUAAAGGUAUUUUUGAUCGUCGAACUUUUUCGAAAAAAAUCAAUUAAGCCCCUACGAACUUUUUGCACCCAAUUGAGGGCAAUUUACCAAAAAAAGCCUAUUUUUUUUAAAUUUACCAAAAAAAAGCUUUAUGAGAAGAAUUUAUGAAAUCGUGCCCACGUGGAUGCGCUUUUGCUACAAUAGCAUGUUUGGGCUGAGGCUAUAAAUGAGGCAAAAAAUGUUCUCAAAAUGCAUAAGUCACAGCAGAAACAAUUUAGAGAGGCUAAGAAGGUUAGAGUUUCAAAUAUGAGUGAACAUAUUAGUGCUGUUAUUUACUACGAUGGUGAGGUUUGCCACACCGAGAAUGGUGUUGUUUUUUUAUCGGAGAAUACGGUGCGACUGGUUUUUAACCAGAACAUAGAUUUGACAAAACUUCGUAAAAGAAUUAGGCGUAAAAUUUUUGGAACGACACCAAUGAAAGUUCUGUCUAUCACGUGUUGAUUUUGUUCUUCUGUUGAUCCGGUGACAUAUGACUCGUUCGACAUAAAAGGUGCUCGUAACUUGGAGGCAAUUGUGCAGACUCAUUUUGCUAGUGGAGCACCUUAUAUUGAGUUAUAUGUACAAUUUACACCGCCAAAUGAUGUACUUGCGACUGGUGUUCGAGAUGUAUACAUGACCACUAGUUGACACUGGGUUAGCAGGUUACAAAACACAGAAUAGCCCAUAUUUGAUAGUGGUGUCGAAUGCACAUCCCCUGCAAGACACUCUGUUGGUGGAUGGGAUAUGUACGUCAGUGGCUCGACGUUUGAUGCUAGAAAUACGUAUUAGGGAACGACAUCAAGUUCUAGUGGGUGGCAAUCUACAUCCAAUUGGGGACGUUAUGAAAUGCCCAGAAGAAGGGAUGAUGUACACCCUACGACGUCAACCGGUGAGGGGACCUCGUACGCUGCAGAUGAUUGUGGGUUAGAAGAUGACUGUAAUGUGGAUCCACCUCGAGAGCUCGGGCCCGAUGGUGCAGAAGUUGGCUUAUUUUCUGAACCGGAGCCUAUUCCAACAGAACCUGAAGAUGCUGAAAGGAGUUCAAUUGAAGAAGAAAAUCCAUGAUUCAGAGUAUACUCACCUCUAGCCCACAUACAUAAUGUCGAUCUGUCUGCAGAUGAUACGUUAGAGUUUCCAGAUCUACCACACCUGUUGCGUGAUCGUACAAGUUCGGGGCUAGAUUCGGGUGAAUUUGAAGUUGGCAAUCAGUUUACCAACAAGGAUAGUUUUAUUGGUGCUUUGAAACAACAUGGCAUCAAAAACGACGUUAACUACCACGUCGUUAAAUUGAAAUUUGAUAAGUUUGAGGUGAAGUAUGCGGUACAAGACGGCACAUGUUCAUGGAAAACCUACGCCUCGUUAAGGAAAAGGACAGGGUUGUGGGAGAUUAAAAAGUACAAAGGUCCACAUACAUGUGCUGUAGGUACAAUAUUGACGGUUUUUAAAUAAUACUUUUAUUAUGUAAUGUUGCAUUAUUUAAUGUACUCCAAUUAUAGGUGUUUUACAAGAUCAUCCCAAGAUGGAUUUAGCUAUGUUAGCUAGCUUGAUACUGCCCACGGUAAAAGCAGAUCCCAAGACUUCAGUGCCGGUGUUAAUUGCCAAUAUCUGUAGCCAAAUAGGGUACACGCCAUCUUACCGCAAGGCUUGGAUAGCUAAGCAAAAGGAAUUGGAGAAGAUGCAUAGUGGGUGGGAUGCCUCAUAUAAUAAAAUAUGGCAGUGGUGUCAAGUGCUAGAGAGGUACGUCCCAGGUGCCAUCAUAGACCUUCAAACGGAACAUGCGUACUACAACGGCCGAUUGCUACGUGGAUGCCGAGUGUUCAAACACCUGUUUUGGACCUUUAAGCAAUGCCGAGACGCAUUUCCAUACUGUAAGCCAUUGGUACAAAUUGACGGUACCUUUAUGUUUGGUAGGUAUACUCAUCGGCUAUUGCUUGCAGUGGCACAGGAUGGCGGUGGGAGAAUUCUUCCAAUUGCAUUUGCAAUAACACCGGGGGAGUCAUCUGAUGAUUGAGAUUUCUUUCUCUCUAGGUUAAGGAGGCAUGUGUGCCCCCAACCUGAUAUCUGUGUUAUUUUAGAUCGGGGCACCGAUAUACUAGUUGCAUUUGAUCGAGAGGGAAGCUUAUGGCAGCGCACGCACCAUCGAUAUUGCCUAAGACACGUUGCUCCCAACUACUACAGUCAAUAUCCAUCUAAGAACGAAUGACGACAAGUGACCAACAUGUGUAUUUAGUCUAUAUUUGUGUUUUUCGUUUGUCAAUUUGAAUUAGUUUUAUUAGUAUAAGUGGCAUGUAAUAUUCUCUAUGAACUUAUAUUGGUAGGGUAUGAAAUAAAUAAAGACCGUUUUCACGAGAUGUUGGCAAUUUUACGUUCAAUUAACAAAGGAGGGGCGUACUACCUUUUAACAUACGUUUCAAAUAGUGGGCACAAGCAUACGACGACGGCCUACGAUAUGGCCAUAUGACGUCAAACCUGGCUGAAUGCAUAAAUUCUGUUCUUAAAGAAACGCGUCAUCUACAGAUAACAUCAGUUGUGCGAGAGACAUAUUUUCGUUUGGUGGCACUAUUUCCAAAGCGAGCAGCAAGUUAUGCAGGCCAGAUGCAGAGAGGCCAUGUAUGGUGCAGCAAGGUAGUUUAAGAAAUUCACAAGGCCAAGGCGCGGGCAAACACCAUGCACACCGUGUGUCACGAUUGAGACAACUUAUUGUUUCGCGUGACAGAGUUUGAUAGACCGCUCCAAAGUGUUGUUGGUGGGCAAUAUCAUGUAGACUUGCGAAAUAGGACUUGCGACCGUGAGAGUUUUGAUGCACUUUGUUAUCCAUGCUCUCAUGUUAUUGUAUCUUGUCAGAAUCUCCGUCUGGAUCCGAUGAGCUAUGUGGACGAAGUGUACAAAUUAGAAAACAUGUACAACAUCUAGAGACACGUUUUCCCACUGGCCCCAGAUGAACGUAAGUGGCUGCCCGUAUCUCUUGCUCAUUUUAAGCUGUUACUGGAUAGAAAAUUGCGUCGCAAACCAAGGGGUCGACCUUGCUCGACUAGAAUACGCAACAAUAUGGCUAUCCGAGAAACAGCCAGUCAACAAAAGUUGUGCGGAUGGUGUAGGAAUCUAGGCCAUACAAGUCGAUCAUGCCCUAAUCGCAAUAGUUGAAUGUAAUUGCUGCUAAUUAUAUUUUUUCAAUUAUUAAUUGAUAAUUGUAUUAAUUGUUAGAAAAAUUAUAAAAUUAUAUAAAAUUAUUAAUUGUUAGUACUAGUCAAAACAUUUUUCCAAAUCUAACAUUACGUGAAUGUAAAGUUAUUAACUGAUAAUUGUAUUAAUGGUUAGUAAAAUUAUCAAAUUAUAUUUAAGUUAAGGGACAAGGAUAGUUUUUAAGCCUUUAUGUUAGGGUUUUUAUGUUAAGGGUUUAGGGUAUUUAGGUUGAGGGUUAGGGUUUUAGGUUAAGGGUUUAUGGAAUUUAGGUUAAGGGUUUAAGGUUUUUAGGUUGAGGGUUAGGGUUUUUAGUUUAAGGGUUGAAGGUUUUUAGGUUAAGGGUUAGAGUUUUUAGGUUAAGGGUUUAAGGUUUUAAGUUUAGUGUGUAGAGUUUUUAUGUUAAGGGUUUAGGGUUUUUAGGUUGAGGGUUAGGGUUUUUAGGUUAAGCAUUUAGGGUUUUUAGGUUAAGGGUUAGGGUUUUUAGGUUGAGGGUUAAGGUUUUUAGGUUAAGGUUUAGGGUUAGGGUUUUUAGAUUAAGGGUUUAUAGAAUUUAGGUUCAGGGUUAGGGUUUUUAGGUUAAGGGUUUAUGAAAUUUAGGUUAAGGGUUUAGGGUUUUAGGUUAAGGGUUAGGGUUUUAGAUUUAAGGUUUAGGGUUUUAAGUUUAGUGUAUAGGGUUUUUUGGUUAAGGGUUUAAGGUUUUUAUGUUAAGGGUUAGGAUUUUUAGGUUAAGGGUUUAGGGUUUUAAGUUUAGUGUGUAGGGUUUUUAGGUUAAGGGUUUAAGGUUUUUAGGUUGAGGGUUAGGGUUUUUAGGUUAAGGGUUUAGGGUUCUUAGGUUAAUGGUUAAGGUUUUUAGGUUAAGGGUUUAGGGUUUAGGGUUAGGGUAUUUAGGUUUAUGAGUUUAGGGUUUAAGGUUAGUGUUUUAGGUUAAUGGUUAGGGUCUAGGGUUAGGUUUUUAGCUUAAGGGUUUAUGGUUUUUAGGUUUAGGGUUUAGUGUUUUUAAUUUAAAGGUUAGAGUUUUUAAGUUAAGGGUUAUGAUUAGGGUUAGGGUUUUUAGUUUUGGGGUUUAAGGUUUGUCAAUUAAAUUAUAAAUUAUAGAUUUAUAAAUUUUUAAGAAAUUAGUUUAGGGUUUUAAGUAAUAACUCAAAACAAUUUCUAUUUUAUUACAUCAAAUAGUAUCAAAAUAUUCAAAAUAUUUGUACAAAUAAAUUUAAAUACAAAAAUCAAUGUCUGUGCCCGCUGGAUUCAGUGCCACAUGGCGGCCGUCGAUGGUUACGCGCUGGAUGCCUCCUUUGUCCAGGUUCCGGCGGCGGUUGUGGUUCCUGUGGCGGGGAUUCUGGUUCUUCUGGUAGGGUAUCUGGUUGUCGGAGUUGGGACGAUGAUCCACCUUCAAAGAAUAGUGAAUGUGGAGGUUUUUGCAUCACCAACGGUGACGGUGUUUGAAACUCAUACGGUGGUGGGGAUUGGUAAAAAGAAGAGCUCCUCGACGGCCCCUCUUGCGAUCCCUCGUGUGCUGCUGACCUAUACAUCGGCGGUCCACUCGGCGUAACAGGAAACAGAGCUGAACCGGGCCAUUGGCUCCAACCUGCCUUAGGACUCGGAAAAGGAUACAUAUAAGGGUUAGGAUAUAUAAAAAGGCUAGGAAACGCACCUGGCAUCAUCUGAAAAAGCGGUUGCGUGGGUAUCAUCGGUUGGACUGCUGGGUCAGGUGACUGUGUCGGUACUCUCGUUGGGCCUAGUGAUUGCAUGACCUCUGAUGAUGGGCCGGGUGAAUGUCUAGGCCUCGUUGAGGGGCUAGCGUCGUCGUCUUGUCGUCUUGGAUUUUGAGGCCUGCGCCUUUCCCUUUGGACACGUAAUUGCCGCUGCCUCUCCUCUGGCGUCAGUAAAUACAGCUUGCCAUGAAUCCUAAACCAUGACAUGUAUUCCAGCACCCACACUAACUCCGGAACGAUGAUUGGUUCCAGAGUAGGUAUGUAUUCAUACCGAUCUUCCCACAUUUCCAUGUACUCGAACCAGUAUCUUGGCCAAUCCGUAUUCAAUUGCCGAAGGUCGAUUUUGUGUUGAUCGUCAAACACCUCAGGUUCCACGGGAAUUAGUUGUCUACAUCUAAACUGUCGUAGCACUCUGUCUGACUGGUGUGGCUCCAUGGUCGUGUAGUUGAUCAACACGACUUUCACGUGCCAAGCGUUUCGAUUUUGUAANNNNNNNNNNNNNNNNNNNNNNNNNNNNNNNNNNNNNNNNNNNNNNNNNNNNNNNNNNNNNNNNNNNNNNNNNNNNNNNNNNNNNNNNNNNNNNNNNNNNNNNNNNNNNNNNNNNNNNNNNNNNNNNNNNNNNNNNNNNNNNNNNNNNNNNNNNNNNNNNNNNNNNNNNNNNNNNNNNNNNNNNNNNNNNNNNNNNNNNNNNNNNNNNNNNNNNNNNNNNNNNNNNNNNNNNNNNNNNNNNNNNNNNNNNNNNNNNNNNNNNNNNNNNNNNNNNNNNNNNNNNNNNNNNNNNNNNNNNNNNNNNNNNNNNNNNNNNNNNNNNNNNNNNNNNNNNNNNNNNNNNNNNNNNNNNNNNNNNNNNNNNNNNNNNNNNNNNNNNNNNNNNNNNNNNNNNNNNNNNNNNNNNNNNNNNNNNNNNNNNNNNNNNNNNNNNNNNNNNNNNNNNNNNNNNNNNNNNNNNNNNNNNNNNNNNNNNNNNNNNNNNNNNNNNNNNNNNNNNNAAACAUUCAUGUAUAUAUAAAAUUAAUAUAAAUCAAAUCAUCGAAUAAUAAUAACAUAAAAACACAUAAUAAAAAUCAGAUUAAAUGUUAAAUAUAAAAUAAACAAACAAAUAAAAUGUUAAAAGGAAAAUUUAAUAAAAACCCCUUUUUAUUUAAAAUAAAAUUAAAAACAAAUAUAAAAAAUAAGUAAAUAAAAAAAUAACUAAAAAUGAGAAUAAUAGGUCUGAGGGACUGAAUUAAAUUCGGGUCACAAUAUUGCGGUUUAAACUGCAAAUAAUUAAAAAAAGUUGCAAAGGACCGAACUGAAACACGCUCGAAGCGUGAGGGACCUAUAGGGAAAUAUUCCCCAGCCCUAAACGCAUGAGGGUCUGCGCACGGUCUAAGGACCAGAUUGAAGCAGACACAGAAUUCGCGGCCCAAAUUAUAAAAAUAAAAGGUCAGAUUGCGCUUCAGCGCAAGAUGAAGGGACCAAAUGCGCAAAUUACCCAUUAGGGCAGAAUGCGCAGAUCACCUUCCCUUAAACGGUGCCGUUUUCGUCUUUACUUCAACAACCCUUUUUUAUUUUUCUCAUUUCCCCACCCUGCACACUAAAAAACUGCAGCAACCCUCUCAAUACUCCCCAUGCCCUCUGACGAUCGGCCUCUCACCACCGUUCGUCUAUCCGCCGCACCGCCACCAAAACGAUGGCCAACGAAGCGCGACGAAAGGCUUUUAAAGCCUGGUUCUUGGUGGGUUGAGCGGACGGGCUUUCGAACCCCAUAAGGUCCGAGAUAGAGGCCCACAGCCCUCUCCCUCCAAAUUUGGUCUCGAUGACGGAGACCAACCCUCCGACGGUGGUCACGGGCAUCCGGUAAGCCCCUGCUCUUUAUUUUAUUUUUGUUUGAAAAAAAAUAAAUGAAGUAAAAUAAAAAAAAUAAAAACAACAGAUUUAAAAAAUCACCUUUAUUUUUUCUGUUUUUUUAUUUCUCUUUUUUGUUCGUAAAAUCGAAAGAAGAAGAGUACAAUUGCCUUAUUUGGCUUUUUAUAGCCGAUUACAAACGUUUAAUCUCUGCCUCAUUUGUCGUUUUCUAUUUGUUUUCUCUAUUUGUUGUUCUGUUGGUUGUCUUUUGCAGGUGACAGAACAGUGUCAGAUGCGCGUGGAUGGGGUGCUGGCGUGAGGCGACGCGAGGGCGUGGCAGACGAGGAGGCCACGCAUGGAAGCUUGCGGUGCCAAGUUUUAGGGGAGGCAACUAGGGUUUGCUGAAAAUCUUUAAGUUUGUGGGCUUAGGGUUUCUGAUUUUUGGGCCUAUUGGGUUUGGGCUUGUAGUUUUUUGGGUUUAAAUUUGCUGAAAAUGAACUAUUUUUAUUUUUAUUAUUUGUGUUAUUUUGUUGGUAUGGGCCCGGGCAAAAAUGGGCUCUUACAGCUGCCCCUCUUUGCUCAUUCUUUUUUAACGGGAAUAGAGCAAAGACUAAGAAAGACCAAUUUUGCCCGGUCUCACCGAGUCUUGACUUCUUUGGGUGCUUCUCUUCAAGUAGCUUCAUUCCAGUCUACAGUGUUUUAUUGCUUCAGUCCAUUUCAUUGAUGCUUUUUUCUUUGGUUAUUUCUCUGAUUGUUUUUGUUCUUCAAAGUUAUUGUAUUUUGGUUACUCUGUAAAUUCGUUGCUUUCUCCAUGGCCACAUGUGAGUUUCCCUUUUUCUCUUUCUAUGUAAUUUUUCAGGGUAAGCUGACCAAGAUUUGAAGUGGGGGUUUUGGUUGUUUUUCAAGCUUGGUUCUUGAGUUAGCAUUUUUUUUUGGUAAUCUCUUGAAUUAGCUUUUAUGUGUAAGGGAAAGGGUGUUUGGUAUAUUUGGUAUUUGUUUUGUUAAGAGACUGGGAUUUUUGGAAUUGGAAUUUGUUUCUUGAAUUGUUAAGAGAUUGGGAUUCAAGACCAAUUGCCAUUUUGGGUUUUUAUUUAGCAUAUAUUUAUUAGAAAUUAUUUUUCAUUUUUUAAUUUGUUUAAUAGUCUAUUUCCAAUUAUUUUUUUCAUUUUCCAUUUGUUUUAAACUCUAAAUGUUAACCUUUUGUUUUAUCAGAGAAGAACAAUCUGAAUAUUUUGUUGUAAUGCAGCAUGUUUGACACUAUAAAAAGCUAGUUUAUCUACCAUUUUCUAUUGUCUGAAGUCUGAACUUUUGGGGUAAAUGUGAAGAUUCUAACUGUGUAAAGUUUCAUGUCUCUUAAAGCGCCAUUGGCUCGCAUGCAUCUUGUGAUGUAUGCACUGUUGUAAGGCUUGAGUUAGCAUCUUCCAUCCUUUGCAGGCAAUAGAAGUUUGUUUAUACUAUACUGUAGUGAAAAGAAACCUGUAUAUUUUUGCCUUUGUACUUUGAUUUAGACAUGCACGCUCUGACAUGUUUGAUAGUUUCUAAUUAUGCUACCGUGUUAUACACCGAUAAAGCUGUAAAUUUGCUUGUAGUAAUGUAAUGUAUCUAUGCAUGCAUGACAUGAUGCAGACCCUGCAGGGCCACUACAUUUUUUGUGCAUAUUAUGAUCUUUAAGCCUGAUGCUUUGCAUUCUUUGCUUUGAGAUGUACACCAUAAAUUAGAUAUUGGAAAUGUUUGAGCCUGAUAGAUGCAUUCAUAACUUUAAAAGUCCAGAAACCCUUUUUGUCCCAUCAUUAAUCUGACAUGACUUGUCUGAUUGUCUCUCCACAAAAUCAAUAAAGAUUUUUAGCAAUUAAUUAUCUUAUCAUUGCUUGAGAAACUUUCAUAUAUGUAUGUAUGCACUUUAGUCAUGGUAACUUGCAGUUAUUUCAGGUAGCUUAGGAGUUCCAAAUAUUAAAAUUCCAAAGUUGUGUUUCAAGAAAUUUGUAUAAAGUAAAGACUAGUGCGAUAUGUUUAUGGCGAGGGAUAAAUCCCUGCUUGAUGUACUUUAUUCAUUGCACAAUGAGGCAUGGGGAUAGAGAGUUGAAACAAUAAACUAUUUUGCCUUCACUUAUAUUUCUUUUGGUUCUUAAAGAAAUACAGCAGUCUCAUGAAGACAUAUUUACUAUGUAAUUUUGCCCGUUUCACGUUAGUAGCAUAUUUCCUCUUGGAUGGCUUUACUAACUAAUAUUUUUUUAAAAGCCUUUCGUGAGUAGUUGGUAGAUAAUUCAUAUAUGCAGAGUUGUGCUUAUAUGUAUAACAAAAGAAAUACACACUACUUGUGCAGUGGUUGAUAAAUAGAACAGUAGUUUUUGGUUUGUUUACAUUGGAGGAGAAUAUGAUAGUUUCUAUGGUGCAACUUGACAACAUCAAUUUCUUCUAUCGUUCCUAUUAAUCCAAAGUCUAAUAUUAUCCAAACCUAAGCCAUAACAUGUAUGUGGAUAUUAUAAGGUAAGACUUCCGAAUGAAUAUAUUUUAUAUUAAAAAUAUAUAUUUAUAAAAUUAUUUUAAUAAAUAAUUAUGGGUAAAGUGAAAAAACUAAAAAUAGUGUAUUUACAAGUUACCAAUCAUGUAUAAUCACACUUAAAUAUAAUUAUUAAAUGGAUAUUUAUUUUUUAUAUUCAAAAUUGGAACGUUUGAAAAUCGAAAGUGUAAAACGAAAAAACAAUGAAAAAUAGAAUUUGUCCUUAUAAUUAAAUUAGAAAAUAAAUAAAUAAUAAUGAGGUGAGAAAUGAUAUUGUGGUUGAAAUAUAUGUAAAAAUAAUGUAAAAUAUAAAUUUAUUGGUAGAUAUAAAAUAAACUCAAUUAAAUUCUCAAAUGUAUGUUUCAUUUAAAACAGUUUUUUUGAAAUAUUUUCAGGAAAUCUGCCAAACAACAGAAAAUAUUUUAUACAGAUUCAUUCAAACACCAAAAAAGUAAAUCAUUCUUAGAAAGUAAAUCAUUUUCCAGAAAUAUUGGUAAGCAAACGGAAGUUCAGGCUAAGAUUAAAAAACAAAAAAAUACAUGGUUUAGUUAAUUACAUGUUAUUGUCUCUGAAAAGGGCCUUCUUUUUUUAUUUUUUGUAAUGGUCAUCUUAUUUUUAAAAUAAUUUGUAUAGAUUGAACUUAAUCAUUUAUAGAUAUUGUGGCAGCCUGAUUCCUUCAAUAAAUUAUAAAUGCAGGUUUCAUUACUUAAUUACAUGUUAUAACCAACUCAGUAUUUGACUUUAGACCUUUAAGUAGACAAUUAGGUUUUUAAAUCUGUAAUCUUCUCAGACUUGCAAAUUGAUAUUAAGAAUUGUGAUUGCUGGUAAAUGCUCCUUCGAUCAUGUUGAUGGUCAAGCUAAUACAGUCCCACCUACAAAUGCUCUCUUGCUUAUGCAUUGUCGAUCUGCUUUUGCUAAGAGCUGGUUAGAAGAAGCUAUGGGUCGAAGAGGACGGGGAAGAUCAAGGAGACAAACAGGAGUGCAAGAGGAAAGACGAGGAAAAAACAAAAAAAAUUGAGGUCUUUAACGGAAGAAGAAAACAUGAAGGUGAAAGAGAGCUUAGUAGUGAUGAAAUACGAUCUUGAUUUCUACAAAAUUUCAUCUGAUAUAGCCUAAGAGACAUGGCUUGUUGGUGGAAUGAAAGAUCAUUUAUACUAAAGCCAAAGUUGGAAGAGAUGAUUAUAUUAUAUUAUUAUCCCUAGUGAUUACUCUGUUUUGUUCAUAGUUUCACUUUAUAAAUACUUUUUUGUGCUUUAUUUCCGAACCCUUUCAUCAUAGGACUAGAAAUUCUAAGCCUUAUAUAAAAGUAAAAGUUUACCCAAUAAUAUACAAAAAUCAUAAAAUAAAGUUCAUUUUAUUAAAAUAAGUUUAAAAUCCUAAACUUAAAAUUAAUAUAAAAAUAAAAAACUAAAUCAAAUUGAAUUAUUAUAGAUAAUGUAAAAAAAUUAAGAGUCCUUGCCCCUAAGUAUCUUACCCCUAAGCAUUAAUGAAGUCUUUAGUGGCCUUUUCUUUAACAAAAAUUACCCCUAAGCAUCUUUCCCUCUUUCCAAAAUGGUUUGGUCAUUUUUAGUGUAGUCUUUUUUAGAAAGCUUUCUUCUAAACCAUUUAACCUUUAUGCAAAUUGAUGAAAGGAACAUUGUAUGUAUAAAUUUCAUUUUUUUGCUUUAAUUCACAAUUAAUUUACUUAUAUUUGAUUUAUACUUUGAUUUGUUCUAUCAUACUUGAAAAAAGCACGAAAUGGAAGGGAACUAUUGGGAUGGUGUCUGAAUAGUUAUAUCAAAUUGUAGGAUUUAUGAUCUGUAAAGAAAUCGAAUAAACAAGUUUAUCGAACAUUGCAAUUCAUUCCAUCAUAUAUAACAAAUGAUAUGGUUUACGAACAAAUCAUCAAAGCUUGAUAAACAAUACCUAAUCAAGAACAAGUGCAUAGAGUUUAAACAAUACAAGUUUCAGUUCUAUCUCCAAUAUGCAUUUCACGGUUCACAAGUUGUAACAAAGAGAUCAUUCGAAAGGGAAUUCCCAAGGAUGUUUGGACACAAAAAAAUCUUCGUACACUUUUUUCAUCGUUGGUCGAGAUUUGGGUUGUGGAUUUAGGCAAGCAAUGUGAACAAGAUUUUGUACAACUAAUUGGCUUGUCAGAAGUGAUAAAUAGUUGUUUAGCACAUCAAUCAGCCUCGUAUUUACCAAGGAAGUUGAUGAUGGCAACCAUGAUAACACUUUUUUAGGAUGCUUUCCCAUUAAUGUUUCCAGUGCCACCACUCCAAAACUAUAGACAUCAUAUUUUUCAGUGACAACCAUCGUAUAGGCAAGUUCUGCAUACGAAAACCCAAAUAAAAAAACCAUUUAUAUGUUCAAUUAAUUUUAUAAAUUCUAAAGAAAAUGUCAUCAAAACGAAGCAAAGAAAAUCACCUAGGGCUACAUAACCAGAUGUGCCCACAAUAAUGGUCUGAUUGGAUGAUUCGAGAUCCAUCAUUUUAGCAGUCCCAAAGUUAGCUACAAAGGCCUCAAAGCUCGAGUUUAAAAGAACAUUGUUACUUGAUAUGUCUCGAUGAACUAUUGAAGGGCUGCUGUUGAAGUUGGCCUUUAUGUAGCUCAUGAAGCAAGAAGCAGCACAUGCAGUCCAGCCUGCAGGAGCUGAAGCACGAUGCUACUGUUUAGUUUAUUUUAUUUUAUUACUCUAAUGUUCAUUUUGUAAUCAAGUUAGAAUUGAACUUAGUUGGUGAUUGCAUUUUGAUUUAAUUAGGUGUUGAUUGAUUAAAAGAUCAGCAAAACAACAUGUACAAGUUAAUUUAGCGAGUUUCAAUGUAACUUAGUGGUGUUAGGUGGUUUGUUUAGGUGAAAAUUUAUUUGUUUUUGAUCAGCUUGACUGAUAUAUGUAAUGGCUUAAUGCCUUACUUUGUUAUAAUAAUGAAAAUCAACUUGUUUUCAUCCAUAUACUUUCUAUUUUUCUUUGCCUUUAAUUUUUGUUCCGCUCUUAAGCAAAUUCCUACUUAAUUUCUUCUCUAAGUCACGAGUCUUGUUGCUCAAGUCAGUAGUUGACUUUGCUUCAUCUUUGUUCUUCGUUCAUAACACCAACAAUUGGUAUCUAGAGCUGUUGUCUUAGUGGACCUAUCAACUUAAAUCGAUAGCUUCAUCAGACUUCUCACCAGCUGCACCACCAGUCUUCAAUAGAGAGCAAUCACAUAUGGGUGGUCAAAAUGAAGACCUACCUGUAGGCAUUUGAUCUGUAGGAGGUGGUCAACCCAGAUGUUGAACCAGAGCCACUCAGAGCCAAUCCAACAGUGGCUCAGAUCAGGUAGCAUGCUGAUGAAAGGACCAAAAGGCACAAGGCCAUGUCUUACAUCCAAAACUUUGUGUUAGAUGUAAUUUUUACAAGAAUCAUGGCCUGAGAGACACCAAAAUAGCCUAGGAUAGACUGAAGGAGGAGUUUCAAGGAACAGAGAGGAUAAGGCAGCAACAAUUGUUGAACCUAAAAAGGGACUUUGAAAAUUUAAAAAUAAAGGAAGAAGAAACUGUCAAACAGUACUCAGAUAGAAUGGCUGUGGUAAACAGUAUAAGGCUUCUUGAUGAGCAGUUUAGUGAAGCAAAGAUAGUGGAGAAGGUGAUUUCAACCUUGCCUGAAAGGUAUGAAGCAAAAAUUUCAUCUCUCGAAGACUCAAGGGACCUGACCAGCAUCACAUUGACAGAGCUGAUUAAUGCUCUCUAUGCACAGGAGCAAAGAAGAGCUAGCAGAUUGGAAGAGCACUAAGAAGGUGCCUUUCAAGCAAAGACCAAUUUUACCUUGACCAUUACUGCCUACAAAGUUAAGAAGGCUUGGAAAGACAAGCCUAAGUUUGAUUUUGUAAAAGGAAGGGACAAACCCUGCAGGCAUUGCAAGAGAACUGGUCAUCCAUAAGCCAACUGCUGGUUUAGACCAGAUGUUCAGUGUCAACACUGUAAAAAGAUGGGGCAUGUUGAAAGGGUUUACAGAAAUAAGAGUAAACCGAGAAAAAAUUAACCACAGCAGCCAAUGGUUGAGGCUCGAGUAGCAAAAGAAGAUAGUGACCAUGAGGAGCAACUCUUUCCUAUGUCAUGCUCAACUGCUCAGAAGAAGCUCAUAAAAGGCUAGCUCCUAGACAGAGGUUGCACCAACCAUAUGACACCAGAUGCUGCCAUCUUCAAGUCCCUAGACAGAAGCUGCAAGACCAAGGUAAAGAUUGGUAAUGGUCACUUCAUAAAGGCAGAAGGUAAAGGAGAUGUGCUGAUAUGCACUCCUACAGGUAACAAGCUCAUCUCGAAUGUGUUGUUGGUGCCUGAAAUUGAUAGAAACCUACUCAGCAUAGCUCAGUUACUAGAGAAAGGGUAUUCUUAGUGUUCAAAGGCAAGGAGUGUCAAAUUAGUGAUCCAAGUGGAUCCAAGCUCAUGGCAGUCACUAUGGCUGACAAGAGCUUUGUUGUUGACUGGACAAAUGGCUCAGACACUUCCUAUACAGCCAUAGCAGAUGAACCCAAGCUUUGGCAUCAAAGGCUUGGUCAUGCCAACUACAGAUCGAUGGACCAACUAUCCAGAGAUGAUUUGGCUGAAAACUUUAUUGGUUCAGUUCAAAAAUAGGAGGUUUGUGAGGUAUGCCAGCUAGGAAAGUAAGCUAGGCUCCCAUUUCCUUCAAAUCAAGCCUGGAGAGCCUUAGAAAGGCUACAGCUCAUGCACACUAAUGUGUGUGGCCCUAUGAAGAUAGAAUCACUAAAUAAAAGCAGGUAUUUCAUUCUAUUUAUUGAUGAUUUCUCAAGAUUUUGCUGGAUUUACUUCUUGAAGCAGAAAUCAGAGGUUGCCUCUGUGUUUUGGAAGUUCAAGGCUACUGCUGAGACUAAAAUAGGUUGCAAGGUGAAGACCAUAAGGUCUGAUAAUGGGACUAAGUACACCUUAGCUUAGUUCUAAGCCUUUUUUGAUGAAACAAGCAUUAAACAUCAGCUCACAAACACCUAUACUCCUCAACAGAAUGGUGUAAGUGAGAGAAAGAACAUGAGCUUGAUGGAUAUGGCCAGAUGCUUGAUGAUUGAGAAGAAUUUGCCCAAGAUCUAGUGGGUUGAGGUAGUCAACACUGCUGUUUACAUUCAAAACAGGCUUCCAACCAAGGCCUUGGCUCAGAAAACUCUAUUUGAGGCCUGGUUUGGAUUCAAGCCAUCACUGUCUCACUUAAAGGUCUUUGGUUGCAUAUGCUAUACAUAUGUGCUUGCUAUUAAGAGGGACAAGCUGGCUAAAAGAGCUCAACCUGGGAUUCUAGUGGGCUACAACACAGUCAAAAAGGGCUAUAGGAUAUUGGAUCCUUCAACAAACAAAGUGUCUAUGAGUAGAGAUGUGGUGUUCGAUGAAAAAUCAUGUUGGAAUUGGGAGAAGAAUGAACCAGAGACAGUUCCUGAAGACCUAUUGGCAGAUCAGACUGAGCCAGAUCAAAAUGGUCUUGAAAUAGACAUAGAUGAUGAACCAGUCAGGGGCACUAGACUAUUGGCUGAGAUUUAUGAAAGAGCUUAAGUGGCUAUAGCAGAACCAAGCUAUUUUGAAGAGGCUGAAACACACAUGGACUGGAAACAAGCAAUGGCUGAUGAAAUCAGCAUGAUUGAGAAGAAUCAGACUUGGGAACUGGUUGAAAGGCCAGCAAACAGAAAGGUUAUUAAGGUGAAAUGGGUCUAUCAAGCCAAGCACAAUGAUGAUGGGAGUUUGAACAAAUUAAAAGCAAGGCUGGUUGUCAAGGGGUUUAGCUAGAAGUAUAGCCUGGAUUACUUGGAAACCUUUGCACCAGUGGCCAAGCUAGACACCAUCAGGCUGCUAGUUGCCUUAGCAGCACAAAUGCAAUGAAAGAUUCACCAGUUUGAUGUAAAAUCAACCUUCCUAAACAGAUUUCUUGAAUAGGAUACCUAUAUUGAACAACCACAAGGUUUUAAAGUGCCUGGUAAUGAAGGCAUGGUUUAUAGAUUGAAGAAAGCCUUGUAUGGCUUGAAACAGGUACCAAGGGCUUGGUAUAGCAGGAUCGAUGCUUAUCUUGCUAGCCUUGGAUUUGAAAGAAGCUGCAGUAAACCUACCUUGUAUGUUAAGAACAAAGGUGCUGAAACACAAUUGAUAGUGUCUCUAUAUGUUGAUGACUUGCUAGUGACAGAAGGAGAGCAAGAAACGUUGGCUGAUUUCAAAGUCAAAAUGCAAAUAUGUUUGAAAUGUCUGAUUUGGGGCAGAUGUCCUACUUCCUUGUUAUAGAAGUGUCCCAAACUGAAAAUGGAAUCUUUCUAUGUUAGAGGGCAUUUGCAAUGAAGAUUCUGACCAAGUUUUCUAUGUUGAAUUGCAAAGAGACAAGCACACCAAUUGCCAUUAGAGAAAAGUUAUCGAGACAAGAUGGUUUUGAACAGGUUAAUGAAUCAGUUUAUAGAAGUCUAGUUGGUUGCUUGUUGUAUUUAACUGCCACCAGACCAGAUAUUAUGUUUGCUGUGAGUUUACUCUCAAGAUUUAUGCAUUACUGCAAUGAAAAAUAGUUCAAAACAGCAAAAAGGGUGCUCAGGUAUACCAAAGGUAGCCUGAGUCAUAGAAUGUUGUACAAGAAGGUUGAAAACUUUAGGCUAAUUGGCUAUACCGAUAGUGAUUGGGCUGGUUCUAUGGACGAUAUGAAGAGUACCUCAGGAUAUGCUUUUACAUUUAGCUUAGCCAUCUUCUGUUGGAGUUCAAAGAAGCAAUCGAUUGUUGCUCAAUCAACAGCAGAAACAGAAUAUGUGGCAACUGCAAGAGCUGUGAACCAAGCCAUAUGGCUAAGAAAGAUUUUAGCUGAUAUGAAUCUACACCAAAGAGAAGCAACAAGGAUCUAUUGUGACAACCAAUCUGCUGUUGCAAUUGCAAAGAAUCUAGUGUUCUAUGGGAGGACAAAACAUUUCAAAAUUAAGAUCCAUUUUAAUAGAGAGAUGAAGCAAGCUCGAGAAGUAGAGCUGAUUCAUUGCAAUUCUAAAAAACAACUGUCAGAUAUUUUAACAAAGCCUCUUGUGUGUCAAGGCUCAGCAAAUUAAGAAAGCAAAUGGGAGUUUGCAGCAUGGAAGCCAAGGAAGAGUAUUGAAGUUGGCCUCCAUGCAGCUCAUGACGCAAGAAGCAGCAAAUGCAAUUGAGCCAAGCCUGUAGGAGCUGAAGCACGAUACUACUGUUUAGUUUCUUUUGUUUUGUUACUCUAAUGUUCAUUUUGUAAUCAAGUUAGAAUUGAACUUAGUUGGUAACUGCAUUUUGAUGUAAUUAGGUAUUGAUUGACGCAGUUAUUCUUGAGUUUAAACUGUGAUAAUAGAAAGCAUCCCAAAAUGGAGAAUGUGGAGAAGAUGGCAAUUGGGAGGAAUAUUUUGAUAUGGUAAGGAGUUCUACUACUGUUGGUUUUGUUGGUUACUGGAGGAGGACACAUUUAAGGUGAUAAAUGACUAUUGCCUUCAAAUGGAUCGGGAGAAAUCUUGUUACAAUUAUUUCCAGCAUCGAUAAUGUGAAGCUUAGUGGCAGACAAGAUAGAGACACUACUUGAGAGUUGGUUGAAGUUGAGGUUUAAAUUUGAUAGGUGAAAAAGCCUACCAAUUUCUUUAGGGAUAAGACCUUUUAAUAGAUUUGAAUCAAGUUUUAAGGUAUCCAAAUUGGAUAAAUUGCCAAUACACGAUGGGAUUGAACCACUGAUUUGAUUGUUGCCAAGUUCAAUAUAUUCCAAAUUUGUCAAACGACACAAAACUAGGGGGAUAUGACUAGUAAAGCUAUUAUUAAUGAUGCUUAAAAUCUUGAUGUUCUUCAAAUUUUCAAUAUUCCGAGGGAUGGAACCUUCAAGUUGGUUAUUACCAAGGGACAAAAUUUCCAUAUUGGUUAAUUGGUACAAGGAAAAAGGUAUUGAACCAACCAGUUUGUUGUCGUAUACAUCGAAAUAAGUUAAGUUUGAUAAGAAUCCAACUUUAGAUGGAAUAGAUCCAUUAAUUUUGUUUCCCACAAGAAUUAAGUAUUUGAGGUUUAAUAACUGACUCGAAGCAGAAGGGAUUGAACCAACUAGUCUGUUGUCGUAGACAUCAAAAUAAGUUAAGUUUGAUAAGAAUCCAACUCCAGAUGGAAUAGAUCCAUUAAUUUUGUUGCCCUAAAGAAUUAAAGAUUUGAGAUUUAAUAACUAACCCAAAGUAGAAGGGAUUGGACCAACAAUUCCACAACCACUUAGGGUCAAAGUCUCAAGACCCCUUAAAUUCCACAAUUUUGAGGGAUUGUAUUAUUACCAUCAUCAAAUUGAUACCUAUCCAAAAGUAGAUGCCUAAGGUUGGUCAAUAGCCCAAGAAACAAUGGAAUGUUUCCACUAAGACUGGUCCAACUCAAAUUUAAACUAACAAGGUUCACUAGAUUCCCUAGUUGUGGAGGGAUGGAACCCUUAAUAUUAUAAUUAUAGGAAAUGUCAAGGGACUCUAAUUGGGUUAGGUUUCUUAGAGAAGGAGGUAACUCACCGAAUAAACCACAAUUGGACAAGUCAAGGUGCUUCAAUGCUGAUAGAUUACCUAUCUGAUGUGGGAUUUUUCCACCAAGUUGACGAUCACUAAGAUCAAGAAGGACAAGAUUUGGAAAUGAAGAGAAAUUAAAUUUCCCAAAUCUAUCUCCAACCUCAAUAUUGGGCGCAUCAGAAAUGUCAAUUUGGAUGAUGCUUCCAGCAGUGUUGCAUGAUAUACCUGGCCACUGGCAACAUUCUGAAGCAUUGUUGCUAUAGUUACUCCACCACCCACUUUCUACCAUUGCUAUGGCUUCGGACGCCAAAGGCGAUGGAUCUGCUACUGUCACAAUUCUGGCAAUGGAAAUUAGAAAGAUGGUAGCCUGUAGUAUCCCUAUUGUACAAGCCCAAUUUUGCCCGGGCCCAUACCAGCAACACAAGUACAGCAAGCCCAAAAACAAUUAAAAAUUACAAAAAAAUGAAGGCCCAAUGGUCCAAAAUGUUUAAAACUUUUCAGAAAAAAACUAAAACCCUAGCCUACUGCCUAACCCUAGCCGCCCUUUCUAACCCCUCGCCUACUUGCCCUGCCAUCGUCAUCUCUUACGCCGCGCCACCAACUCUGCCACCUGCUCCAUCACACGUCAAAAACCUGCAACAAACACCAACAAGCAACAGCAAAUAGCGAUAGCAGAAAAAGAUUUUUUAUAUUAUUAUUUCAGCUAUAUAAGGCCGAUUGAAAAAUCUGUAGUGGGUGACAAAAAUAAGCAAAAAAGAGAGAAUGAAAUAAAAAUAAAGAUAAAGGUUUUAGUUUCCGAAACCUUUUUCAUUCAUUCAUUUAUUUUUCAUUUUUUAUUUUUACUUCCGUUUGUUCUAAAAUAUAUACGUAUAUACGCAUAUGCAGCAAAAAAGCAAAAAAAAAUACCUUUUUGAGUUUUCUAGGCAAAGCCAUAAGGUGAUCUUGGUUUCGAGAGUUUAAAGUAUCGUAUCCUAAUGUGCUGGAUGUGAUAUUCUUUCGGAACAAGAGAAUCCUAAAUUUCAACCUAUAUUGUUCGAAAAUUUUUAGGAUCGUAUUUUUAAAAUUCUUCAAAAUUUUCAAUCUUCGACACUAAAGACACUAAAUAAUCAACUAGGUACCAAUUUUGGGUGUUACGAGAGUGAUAAUCCGUCCUCGUACGUAAUCGACUCCCGAACCUGUUUUUUUGAAUUUCGUGGACCAAAAUCGUUAUUUUAAUAAAAUUUAAUUUUUUAUUAAAAACAACCACUUUUUAAGGUGGUCCGAUCACACCUUAUCAAAAAGGAUUGGUGGUGACUCCCAUUUUAAUUUUCGUUUUCAAAAUCCAAGCCGACCCCGUUUUCAGAAAAAAAUGGUGUCAACAGCUUGGCGACUCCACUGGGGACCAAAAUAAGAGAGUCAAGCCACGAGUUGAUUAUUUCUUGUCUUUUUGUCGAAAGUUGAUAAUAUGGUUAAAAUUUACGAUCCUCUCAUUGCAUUUCAUUUGUUUUGAGUUAUAGUUUUCAUCAUGUUUUGUAUUUUAAAUUUUUAUAUCUCGACACAGUGCAUUGCAUGACCGUUGGUCACACCCUUUUAAGUGAGAGUGAGAAGCUACUCCUUCGUGAGGUUUUCACCUCCGUGCAGGAUAGUGGAUCACUUUCGGGAUACAUCCGUGCCUAUGUCUUCGUGGGAUUUUCAUCUCUGUGGAGCCAUAGGGAAAUGUAUUCCCCUGAACUGAACUCUAUCCAUAUGAGCCUAUAAUGGGUGAGGAUUGAGGAAUCUACUGGUUCAGGUACCUUUACUUUAGAACCAAACCACAUGUAGAAGACCUUAAGAGCCUACCCUAGGUAGAACCACUCCAAACCUCUAGUGGUUACCCGAAUAGGUACUCUAUUUUUCUUGUUUGAUUUUGCUUUGUACUAACCCGUUCCGUUUUGUUUUGGUUAUGAUUGCAUUGCAUUUUCAUCUUAGAAAAAAGGUGUUGAUUCAAGUUUGAUUACUAAAUUAGAAAGCUUGUCAUGGAAAAUGAAUUUUUUGAUAAAGUGAAAGAUAAUAUGGCUGCCCGAAUAUUUCCCAAGAAACACAACAAAAGAAGGGUGACAGAAGAGUACAUGACUUUACUUCGUGGCCCGAAGAUUCAAGCUAAUUAUUUGAGAGUCGCUAACAUUCUGACUUCUUUAAAGAAGGUGAUGAGCAUUACUAGAAUGGGCAGACAAUGGAUUGCAACCAGGAUUAAGAAAGAAGGAGCUAGUAGUGGCAUCCAUUGGAAACUUGCGAGAUUUAUCUUAAACAUUCGAACAAAGGGAAAUAUCGAUGUUGUUUCUUGGAUAUGAGGGCGAGGCCAUACAUGCAUCCAUUUUAUGUAAAGAAAUUUGUUUUUUAGUAAAGUUUUCUAAAUGGAAUUGAAUCGGAGUCAACGUUUUAUUUGCAUUCAUUCUAUGCAUUUGCAUUACAUUGCAUCAUAUGCAUUAGAUUUUCACAAGAGGACCUUAAUUAGGUAAAAUUAUUUCAGUUAACCUGGGAAAAAAAAUCUAUUAACUAAGCAUCGUUACGGUACCAAAGCAAAAAGACAUGGACCAAGAUUGGAAAAACUUGAACAACUCCAAAGAGGGAGCAAUACCAACUACAGUUGCAAAUGUAAGAGCGAUUAGCCAAGAUCCAACUAAAUAUGAUGGACAAUAAAGAGAUUGAUCUUUGUGAAGAAGUGUGAAAAAAAAAGAAGAAGAAGAAGGAAAUGUUCACAUCAAUGCCAUACAUGAAGACAACUGAAAAGAGACCUUGUUAGAUAUCCACCCUUAUAAACUUGGGAGUAUUCUAAAUAAUUAGACUGCAGAAGAAAUCUCUGUAGUAUUUAGAGCUUACUUAGAGUAAUGUUCAGAACACACUUGUUGCUUUUAGCCUAGAGGCAAUAAGAACUCCUUUGUGAAAUAGGAUCAUGUCUGAACGUCAUUAUUUUAAUACAUCUUUGUGAUCAUUUUUAAGUCAAUCUUCUUUCAUUCUUUACGAGUAAUCAUUUUUGAUUCUUUCAUUCUUUUGGAUUUUCUUCCAAAUCAAUCUUUCAUUCAUAACCAUUGUAACACCCCUUACCCGUAUUCCUUACCGGAACAGAGUAUGAGGUAUUACUAAAUUUUUUAAAAAUUUUCGACAGCAUUCCUACUUAUUUUUGCUUAAACCUCCUGCAAAUUUAGAACACAUUCCAAUAUACCAACCAAUUUCAUUUGUAUAAACACACAUAUAGUUUAACUAUUAAUAAACACUACAUUUAAAAGGGAACCAUAACAUAUAUUUACAUGAUGAUCCCACAUUACAUAAAGUGUCUAUACAUGCCAUAAAAUUUCGGAACACUAGUAGUAAAAUACCCCAAAUGUGAAGGAUAGUGUAGAUGAUUGUCUGACUUCGUUCCAAUUUCCGAGUUGUUGGAAGUCACUAUAACCAAGAGAAAAAUAAAAUCGAGUAAGCAUAUAGCUUAGUAAGUAAACACAUGAUAAAUAAGUAAUUACUCCCAUAACUACACCAAAAUAUAAACUUAUUCAUGAAUAACUUUAUUGUUUAGGCAAUUUCCAGCAAGCUGUUUUUCUGCGUCAUAGUUGCUAAUUUAUUUUUAUCUGGAGCUACAGGGCUCCAAAUUGAGUUCCGUAAAUUUUCCCUGAAACUAGACUCAUAUACCAUUUCACCAUAAAAAUUUCAGAAUUUUUAACCCAGCCAAUUAGUACAGUUUAUGCAUUAAACCUUCCCCUGUUUUACUGCCCAACGGUUCUGACCCUUCCUCACUAAAAUUUACUUAACUCUCUGUACAAAAUUUGAAAAAUGGGUUUUCUUGUUUCUAAUAAAAAUAGACUCAAUAAGGAUUCCAGGGAUAUAAAUUUCAUGCCAUAAUUAUUUUUUUACAAUUUUUGGUAAUUUUCCAAAGUUAGAACAGGGGAUCUCGAAAUCAAUCCAGCCCUGUUUUAGUAAAAUUCAGAUAUCUCCAAAAAUACAACUCUUUUUCUUAUUCUAUUUCUUUCAUAUGAAAACAGACACAUCCAGCUUCAAUUUCAUAUAUUAUUCAGCUUCCCAUUCAUUUUCCACCAUUUAUGGUGAUUUUUCAAAGUUACCCAACUGCUGUUGUUUAACACAGUUUAUAAUUAAAUCGUUCCUUUUUCGUUUUUGAUAUUUUCUCCCAUCUCAUACAUGGAUCGAUUUAGUGUCCAACUCAAUAUUUACCCCAUAAAAUUUUCUACCAUAUGGCAAUAUUCACCUUCCACACUUUUUCGUUGAACACUCGGAAUGUUAACCGUUAUUGGUGGAUCUCGCACUUAGCACUACCACUGAAUCGGGGAAUCAUCACUUAGCAACCCCUCGGGGGAAUCAGCACAUAGCAACCCCCUUUUCAUUUCAAAUAUACAAUGGAUAUCGCACUUAGCAACCCCUCGGGGGAAUCAGCACAUAGCAAUCCCCUUUCACAUUUCAAAGAUAUGGUGGAUAUCGCACUUAGCACCACCAAUGAACCGGGGAAUCAGCACUUAGCAACCCCUCGGGGGAAUCAGCACAUAGCAACCCCCUUUCACAUUUCAAAGAUAUGGUGGAUCCCGCACAUAGCACCACCCAUAAAUCGGGGAAUCAGCACACAGCAACCCCUUUUAUAUACAACAUACUACGGCUUAUUCCGAGUGUUCAACCCAUAACCCAUAUAUUGCAACCCUUUAUCACCUUUCCCGAUUUAACAACAUUUUUAGGAUAUUGCCAAACAUUUAUUUUAAUUCCAAAUAAAUCUCAACAUAUAUCAAAUAAUAUCAAAAUAAUACAUUAAGUCACGUGUUUACUUACCUCGGUGCAAAAUAUCGUAAUUUUGCACUUUACUCCACUAUCUUUUCUUUUCCUCGUUUGAUAUACUCUUCACGUCUUUCUUGAUCUAUAAUAGCAAAUUUAACUCGUUUAAAGUCCACAUUUAUUAAAAUAAUCCACCACCCAACUUUUUGAAAAUUACAAUUUUGCCCCCAAACUUUUGCAUAAUUACACUUUUGUCCCCAAGCUCGGAAAUUAAACUUCAUCACUUAUUCUUAAGUUUUAUAACAUGCUGAACAUUUUUCCCUUCUAUGGAAACAUCAAAUUCCCACUCCAACACAUACUUUUGAAUAUUAAUUAUUUUUACCGAUUAUGUCUAUUUACCCGUUUUUGCUUAAAAUUGCUUAGCAAAAGUUGUUUAACAUAAUCUCUAGCUUCAUAUUCCACCAUAAAACAGCAAAAUAAACACAUUUCACCUAUGGAUAUUUUUCCAAAUAUGAACCCUAACAUGAAUUAAUGGUAGAAUAAGCUAAACCAAGUUACCGGGACUCUAAAAAUACGAAGAACAUUAAAAACGGGGCUUAGAAUCACUUACUAUGGAGCUUGAAAGCUUAAAAACCCUAAAUAUGGCUUCCCCCUUGCUGAUUUCGUUCACCAUGAAGAAGAUGAGCAUAUUUUGCCAUCUUUUUCCCAUUUAAUUCUAUUUAAUAACCAAAUGACUAAAAUGCCCCCAUUUAAAAAAAUCUAUUUCACCCAUUUCUUAUGUCUAUUUUUUUCCAUCAACUAACUAAUGGUCUAAUUACCACAUAAAGACCUCCAAUUUAAAAUUUCAUAACAAUUAGACACCUCUAAGAUGUAGAACUCAACUUUUGCACUAUUUACAAUUUAGUCCUUUUGACUAAAUUGAGUGCCCAAACGUCGAAAUUUUCGAACGAAAUUUUUACGAAAAUUUUCCGUGAAAUUGUAGAUCAUAAAAAUAUAAUAAUAACCAUAUUUUCCCUCGUCGGAUUUGUGGUCCCGAAACCACUAUUCCGACUAGGCCCAGAAUCGGGCUGUUACAACCAUACUGUACAAAUAAUUAUUCAUAAAUUCAUACAUUCUUUGUAUAUUCUUUUGUACCCACAAUAGGUCUUUAGAUAUCAAUUACAUGAGUGACAUUGCUACAGACUCAGAAUCUCCUUUUGAGCGAGACAUGUGUUUAGAGGGAUCUCAUGACUUUGAAGAUGACAUAGAUUGUAGCCUAUCUUCGGACUUAUUGAGGAUGGUAGAAAAAGUCGAGAAACAAAUCCUGCUUUAUAAGGAAUCAGUGGAAAUUGUGAGCUUAGGAGAAGAGAAAGAGGUGAAGAUUGGAGCCUGUAUCACCGCAGAGACAAAGCGAGACGUCAUUGAAUUACUCCAAGAAUUCAAAGAUGUUUUUGCAUGAUCGUACCAAGAUAUGCUUGAGCUACUAAGACAUGUGGACACUGUUAAGGCUAAGAAAAUCUUGGAAGAGGUCUAUAAGGGUGUCUGAGGAAUACAUGCUAAUGGUUUUACAAUGGCCAAGCAAAUCAUGAGAUUCGAGCAUUGCUGGUUCACCAUGGAAGGGGAUUACAUCAGUUGUACCAAGAAAUUUCAUAAUUGCCAAAUUGAUGGAGACAAGAUUCAUGUGCCUCCUUCAUCUCUUCAUGUUAUGACUUUUCGAUAGACUUUCUCUAUGUGGGGCACAGAUGUCAGUGGGUCGAUCUUGCCAAAAGCUUCUGACAGUCAUCGAUUCAUCUUUGUGGUCGUCGAUUACUUUACUAAGUGUGUGGAAGCUACUUCAUAUACCAAUAUCACAAAGUCGACAGUCAGCAAAUUCUAGAAAAAAAUCACAUGUCAGUAUAGAAAGCCAAAAAAGAUCAUAUCUGACAAAGCACUAAAUUUGAACAAGAGCACGAUAUCAGAAGUUUGUAGUCUGUUCAAGAUUAACACCAUAUCGCCCCAAAAUGAACGGCGCGGUAAAAAAACUCUAUCGGGUAAUGCCUUUCACUUUGGCCUAUCACGAUUUUGCCCAUUAAAGUCGAGAUUUUUUCUCUCUGAGUCUUUUGGAUCUAAUCCUGAUUGAAAAGGAUUGUUCAAAGUUAUCCAUCAUGGUCAAAUGUGCCAAAAGCAAAUGAUGUGAGCUCAAAAAAAAUAGAAGAGUUCGCUCUAGAGGAUUCCAUGAGAGGGACCUAAUAUUGAAGAAGAUCCUUCCCAUACAAAAAAAGAACUUUAUAAGAAAGUGGAUGCCAAACUAGGAUGGACCUUAUGUGUAAGGCCUUAUUUGGAAAAACGUUGAUUUUAAUCGGAAGGGAUAACAAGGACAUGCGUAAUCCUAUGAGUUUAGAUUUAAUAAAAAAAUAUAUCAAGAAAAGAAAAAAAGAAGAAGAAAAGAAAAGAAAAGAAAAAGAGAAAGAAAAGAAAAAGGAGAGGCCAAGGCGAAAACCCGCAAAGGGCACCUUGAGACCAAAGGGGAUUUGAGUUGAAAACCCGAAAAGGGUGGCUCAAAUUUUGAUUAGAAUGGGACAUGAGGUGAUCAGAGCAGCUCAAAUUUUGAUCAGAUUGGGGCAUGUGGUGAUCUUGCUAUAUCUAAAUCAACAGAAAAGGGUAAGUGACAUCUUGGCGCAUCGACAAAGUACUGCAGAUCUCCUAAACACAUGUCAAACUCAGAAUGGUAUUCAGAAAGUUUUUAUAGAGAAGUUCAAGCUACGAUAUCUGUGGCACCUAGUCUUCAUACUAUUUAUAUUGAAUUUGAUGUUCUUAGAAUACUUCAUUCUUUCUUAAGAUAUGUGUUCCCAAUCAAUUCCUUUGUUAUUCUUACUCUCUUUGAUGAUUUAUCCAUUUCGAGUCAGGCUCUCAAAUUAAUCCUAUUUUAUAUGUCGUUAUGACCUUUUGCAAGCGUUGCAUUGGAAUAAUGAUUAAUGGACUAAUAAUACUUUCACAACAGAAAUUUUACAUAUUACUCUAGAAGUUUCUAAAUAAUAUAGGAACCUGAAACAAGACUAUUGUUUAGAAAACACCAAGUUUAAAGGUUGAAAUAUCUAAGAAGGAAAAGUCUAAAUUAAGACCAUCUUUUUGGACUUUGUCGUCAAAACAUUGAUUGAACAAAAUAACAAGAUGUUGUCUCGGUGAUAAAACUUUAAUGAGCAAACAAGCGAUGUUCACCAAGUAAUAAAAACUGGUUUCCUGGGAGAAGAAAAUUCUUCAUUGGUGCAUGAGCAUUUGGUAUGACACCCUUGGAAUGGGGUAAAAGACCAAAGAGCUUCACAUUCCGUGUCCUUGAAUUGCGAUAGGAGAGGAUUGAGAAAAAGCUAUAUUUUUCUACCCUUGGGUUAUAGUGGGAGAAUGAUGGUACAAAUUUUGCGUCCCAGUGGAUUGAACUUUGACGUUCACAGUGGAGGGGCAAUCUAAUUAAGUGUUUCUUUGGAUAUGCCAGCCGAGCAAGAAGGAGUUGUAGCGCGUCAGUGACAAAACCCUAAUAAACUUUGAGUAAUGAUAACCUAAGUGACAAAUAAGGAUAAUUCUCGAAAAAAUGACAUUCUGCAUUCAUUCAAAUGUCAUUCAUACAUGUCUAGUUAGGAGCAUUUGAUUCAUUCUGAUCAUGUCAUCCUAAUCACUAGGCAUAAUUAGGUUCAUAAAAUAGAUUAUACAGGUCAUGUUCCCCAAAGAAUAGAUCAAUGAAGAUAGCAGAUCUUGCCUUCCUGUCCUGACAGCGAAGCAGAUCGAAGACACUAGCAUUGCCUUCGUGUACUGACAGCGGAGCAUACUGAAGAUAGCAAAUCUUGCCUUCCUGUACUGGCAGUGAAGUAGAUCGAAGACACCAACCUUGCCUUUAUGUACUGACAGCGGAGCAAACUGAAGAUAGCAGAUCUUGCCUUCCUGUACUGACAGCGAAGUAGAUCAAAGACACCAGCCUUACCUUCCUGUACUGACAACGGAGCAGACUGAAGAUAGCAGAUCUUGCCUUCCUGUACUGAUAGUGAAGCAGAUCGAAUGCACCAGCCUUGCCUUCCUGUACUGAUAGCGGAGCAGACUGAAGAUAGUAGAUCUUACCUUCUUGUACUGACAGCGAAGCAUAUCAAAGACACCAGCCUUGCCUUCCUGUACUGACAGCAGAGCAGACUAAAGAUAGCAGAUCUUGCCUUCCUGUACUGACAAUGAAGCAGAUCGAAGACACUAGCCUUGCUUUCUUGUACUGACAGCGGAGCAGACUGAAGGUAGCAGAUCUUGCCUUCCUGUACUGACAGCGAAGCAGAUCAAAGACACCAGUUUUGCCUUUCUGUACUGACAGCGGAGCAGACUAAAGAUAAUAGAUCUCGCCUUCCUGUACUAACAACGAAGAAGAUCGAAGACACUAGUCUUGCCUCCCUAGGUUUGUAGUGAAGCAGACUGAAGAUAGCAGAUCUUGCCUUCUUGUACUGACAGCGAAGCAGAUCAAAGACACCAUAGUUUGCAGCAAAGCAGAUUAAAGAUAGCAAAUCUUAUUUCCCUAAAGUUGCAGUGAAACAGAUUCAAGCUAUAAAUAACAGAUCUCAUCUCUCUGAAGUUGCAGUAAAUCAGAUCAUAUCAAACUUUAUCUCUUUGAAGUUGCAGUAGAGCAGGCUGAACUAGCAAACCUUAUCCUCAUGAAGUUGCAGUGGGGCAAGUUGAAAAUACAAAUCCUAUCUCCCUGAAGUUACAGUAGAGCAGAUUAAAACUAUAAAUCCUAUACCUCUGAAGUUACAGUAGGUUGGAUUAAAUUUACCAUGACAAGUCUUAUCUCCCAAAAGUUGCAGUAGAGUAUACUGAAGCUACUAAUCCUAUACCUCUGAAGUUGAAGUAGGUCGGAUUAAAUUUACCAUGACAAGUCUUAUCUCCCUGACGUUACAGUGGAGCAGACUAAAGCCACGAAUCUCGUCCCUUUGAAGUUGCUGCGAAGAACAUUGAAGCUACAAGUCAUAUCUCUCUGAAGUGCAGUAGAGUGGAUCAAAGCAACAAGACCGGCAAGACCGGGCAAAAUUGGUCUACCUGAAGAAAAAAGGCACCAAGAAGCAAGACUCGACAAGACCGGACAAAAUUGGUCUUUCUUAGUCUUUGCUCCAUUCUCGUUACACGACAAUGAGCAAAGAGGGGAAGUUGUACAAGCCCAAUUUUUCCCGGGCCCAUACCAGCAAAACAAAUACAGCAAGCCCAAAAAUAAUUAAAAAUUACAACCCCUAAAAAAUGAAGGCCCAGUGACCCAAAAUGUUUAAAACUUUUCAGAAAAAACUGAAACCCUAGCCUACUGCCUAACCAUAGCCACCCCUUCUGACCCCUCGCCCACUUGCCCUGCCACCGCUGCCUCUAACGCUGGGGCCACCAACUCUGCNNNNNNNNNNNNNNNNNNNNNNNNNNNNNNNNNNNNNNNNNNNNNNNNNNNNNNNNNNNNNNNNNNNNNNNNNNNNNNNNNNNNNNNNNNNNNNNNNNNNNNNNNNNNNNNNNNNNNNNNNNNNNNNNNNNNNNNNNNNNNNNNNNNNNNNNNNNNNNNNNNNNNNNNNNNNNNNNNNNNNNNNNNNNNNNNNNNNNNNNNNNNNNNNNNNNNNNNNNNNNNNNNNNNNNNNNNNNNNNNNNNNNNNNNNNNNNNNNNNNNNNNNNNNNNNNNNNNNNNNNNNNNNNNNNNNNNNNNNNNNNNNNNNNNNNNNNNNNNNNNNNNNNNNNNNNNNNNNNNNNNNNNNNNNNNNNNNNNNNNNNNNNNNNNNNNNNNNNNNNNNNNNNNNNNNNNNNNNNNNNNNNNNNNNNNNNNNNNNNNNNNNNNNNNNNNNNNNNNNNNNNNNNNNNNNNNNNNNNNNNNNNNNNNNNNNNNNNNNNNNNNNNNNNNNNNNNNNNNNNUAAUCAAUAGUCUUACAAAAGUUCAUCGGAGACUACAAACCAUGUUAACCUUGACUAAUGGUUUACCAUAAAGCAGAUAAAAGUUAAAAAAAUAAAAUAAAAUGGAUCAUGUUUUGCAAAAUCCCUAAUAGUCAGCCCUGUAUAAGCAUUUACUAUUUUCACAUCAUAUAUAUUUUUCUCCAUAUGAAUCUUAAUUCAACAUUAAGAAAUUUCUUUCUUUGCAUUGUUCCGAAUCUGAUAAUUCUUUAAAAAAAAAGGUUAUCCACAUUGUUUCUGCAAGUUGCUGAGUAAUAGAAUAAUAUUAUUUUGUAGUAACAGGGUAACAAAAAUAUCUUUUUAUGUUUUUCUUUCUCAAUCAAACUUUAUUAAUAAAUGUCCCUAUUACAAGAUAUGAUCAACAAAAGCAAUCUAGAUACUAUUUUAUGUGUAUAGCAUGUAGCACUGAGAUUGUUUUCACCAAAAGUACUUAUUUCACUAGUGAUUUCACCAUAAAAAUUAGUAGAAAUUCAAAAAAAAAAAAAUAAAGAUGAGUAAGAGUGAGUGUUUGAUCGAAUUGAAUCGAAACGGAAUAGAGUGAAAAAUUUCGAGUUAGUUGAGUUGACGAGUUCUAUUUUAUCAUUCUAAUUUGAUUUUUUUCUGAAUCGAGCAAGUUAAAUGAAAUUUAAGUUUGAAUCGAAUCAAAUAAAUUUUAUUUGAGUUAAAUUUUUAAGACUUAACUAGAUCAAAUUAAAAUCUUUUUGACAAGUGAUAAAUUCCAAUUUAGAGCACAUAAAUUUGAGGUAAUAUAUAUUUGAAAACUCUUUUAAAGAAAAAUAGGAGAAAAUAAAGAUAUUUUCGUAUGAUUAAACUUAAUUUGGUAUUUACUUGUUUAAAGCUUGCAAAAUUAUUGUUUUGAAUUUUUUAAAAACUAUAUAGGCAUUUUUAUAAAUUGUAAAGAAUUUUUAGGAAGUGUAUAUGAUUUUUAAAAUUUUAAAUUUUUCCACACUUUUUCUUUAUAAAAGUUUGUAAUUUUUUUAUAAAUAUUCUAGAGAUUAUUUUUGUUUGAUGUAACACCAGUUUACUCAUUAGAAAUUGAUAGGGACUAAAAAGUACAAUUUAAAUUAUAAAACAUAUUAGAGUUUCAUUAACCAUUUGCAUUCAGCUCCAUUAGUGGAAUGUUGGAAAUUAUUUCAAGAGGAGUGCUUAAUUAUAUUGCCCAUGCAGGGUUAUCCUCAACCCACCAAAUUUCCCUUCUCAAAUGAUUGGAAUCAACAGUUUCAAUAUAAGAAUUUUAAUUGUUUCAUAUUUAUAAUUCAUUAUGUGAUUUGAUUAUUCUUUUGUAAAUUACAUAAAUACUAAGAAUCAUGAUUUAACUUACAAACUACAAUAAUUGAAGAAAAAAAUUAACAUGUAAGGAGGGAUUUAAAUAAAACAUUUAUGCUCAAGUUAUGAGCAAGAUAAACUCAAAUAUGCUAAUAUUUGACUUGAGGUAGCUUGUAAUGCUUAUCAAAGUUUUUCAUUUUAAUGUCCAUAAUUAAUUUUAUUUAAAAUCGAGCUCAAAAGCAAACUCUUUUUAACGAAUAUGCUUAAGAUUGAGUUUUAUCUUGAUUUAAAAUUAAAAUUUGAAAGUGAAAACAUGACUGAGCUUGCGCCUCGGAUUUCGUCUUUGAAUUCCUCGACCUGAUUAGCACGGAUACAAUUUUUUGGAGUUCACUUCACCCAUCAGUUUUUUGGGUGUUUCCAAGAAUAAAUUCAUUUGGCUAGACUAUACUUUUCUACAAGCAUAAUAUAUAUCCAAUCCCUUGUUACACGUUGUAUGAUAAUGAUGUUUUUCAAAGGAAAAAAACACAAUAUUAUCAUAAUAAAAAAAUUAGUCGAAUAGAUUAGAUUACUAGUUUUUAUUCGAUUGGUUCAUUUGAUUUGAUUAAAUAGACCAUUAAAAAUUUUAAAUGUUGAUUAAAAUAAUAAUUUUUUAAUCAUUUUUCUUUAGUGAAAAUGCCGACUAAUGUAAUAACUUUUUAAUAGUAUUCGCAUUACAAUUCUCAUGUAUUUGAUGUUGAUAUGACACUAUUUAUUUUAUAUGUCAUGUUAACAAAUAUUUUAAAGAUUAUAAAAAUAUCAAAAUUAAAUAAAUUAUAAAAGAUUGAUAAUUUUUUUAAAUAAUUAGCAUGAAGUAGUUUCCGUGUAGUUGAAUUAGUAGAUAGAAAAGCAUGAGAUUUUCAUCGUAGUCAAUUUGUUAGAAGCUUCAAAGAAGAAGUCCUUUAGAGCGUCCAGUUUACUCUCAAAACACAAAUACAUGUCAUGACUCAAAGCACCUAUUGCUUUUCUUCAUCAGAAACUUCAACCAAGAAAAACACAACUUUUGUUUGGCAAUGACUAAAGACUUAAAAGGUAUAACAUUUUACCUAAUAAAAUUAAAUUAGUUUUGUACGGAAUUAUAUUCCUAAAUAUAUCUAUUAGCUCAUUAAGAUAGUUACUGUAUACGAAAUUAUAAAAAACGUGAUUUUUUAUUAUUAUUUUGUACUAGUCCAAAUAAACCUCUCAGGUCUUUAUAUAUAUGUAUACGUCUUUAAAAUUAGGUAGAGAAUUGGGAGUAAAGCUUCAAUCCUGAUCUUAAUAACUAUGGCAUUCUCUUUUUACACUUGUAUUGCUAUUUUACUUUUUUUACUCUCUAUAUCAGUGAGCAGCAGUGAGAUUAGUAGAGCAACAAAUAAUGAUUCAGAAUCUCUUGUAGCUGAGGAAAAAGUAUUGGUCCAAUCCCAUCUUCCGUCAACAACUUAACCAAUCUUGUAUCGUUGCUACUUGAUGACAACCAACUUAAUGGAUCCAUUCCACAAGAAAUUGGGAGGCUAACGAAUUUGGUUACAUUGGAUCUAUCCUUCAAUAUUCUUUUGGGUCCCAUCCCUCCCUCUUUGGGUCAAUUAAAGAAUUUCAGUUCUCUUCAUUUGAGUUUCAACAAAAUUUUUGGUCCACUCCCACCAAAUUUGGGUAAUUUAUCCAGACUGGAAUCUUUCUCUCUUUAUCAAAAUAAAAUAAAUGAUUCCAUCCCUUCAGCAAUAACAAAGCUUAAGAGGUUGAGUAAUCAAGGUGGGGUGCUUGGGUUGUCACCCCUCUUUGUGUCAAAAGGGCCAAUACAUUCUUAAGAAAGAAACUAAGAAAAAAAAGAAUUGUAUUUGGGGAUGAAGGGUGGAUCAAAUAGGGUGUCUUGGUAAGCUUAGUAAAUUACCUAAUUUUCAAGAAAUAAUCCAAGUCGAUUUAAUUUUUGUGUGUUUAAGUUAGAGUACUUCUUCGGUUUUACCUAAAGCAAGCUAAAUGUUCACUUUAUUUUCAUAUGCAUUAUGCCUAUUUUUAUAAAACUUUGGAGUGAUACUUCUUUCAUGGUAAAAUCUAAAUUACACAGAGGGAUAGGAACCAUACUUGAGGUCAAACAUGGGCUAAGUAGGGGGAAAUAUGAUAAUACUCUAAAAUGACAUACUUUUAUGUGUUAAUUACAUAUAUAUUGAGUAUGAUCCUACUAAUUUGGGAUUUUUAUGGUUUUUUUCUUGUAGGGAUUCAAUUGAAGGAAAAAGGAAAUUUGGGGGCAGAAAGCAUAAAUUUAAAGAUAAAAUGGGUCAGCAUGCAAAAUAGGAAAGAAGUGGUGCUAAAAAUACAAAGUGUGAAAGACUUGGGGAAAAAUUUGAAGAAGAGAUUUAUGAACAUAAGACUUUAUUUAAAUUCGAAUUUUAUUUUUAGGAUUAUUAUGGUAUUAUUUAGAUUUUAUUUCAAAUUAUAUCUUUAUUUAUCUUUUAGAGUUUAAAUAGGAAUAAACUAGGUUUUCUAUGUACUAUAAAUAAUGGAUGAAGUGACAUGAAUAUUCACUCACCACUUCUGUAAAAAGCUCCUUCCCCCUAAGGCUCUAGCCUUUUUGUUUCUUUUCCUUUCCAAUAAAAUUUCAUUCCAUUACACUGAUGUUUUUUUCCCCGAAAGCAUGAGCCAUUAAACUCAUCUAGCCAAAGGUUAACAAGAGUCCUCCAAAAGAGUUCAUGAGGCUUAGAACCCACACUUAACCAUUUUCAACGGGUAUUCAUCAUUUAUUUGCAUUACGAGACUGACGCUUCUGUCCAUGUCCUUCCAAAAUUAAUCUUUUCAUCAUAUGAAAAGGUGGUCGUUUUGUAUGUUUUGGGAAGGUUGCACAGUCUGUUUGUUAAUUUAUUACAUCAGAGGUUGUCGAGCCCAAGAGACAAAAUGGCAUGACAUUCGCCAUUGAGAAACGAUGAUCUAGUGUAAGAUAGUCCCACAAAAGCGACAAUUGGCUAGAGUCAGGUUCUUCUAAAUCGUAAGGUUAAAACCUAAGUGGAACUGGUAGUUGUAGGCGUCCUCUUCCACUAUAAUUGGAUUUUUGGGUAAUGAGAAUGCUCGCCUAAAAGCUUAUGAUUGAACCAAAGGAGGAUCGAGAUAAUCAAAGGUUGGAAUCCUUCAAAUCGAAGAAUCCAUUCCCUCAACUCUGCUUUUUUUUAUAAUCGCAAUUUCAAUUUAUUCAAUUUUAAGUCAUCCAUAUUUUUAAUUCUGUUCUUUUAUUUUUUCCCAGGUCAGACGUCUUUCUUGGAAAUGACUAUGCCUAAGAUUUCGUGGAACAAGAAGUUGUAGCAAUCCAGUCCCUGAGGAUUUGACCUUACUUCCCUUAUAUUAUUCUUUUCAUUAUUUCUUAUGGAUAGACUAUUUUUGGUGCUUCCAACUACACAACAGUGGUAGUGAUUCCAGCACCAAAUUCAAAAGCUGGGUAUGACAGAGUUGUUUGGAAAUGGACCAAACAUGGCAGAUUUUUAGUCAUGGACAUCGAUGCUUGUUGGGGAUAUCAGCCAAAGCAAGAAAAAAAUGAAGUUAAGAGAAACGGAUGAAAAUGAUCAAAAACUAAAUUUCAUUAUUGAUUUCAUUAAGUCAAAUAUAUGAGUUACAAAGUAGUUACCUAAUGUAUAACUACUCCCACUAAUUACAUUCAGAAAAUACAUAACUUACCUCGCACACAAAGUAAAGCUGACUUAUCAGCCAAAACAUCACCUAAACAUCAUUCAAAUCAGCAAACUAAUCUUAGUUUUUCAAAUGUACAAAUUACAAAAUGAACUAAGCUAGUUACAUGUUAAACAAAAGAUAGUUGUUGCACUAGUUGAGCUUCAAAACAUCUCUGAUGUUGCAUUGCAAGCUAAAGUUCAACACUCGUCCUUGGACUAAAUGCAACAAAGACCAAUAUUUCUUUUUAAAUUAUCAAACUUUGAAGUACUAAGAGGGUUAGUCAGGAUAUUAACAAAUUGAUUUUCAGAGUUGCAGUGGAUCAAAUUAACUUCUUUUGAUUGUUCAGAUUCUCUAACAAAAUGAUAUUUAAUCUUAAAGUGCUUUGUUUUGCCAUGAAACACAAGGUUUUUGCUAUGGAAAUAGUUGGAUGAUUGUUAACAUUAAUUUUAAUAGCUUCUUUUUUGCUCUCAUUUAAAUCACAUUAGAGCUUUCUUAGCCAAAUAACUUGAUUGACAGCAACAACUACUGCAAUGUACUUUGCUUUUGCUGUUGAUUGAGCCACAAUUUGUUGUUUCAUUGAACUCCAACAGAAGACCCUUGAGCCUAGAGUGAAAAAGUAGCCCAAUGUGCUCUUCAUAUCAUCAAUGGACCCUGCCCAGUCACUAUCAGAGUAGCCUAUCAGCUUGAGCUCUUCUGUUUUCUCAAAAUUUACCCCAUAGUCGAAGGUUCCUUUCACAUAUCUUAAGACUCUUUUAGUUGCCUUAAAGUGAACAACAUUGCAACAAUGCAUGAACUAUAGAAAGCUAAUAACAAACAUGAUAUCAUGCCUUGUAGCUAUCAAAUAGAGCAGGCAACCUACAAGGCUUCUAUACCCUUUCUCAUAAACUUUUUCAUGGUUGCCAUUAUUGGUUAGCUUUUCACCUUGAGCCACUGGUGUGCUAACAUUUUUGCAGUUUGUCAUGAAAAAUUUUCUUAAAAUUUUCAAAGCAACUGCUUGAUGAUUUAUGAAGAUAGCAUGAUCAAACUGCUUUACUUCCAUGCCAAGAAAGUAAGUCAUCUCUCCUAAGUUAAUCAUUUCGAACACAUCUUGCAUCUGCCUUUUGAUCUCUUCAACCAACUUCCUCUUACUACCAGUCACUAGCAGAUCAUCUACAUAUAAUGACACAAUCUAUAGGGUUUCAUUCUAUGAUUUCUUCAUAUAGAGAGUAGACUCGCUGAUGCUCUUCUCGAACCCAAGCCUAGACAGAUAGGCAUCGAUUUUGUCAUAUUAGGCCCUUGGUGCCUGCUUUAGACCAUACAAGGCUUUCUUGAGCUUGUAAACUUUAUGCUCUUCACCAAAAACCUUAAACCCAUCUGGUUGUUCAAUGAAGAUUUUUUUCUUGAGAAAACCAUUCAGAAAAGUAGACUUGACAUCCAAUUGGUGUACUCUCCAUUACUUUUGUGUAGCCAAGGCAAACAAAAGCCUUAUAGUAUCUAACCUUGCAACUGGAGCAAAGGUAUCUGAGAAGUCAAUACUAUACUGUUGGCUGUAUCCCUUCACUACAAGUCUUGUCUUGUGCUUGUUCAAAGACCCAUUAGUAUUGUACUUGACCCUAAACACCCGCUUCACACUGAUUAUUCUUUUCUAGAUUGGCCUAUCAACCAGUUCCUAUCUGUUGUUCUUAUGUAUCAUCUCUAUUUCAGCUUCCAUUGCUCUUUUCUAACAAUAUUCUUUAGCAGCCUCAUCAAAGUUUGUAGGAUCCAAUAUUGCCACAUCACAUCUUUGAUAGAUGUUAGUGAUGGUUCUCGUACCUCUAACAUGUAUAUCAUCGAAUCCAUCAUCAAUCUGUUCUUCUUCUUCAACUAGCUGGAGAUCAUUGUCUUAUUAACCUUGUCCACACAAGCUUGCAUCUAUGCCAUUCCAGUUCCAUACAUUUCCUUCAUCAAACUUCACAUCCUUACUUACCAGAACCUUUUUUGUGGAGGCAUCAAAGACUUUGUACCCUUUCUUUGUGCUACUAUAACCAACAAAGAUAUUUGGUACAGACCUCCUUUCUAGUUUUGUUGUCUUCUCAACUGGGAUAAGAGUAUAGCAGACACAACCAAACACCUUUAGGUGAGAAAUAGUUGGCUUGUGUCCAGACCAAGCUUUAAAAGGAGUCUUAUCUUUGACUAUAUUUGUUGGUAGUCUGUUGAGUAAGUACACUAAGGUGUUUACAGCCUCAAUCCAAAAAUUGCUUGGCAAUUUGCUUUCAAACAGCAGACAUCUAACCAUGUCAGUAUUGUUCAAUUCUUUCUUUGACAAACACUAUUCUGCUGAGGUGUAUAGAUUGUUGUGAGCUGAUGCUGAAUUCCAACUUGCUUACAUAGUUUCUAAAACUUUUCUGACAAAUACUUCAAGUAUUUCUGAUUUUUGUUUUAAAAAAUUCACCCAGCAGAACCUUGUACCAUCAUCUAUAAACAGCACGAAGUACCUUUUGUCACUUGGAGAAGAGGUCUUCAUUGGUCCACAAAUUUCAGUAUGGACCAAUUGAAGCUUGUCUUGAGCUCCCCAUGCCUUGUUAACUGGAAAUGGCAGUCUCACUUACUUCCCAAGCUGACAAACCUCAUAAACUCUAUCCUUGAUUUUAACCUUGGACAUAUCUUCAACCAGAUCCAACUUGUUUAGCAAACCAAGUGACUUAUAGUUAACAUGGCCUAACCUUUUGUGCCAUAAACAAGCCACAUAAGCCAAACUAGCAUAAGCCUUCAUUCUUAACUGAUUCACAUCCAACAUAAAACAUCUCUCAGUCAUAGCUACUGUCACUAGUUCUUGACUAAAGAGUCCUUAAUCAUAUAAGACUUAUUAUUAAAAGUAAGAGAGUAACCUUUCUCUAUUAACUGACCAAUACUAAGCAAAUUUUGGUCUAUAUCAGGUACAAAGAGGACAUCUGAAAUUGUUUUGUUGCUUGAGUGUGUACUGAUUACAACAUUGCCUCUGCCUUUGGCCUCGAUGAAGUUUCCAUUCCCUAUUUUUACUUUAGAAAGAAAGCUGCUGUCAAGAUCUCUGAAUGAACUUUCAUCAGAUGCCAUAUGAUAAGUGCAACCACUAUCUAUCAACCAAUCCUUUUUUACCUUACUUGAGGUUGCAAAAUAGGAUGUAGUGAAAAAAUGCACCUUUUGAGCUUAAAUGCCCCUAGUAGCUUGAGCUUGGUUUUGUUGUUGCGGUUGUACCCUUCCUUUUUUUAACAAACUUUUUCAAUGUGACUAAACUGCUUGCAACUCCUGCACUGAAUGUCAGGUCUGUACUAGUAGUACCUCUCUAAAUGAGUGGACUUCUUGCGUUGAAUGCAUGGUGGGAACCUUUUCUUCUUAGCAUCCCUCUUUGGUUUCUCCUUUUUAUCAAGCCAAAGUUUCUUUCCCUUGUAGUUCAAGCCUGAGCUUUCUUUGCUUCUUGCUUGGAAGGCUCUUUCAGGAUACUCCUCCAACCUGUUGGCCCUCCUUUGCUCUUGUGCAUAAAGAUAAUUUAUCAACUCUGACAGUGAAAUAGUUGAUAAAUCUCUCAAGUCCUCCAAUGAGGAGAUCUUUGACUCAUAUUUUUUAGGAAGGGUUGUGAUGACCUUCUCAACAAUUCUCUUGUCACUGAAAUCAUCUCCAAGGAGUCUGAUGUUGUUAACUGUGGCCAUUAUUCUAUCAUAGUAGUUUUUAAUGGUUUUAGACUCUCUCAUCUUUAAACUUUCAAACUCCCUUCUCAGGUUGAUCAAUUACUGCUGCCUAGUUUUAUCAGACCCUAGAAACUCUUCCUUCAGCCUCUCUCAGGCCUGUUUUAGAGUGUUACAUGUCAUUAUCCAAGUGAAAAUUACAUCAGAAACUUGUUUCUGCAAACAUGACAUUACUUUUUGUUUCUUAGCACAGUCUUCACUGUGUUGUCUGAUUUGUGCUAUAGUGGGGUUGGCUUUCAAUGGAGGUGGUUUUGUGUUAGUUUCCACCAUAUUCCACAGGUCGUGAGCUUAUAGGUAAGUCUUCAUUUUCACUACCCAUAUGUGGUAGUUUUCACCAGCGAAGAUAGGUGGUGGUAAUGGUGAAAAAAUCAUGUUGCAGCAACAAAAACAACUUCAGUUUCUUCCUUUUCAAAACACUAAACAAAAGCAAACAACCAACAAUAGAGGCCCUUAAAUAUGACAGGCUCUCGAUACCAUUUGUUUGGGAUAUCAACCAAAGCAAGAAAGAAAAUGAAGCAAAGAGAAACAGAUACAAAAAUGAUCAAAAACUAAAUUUCAUUACUGAUUUCAUUAAGUCAAGUAUAUGAGUUACAAAGUAGUUACCUAAUAUAUAACUACUCCCACUAAUUACAUUGAGAAAGUACAUAACUUAUCUUGCACAUAAAGUAAACCUAACUUAUUAGCCAAAACAUCACCUAAACAUCAUUCAGAUAAGCAAACUAGUCUUAAUGUUUCAAAUGUACAAAUUACAAAAUGAACUAAGCUAGUUACAUGUUAAACAAAACAUAGUUGCUGCAUUGGUUGAGCUUCAAAACUUCUCUAUUGUUGUAUUGUAGGCCAAAGUUCAACAAUGCUUCACUUUCGGGGUCUAUUUUGGGACCGAAAGAAGGUAAAUGGGAAUGUAUUUGGAAGUCAAAAGUUCCUCAACGUGUUAAAAACUUUCUUUGGUUAGUUCUUAAGGACUGCGAAUCAUGAAAGGGUGAGGUUUGAGCAACUGUUGAUGUUGGUUGUGGUAUUUGUAGGUUACAAAUUGAGUCGUAGCUACAUGCCUGAGGGGUUGUGUGGUUGUGAAAGUUGUUUGGAAUUUGGUAAUUCCCUAAUAUCUCAAGAACCGAUUCUUUUAUUUGCCUUUAGAGCAAUGAGUUCUAUUAAAUGUGUUGAACCAAUUUUGUUUAAAUACUGAUUUGGCAGAGUGGGUAGUAUGUUUAGUAUAAUAUGUUGGAAGUUGUGCGAAAAAUGUAAAGUGGAUGAGUUAGCAAGACAAUGUUGGGCAUGGACUAAACAUAUCAAAAAGGGUUGGGAAGAAACAUCUAUAAAACAAAUAACAAACUUUGGAGAAUGAUAAAUGGAUGGCACCUCUAAGAAAAUGAAAUUAUUUGUUAGAACAUUUAAACAUUGAUGAUAAUUAAAACAUAUUAACUCUAUUUCAAUAAUAUGGAAUACCCAAAUACUUUAUACUUCAUGCAAACAAUAAAAAAGAUAUGGUGUAAAUAAAGAUACAUAUUCACAACUUUUGAUAUAUAAAAUAAAAUUUGUUAAUAUAUUAUCAAAUUUUAAAUAAAUUUGUUGGUUUUGAAAAUUGGCCAACCAUGCUACUGUGAUAUUUUUGGUUGAAGUGCAUUGAACUUGUAAAUAUGUUGCAACAUAUAUGCUUGUUGUAACAACAAGGUUUUUGUUUAAUUACAUUGUAAUUAAACUUAGUUGAAAAAGAACAAGCUGAUGACAACUUGAUACAUUUAGGUGUUGAAUGACUUAGUUACAUUAUGUUUUCUAUCAGUCUGCUUUCGAGAUUUAUGCAUUGAAGAGGGUUCUCAGGUAUGUUAAAGGAACCUUAAGUUAUGGAGUUGAAUAUGUGAAAGAAAAGAAGUUGAAGUUGACUUGUUUCACAGACAGUGAUUGGGCUGGUUUUGUUGAAGAUAUGAAGAGCAAUUUAGGGUAUUUCUUCACUUUGGGAUCAAGUGUAUUCAGUAGGAGCUCAAGGAAACAAGAACUAUUGCAUAAUUAACCGCUAAAGCUAAGUAUAUCGCAACAGUUGCAGCAGUAAGCCAAGCACUUUGGCUAAGAAAGUUGAUGUCUAAUUUAAAUCUUGAGCAAGUGGAAGCAACAGAAAUAUAUUGUGAUAAUCAAUUUGCUGUUGCAAUUGCAAAGAACCCUAUCUUCCAUGGCAAGACAAAACACUUCAAGAUAAAAUGCCCUAUUUAAGAGUAGAUCUAUCAUAAUUGAGUGGAGUUGCAUGCAAUUCUAGAAAUAGGAUGACAAAAAUCUACCGGGUUAGAGUCAAAUCUAAUAAGGGAAUCCCAUAGAUCGAGUUAAUACGACCAUAGGGGUUUUAAUUAGAAAGAGAUUUCAAUUAAUCAAUCUAGAGUCAGUUGUUCUUACUUUUGAAAGACAUAUCAACAUAAUUUAGGGAUUUCUACAGAUCAAGACACAAGUGAAUAAAUUGUUUAAUUUAGAUUCAUAAUAAUAGGUGAAUUCUAGGUGGAUUCUUUCCUGGGUAUUGUCUGUCUCAUUAGUUAUCUUCAAUUAUUUUCCUAUUUCAUUCUUUGUUGCGUUCUUAAUUAGAUUAGUUUAGCAAUUUUAGAUUAAAAACAAUCAGUCUAAUUUGUCAACUAAAUAAAAAAAAGAUAAUUACUAGUACUUUUAGUCCUUAUGGAUACGAUAUUCUCUACUCACCAUAACUGUACUAUUUUUCGAUACGUGUACUUGCCUUUUUCGUAUUUAUAGUUAGUUUAGUGACCAUCAGAAUCAAAAAGGAAAACUAACCAGAAAAAUUUGGUGAAGUUGAUAUUGUAGAAGACUAUUAACUCCUAGUAGCUUCUGUCAAAAAUUUUAAAGUGAGCGAGGAGUGGAUCAUUGACUUAGACUGUACCUUUCAUAUGAGUCCCAAUUGGGAUUGGUUUACAACAUACGAAAUAAUGUCUCAAGGUGUUGUUUUGAUGCAUGUGUUGGAACGAUUAAAGUUAAUAUGUUUGACGGACUUGUCAGAACACUUAGUGACGUGUGACAUGUUCCAAAAUUGAAGACAAAUUUAAUUUCAUUGAGUACUAUUGAUUCAAAAGGGUACAAAUAUACUGCUAAAAGUAGGGUUUUGAAUAUUUCUAGAGGUUCACUUGUUGUGAUGAAAGGGCAGAGAAAGAUUGCCAAGUUAUAUGUUUUGCAAGGUUCAACUGUUACUAGUAAUGUAGUUAUUGCUUCCUCUUCCUUGUCAAAUGAUGAUGUUACUAGACUUUGGUAUAUGUGUCUAAGGAAUAUGAGUGAGAAUGACAUAGCAGAUUUGAGCAAAAAAUGACUUCUUGAUAGGUAAGGAAUUUGCAAACUGAAGUUUUGUGAGUACUGCAUUUUUUCGGAAGCAAAAAAGAGUUUGAUUUACUAAAGGAAUCCAUAACACGAAGGGAACAUUGGAGUAUAUUCAUUCUGAUCUAUGAGGGUCAUCCAGAGUGCCUUCGAGGGGUGGAACUAAUUAUAUGCUAACACUGAUUGAUGAUUUUUCUAUAAAAGUUUGGGUUUUUUUUUUGAAGUAGAAAAGCGACGUGUUUUUUGCAUUUAAGUCUUGAAAAAUAUGAUUGAAAAGCAGGAAGGAAAACAAAUAAAGCAUCUUCACACGAUAAUGGCUUAGAGUUCUGUUAUGAUAAGUGUAAUGAACUAUGCAAGUCAGAAGAAAUCGUGAGACACUUGACAGUUCAUCAUACUCCACAUCAAAAUGGCAUUACAGAACGAAUGAACAAAACGAUCAUGGAGAAAGAACGAUGUAUGUUGUUGAAUGCUAACUUACUAAAGUCAUUUUGGGCUGAAGUAGCCUCUACUACAUGUUUUUUGAUCAACCGAUCUCCAUCCAUUGCCAUUGAGAAAAAGACUCCACAAGAGGUAUGGUCUGGUAAUCCUACUGAUUGUUCUAAUUUAAAGAUCUUUUGGUGUCCUGCGUAUGCUCAUAUUGAUAAUGAAAAAUUGAAACUGAAAUCCAUUAAAUGUGUUUUUCUUGGUUAUAAAGUUGGUUGUAAAAAGUUAUAAGUUAUGGUGUCCUAAAAAUAGUAAAAGUUGUGACUAUCAGGGAUGUUGUUUUUGAUGAAAUUUUUUAUGCUACCUAACUUAUCCCUUAAAGACUCUUCCAAUAAAAAAACAUCAAAAGCAAGUGGAGCAGUAGAUUAAUCAAGAAUCUACAACAGAGUCGACUCCUUAACCUAGUACAAAAAUUCAGAAUAGAGUUGCUUCUUCACCACAAUACUCCUCCAAAGAAGUAUGUCGAGGCUGAUCUAGUUGUUUAUGCCUUAAAUAUGGCUUAAGAUAUAGAUGCAAACUAAGACCCAUCUAAUUAUUCUGAGGCGGUUAGUUGUGAAGACUUAGAAAAGUGGAUGUAUGCAAUAGAAGAUGGAAUCACUCCACAAAAACAACACAUAGGAUCUUGUGAAACUUCCUAAAGGCAAAAAGACUAUUUGUAGUAAAUGAGUGUUUAAAAAGAAAGAAGAGGACUCUAGGUGUUGAAGAACUCAGAUAUAAAGUAAGGCUUAUUGCAAAAGGGUUAUACUCAAAUUCCAGGAGUAGACUUCACAAAUGUGUUCUCCCCAAUUGUGAAGCAUAGUUUGAUUCGAGUUUUGCUUAGUAUUGUAGCCAUGCAUGAUUUGGAGCUUGAGCAAUUAGAUGUAAAACUACAUUUUUACAUGGAGAACUUGAGGAAGAUAUUUACAUGCAACAAUUAGAGGGUUUUACAGUCUUAGAAAAAGAGGAUUAUGUUUGUUUGCUGAAAAAGUCCCUUUACAAUUUGAAACAGUCACCAAGACAGUGGUACAAGAGGUUUGAUUCCUUUAUAACUUCUCAUGAUUUAAAAAGAAGUAGCUUUGACAAUUGUGUUUACUUUAAGAAAAAUAGUGAUGGUGCUUUUGUGUAUCUACUCCUUUAUGUUGAUGACAUGUUGAUAGCAGCGAAAGAUAAAUGAGAUAUAAGAAAGGUUAAAGCCCAACUAAGUGAAAAUUUUAAGAUGAAAGAUUUGGGACCAGCGAAGAAGAUACUUGGUAUAGAGAUUCUCUGAGAUAGAAAAACAAGUAAAUUGUACCUAAGUCAGAAGGUGUACAUUGAGAAAAUUUUUUGCAGGUUUAAUAUGUAGAGUACUAAACCUGUUAGUACUCCUUUAGUAGCCCAUUUUAGACUUUUAUCGUCUUUGUCUCCACAAUUAGAUGAUGAGAUUGAGUACAUGUCACAUGUUUCAUAUUCUAGUACAGUAGGAUCUCUCAUGUAUGCUAUGGUUUGUUCAUGUUCUGAUUUGUCAUAUGCAGACAGUGCAGUUAGCAGAUAUAUGGCGAAUCUCAGUAAAGAACACUAGAAAGCAGUUCAGUGGAUUUUAAGAUACUUACGAGGUACUACUGAUGUUUUCUUAUAGUUUAGAAAAACUAGAGACGGAGUCAUUGGGUAUGUUAAUGUUGAUUUUGCUGGAGACCUUAAAAGAAGAAGAUCUCUCAUAGGUUGUGUCUUUAUAAUCGGAGGUUGUGCUAUCAGUUGGAAAGCCACUUUGCUAACUACAGUCACUUUGUCUACCACUGAAGCUGAGCAAAUGAUGAUUACUGAGGCCUGUAAAGAAGUUAUUUGGUUGAAGGGACUCUUUAGUGAACUUAAUUAAGACUUUCAAAUCAGUAUAGUAUUUUGUGACAGUUAGAGUGUCAUCUUUCUUACAAAAGAUCAAAUGUUUCAUGAGAGAACAAAGCACAUUGAUAUUCGGUAUCAUUUUGUUCAUGAUAUUAUUGCUCGUGCUGAUAUUGUUGUGAGCAAAAUUAGUACUCAUGAAAAUCUUACAGAUAUGAUGACUAAGUCACUUCCAAUAACCAAGUUUGAGCAUUGCUUAGACUUGGUUGGUGUUCAUUAUUGAUGUUAAACCCCCAAAGGGUUUUAUGGAAGAGGUGGAGAACUUGUUCGUUGAGAGUUCGCAAUGAAGAACUUGCAUUGAGAAUUCGUUGUCAAGGUGGAGAUUGCUAGAAUUGAGUGACCUAAAUCCUUAUUAAAAUAAAAUACGGUGGUAAAAUGAAAUAAAAGUAAAAUUCAUAUAGAACUACAUUUAUUUUAAACCUUAUUUUAUAUUUAUUAGAAUAAGGUGUUUCAACCUUAGUACACUCCUUCUAUUAGAAUAUGGUUUUACAAGUCUAUAAAUAAACAUAAUCUACUCCUCUUGUAAUCAAUUCGAAUUCAAUAUAGUGAAUUAUCUUCUCCUCUACCCGUUUUUUUUCUCGAAAGGGUUUCCACGUAAAAAUCUGUGUGUUCUUUAUUUUUCUUUCUCUUUUCUUUGCAAUACAUUGUCAUUAUUAACAUUCUAUUUUCACAAUUAUCAUAAAUUUAAUUUGUAUAAUUAAUAAAAUUUAAUUGUAAAUUAAUUUUUACCUUGAUAAACUAAAAUUUUACAAAGAAAAUUAGAAACACCAGCGAAAGAAAUAAAUACAUCAAUUUAUUUUUAUAUUGGAUAAAUAUAAUUAUUUAUGUAUGCAAUAUAAACAUAAAAUGAUGUUAUACCAAUAAUUGUGUUAAUAAUUAACAAGAAAUAGAUCAAAUCAAAAUUUCAUUAUAAAAUUACACAAAUCAAAGUUAAUAUGUACAAUUGCAUAUUAAACCAUAUUUAUAUAUAAUUUUGAGAUUUAUCUCUUCUUAUAAAUAAUGUUAUUUAUCAUAUACUAUUUUAUAAUUUUUUUUAAUUAUAAAGUUUAUCAAAUGUUACUAAUAAAUUACAAUGAUAAUGAUUAGACCAUUCUACAAUUAAAAAUUAUCAAUUUGAGCACUAAUAUUAAUAAUAUAAAAAUUUAGGUUACCUAAUUAUUAGAGACUAAAGAAUGUGAAUUAGUGUUAGUACUAGACCUGUCCAUGGACCAGGUCGAAGGCUUGUCCAAAAAAUGGGAGGGUUUAGGUAAAUAUAUAGGCCUGAAAAAUGAGCUUGGGCAAAGAAUAAAGUCCGUCUUCUAAACGGGCCGAGCCUUAGGUAAGUUUUUUUUCUCCCGGCCCAAGUAUGAAAGCAAAAAAAAAAUUGACUGUUUUUUUACCGUUAUUUGCUAUUUUCUUGUUUUUUUUUUCACUAUUUUGCUACAAUUUCACAAUUAUGUUACUACUAUUUUGUUGUUAUUAUUUGGAUAUUGUAUAACUCUUGUUUUAUUGUUAAUUUUGUUGUUAGUUUUCACAUUUGCUUGUUAAAUUGUAUUUAUCUUAGUGUUGUUUAAGUAUACAUAUAUAUAUUUUUAUUUUUAAUUUGUUGAGAAACAUUUAUUUUAAUGUUUUUAGUAUUUAUGAUAUAUUAUAUAUAUUUAAAAUUAUAUAAAAAAUUAAUACGGGUCGGGCUGGGUCGAGUUUAAGUAAAAUUUUAGGAUAAUUUUUCGGGUCAAUCUGGGCCGGGCCUUAAUUUUUUGUUAGGCCCAGCCCAACCCAUAGACACCUCUAGUUAGUACCAUACAUAAUAUAUAUUAGAUGAUAUAUAGUGUUAUCAAUUCUUUCAAUAAAUAAAAAAUAAUUUUGAUAAUUAGGAUUAAAAUGACAAAUUUUAUAAAUAUUAAAAAUUAAAUUUGUUAAUUUUUUAGAUCUAGCUUCUGUUACCUGUUGCAACUGACUAAAUUCAGUAUCUAUCUUUUUAUUCUAAUAAGUUAUCAUUUUGAAAGAGCAGAAAAAUUAAAUAAAUACUAUUUAUGUUCGUCCAGAGACUCAUAAUUUUGGUUACAUACUGCAAUAACCCAGUAGAUGGAUGGGUUAUAUCUGUAAGAGGUAUAGUGUAACACUCACAAUCUAUUCGGAUUAUACUCGGGUUGUGAGUAAUCAAAGAGAAAUAAUUUUAUGAAAUUAUGAUUUUAUGUCAUUUUUUUAUUUUUUUAAUAGAAAAUUUUUUAAUAAAAAAAUGAAAACUCAAAUUUUUCAUUAAUUAAUAAUUCAAAAUUCUUACAUUUAACCUUCAACUAAAAUUUAAGAAGUGAUGACUAUAAAAGUCUAUAAUCAGCAGAUCAGUUUUGACUUCACUUUGGCCCACCAUCUUUUGGGGGUGUCUCUAGGAAUGGAGAAAUUCUGCUUGAAGACAAUAGUGGCUUCCCCGUGGGUCAUAGGCUUCUUAUGGCAAACCGUAACGACUGAGCUCAAACCAAAAGAUAAAGGAAGACCUUGACUUCGAAAGCAAUAAAUUUGAUCUAUAUUGGGUUAAUUGAUUAGCUGGGAAAUCACUAACCAUUAUUAUUAUCACAGCCUAUAAAAAAAAUUAAGCUUAAAGAUGGCCUCACCUUUUUGUUGCACUACCCUUGUUCUUUCUUAUGUUUCGAUUGCACUCGUGGUCACCAUUUUUCCAACUUUCGGUACUGGUUCUACCAGAUUAGCCACAGCAUCCGAGCUAGAAAUGGAAGCAAAAGCUCUCCUUCAUUUAGGUUGGUGGAGUUGGCACGGCAAUGACACUCGCGAUCGUUGCGAAUGGAAAGGUAUAGCAUGCAAUGAAGCUGGGAGCAUCACCAGCAUUGAUUGUUCAUGGGUUGCGGUUAGGGGAAGCAUCUCGCCUGAAAUAGGAGCUUUCUCUUCACUCGAGUCCCUUAUUCUUUCUCACAGUGCUCUAGUAGGUGAGUUACCUCCAUCUCUCGGAAAACUUACACUCUUAGAAGAGCUCAACCUUUCCAAUAACUCUAUUACGGUUCUAUCCCCCUAGACUGGGGGAACAUGAAGAGUUUGAAACAGUUGGACCUAUCCAAUAACCAAAUUCGUGGUCCUAUCCCUCCUACCUUAGGCAACUUAACCAAUUUAGAACAGUUGGACUUAUCCAAUAACCAAAUUCGUGGUCAUAUCCCCCUUAGAUUGGGGGAACAUGAAGAGUUUGAAACAGUUGGACCUAUCCAAUAACCAAAUUCGUGGUCCUAUCCCUCCUACCUUAGGCAACUUAACCAAUUUAGAACAGUUGGACUUCUCCAAUAACCAAAUUCGUGGUCCUAUCCCCCUAGACUGGGGGAACAUGAAGAGUUUGAAACAGUUGGACAUAUCCAAUAACCAAAUUCGUGGUCCUAUCCCUCCUACCUUAGGCAACUUAACCAAUUUAGAACAGUUGGACUUCUCCAAUAACCAAAUUCGUGGUCCUAUCCCCCUAGACUGGGGGAACAUGAAGAGUUUGAAACAGUUGGACCUAUCCAAUAACCAAAUUCGUGGUCCUAUCCCUCCUACCUUAGGCAACUUAACCAAUUUAGAACAGUUGGACUUCUCCAAUAACCAAAUUCGUGGUCCUAUCCCCCUAGACUGGGGGAACAUGAAGAGUUUGAAACAGUUGGACAUAUCCAAUAACCUAAUUCGUGGUCCUAUCCCUCCUACCUUAGGCAACUUAACCAAUUUAGAACAGUUGGACUUAUCCUUUAAUCAAAUCACUGGGGCAAUUCCUCGUGAAAUUGGGAACCUAAAGAAUUUGUCUGAAUUGAAUCUAAGUAAAAACAAGCUCAAUGGUUCGAUCCCUUUGUCAAUAUUUAAUUUAUCCAGAUUGAGCCAUUUCUAUCUUGAUUCCAAUCUUUUAGAAGGUCCCUUACCACAAGAAAUGGAGAAUUUGAAAGCUUUAAGUUUCCUUGACCUCUCCAAUAACAAAUUGAUUGGACCUAUUCCAUCUCAAAUUGGAAAUUGCUUAGUGUUAGGAGAAUUGUAUUUGAGUAACAAUCAUAUAACUGGAAGCAUUCCCUUUGAAGUCUUCACUUGCCCUUACUCAUACUCUUGAUCUCAGUCAUAACUUCAUCGAGGGAGAAAUACCGCAUCAAUUUGAUAACGGUCUUUACUUCAACAGUUUUGAAUCUUAGCCUACAACAAUCUAACAGGCAUGAUUCCUGAAUCUUUUUGGCUUCUUGGAAACGCUCAAUCUGUCCUAUAAUUCUCUAGAGGGACCUAUUCCAGAAGACUUCAGUCAUAGGUUUUCAUCUGAUUCAUUUUGGGGAGGAAACAAGUAUUUAUGUGGAAACCUACCAGAUUUCUCUCCUUGCCCUUCUAAAUCAAGCAACGAGCUAAAGAUUGUUCAAAUCAUUCUUCCAGUUCUCUGUUUUCUGGCCUUCUUGGGUUUAGGAGUUUUGCUCUUCCUUAGAUCCAGAGCCAAAGAUAACAUUCCUGAACCAAAUGUCACAAAAAAUGGAGAUUUAUUCUCAAUCUUGAACUUUGAUGGAAGAAUUGCAUUUGAAGAUAUCAUUGAGGCGACCAACGACUUUGACAUCCGAUACUGUAUUGGGACUGGAGGUUACGGUAGUGUUUAUAGAGCGCAGUUACCAAGUGGAAAGAUUAUUGCCUUGAAGAAACUUCAUCGAAGAGAAGCAGAGGUCCUAGCUUUUGACAAGAGUUUCAAGAAUGAGGCAAAAAUAUUAUCAGAAAUACGACACAAGAACAUAGUGAAGCUUCAUGGAUUUUGUCUCCAUAAUCGUUGCAUGUUUUUGAUUUACGAAUACAUGGCUCGAGGGAGCUUAUUUUGUGUUCUCGCCUAUGAUAACGAAGCAAUGGAGAUGGAUUGGAUCAAAAGAGUGAAGAUAAUCAAAGAUACAGCAUGUGCUUUAUCUUAUCUGCAUCAUGAUUGCCACCCACCAAUAGUUCAUCGAGACAUAUCAAGCAAUAACAUUUUAUUGAACUCCAAUCUUGAGGCUUGUGUCUCGGAUUUUGGCACAGCUAGACUCAUUGAUCCUGACUCGUCUAAUCAAACAAUGCUUGUUGGAACCUACAGAUAUAUUGCACCAGGUCAAGUUUCUAAACUGAGUCUGUUUUUGUUUUCUUAUUCUACUUUGGAUUGUAAUUAUGGCUUGUAGGUAUUGAAAACUAGACCCCGAUUCUUAAACCAUAAGGAAAAGUGGCAUAUUAGCUAUUUUUCAAAUGCUUGUGGUUAAAGAUUAGCAACAGUUUAUGCAUAUGGUGCCAUGAAUUAUCAAGUGCUCAAGUUCUUUUGUUAUAAAGAAUGCAGAUUUUUCAUCUUUUAAAUGAUUUUAACGAUAAUAUUUUAAUUGGGUUUCUUUUGUUGUUAAAUGCAGAACUUGCUUAUACUAUGGUUGUAACUGAAAAAUGCGAUGUCUAUAGUUUUGGAGUAUUGGCACUUGAAACUACUCAUGGGAAAGCAUCCUGGUGAACUCUUGGUAUCACUAUCGGCAUCAUUUUCCAAGAAUAUAAUGUUAAGUGAUAUUUUAGAUCCACGUUUAUCGCUUCCAAGCGAUCGAAGAGUUGCAAAGGAUAUUGUUUUUGCUGCAACAGUGGCCUUUGCUUGCUUAAGGUCGAACCCAAAGUUCCGACCAACAAUGAAGUGUGCGUCUCAAGAGUUUCUUUCCCGGAAAAGACCAGUAGCAAAUCGUCUCCAAGCUAUCUCUCUGCUGCAACUCAAGGAGCAUGAUCUGUAUAUGGAUGAUGAAGCCAAAUUUCAAUCUCAGAAGUCAGGUGAAAUUGUUGGACUCCAUGCUAGUUCUUCAACUUGAUUUUCAUGUGUAGCAUUAUUUGAUGUCUUCACUUCCAGUCUUUCCAUUCAAUAUCGGAUGCUUGUUAAUUCUAUCAUUAUAAUUUUGGGUUUGGUUUGUAGAUCUAUGAUUAUCAAUAAUUCUAGUGGUUUAGAAUCCAUGUCUUAUUAUUCGGCACUAUAACUGAAUUAAAUAAAACACUAUAACUGAUUUAUCUAUAAUGGUGUAAUUCAUUUUGUAAUUUGAUUAUUAUUUGAUGAAUUAAAUAAAUAUUAGUUAUGUUGAUCGAAAGAGUCAUGAUUUAGCUAACAAACUACUAUAACUGAAGAAAAAGAUUUACAUGUGAGACCAGUCAAGUUGGCCUAGGAGAUCUCACAAAGAGCGAGGAAGCAUGCUGCUUCCAUUAGAUUUCUGAGCAAUUACUGGCAAUUUAAAGAUGAGUGACCAGUACAUAUUCACUUGUACUUGAUAGAAAUUGUUUUCUGGUUCCGAGACAUCUCAUGGCAAACCGUAACGACUGGGCUCAAACCAAAAGAUAGGAGGAAGACCUUGACUUCCAAAGCAAUAAAUUUGUUUAUAUUGGAUUAAGUUCUUUCUUAUGUUUUGAUUGCAUUCGUGGUUGCCAUUGUUCCAACUUUGGGUACUGGUUCAACCAGAUUUGCCACAUCUUCCGUGUUGGUUUUUUAGUCUAAGAAAGAAAAGGUGGACAGAUCGAAUUUUAGCAAUGAAAUGUGAUUUGCUAUAUUUUUCAAUUUUUCAAUACAUAAAUUACAUACAAAGAUGACUUUAAAUUGGAAAAUUUUUCGACUGCAAGUUGACAAGUUUAAGUACAUGAGAUUUACUCCAUUAGCUGAUUUCUAUCUAGUCAGCACCGCUUAAAUUAUCCUAUCAAAAUAAAGAUAAAUAAGUUGACAACUUGCUAGCUUGUAUCAUAAGCUUUGGGAUAGUCUGUCAAUAGUUGUUCGUCAAAUAGUUCAUCAGUUGACAGUCCACUAUUUUGCUUGUACUUUAGCUUGUCUACCAUUUUGGCUUACACUUUUGGUUUGUUCGCCACUUUGGCUUGUUCGUCACUUUGGCUUACAUUUUUGGCUUGCAUUUUUAGUUUGCACAUUUGUAUCUCAUCAAGUGAGAAAGUUGUUGCAUGGAUGACCAUCUCACAACACUCCUCCUUGGCCUCCAUGCAGCGAAUACCAAUUUCAUUUCUCAGCUUCUCAAACUUCGCUUCUCCAAGAGGCUUGGUCAGAAUGUCCAUCAGUUGAUUCUCUGUGCAGCAAUGAACUAGAGUUACUUCUUCACUCUGUUCGACUUCUCUCACAAAAUGGUACUUGAUCUUGAAAUGUUUUGUCUUUCCAUAGAAGACAGAGUUCUUCGCAAUUGCAACGGCGAAUUGAUUAUAGUAGUAAAUUUGCGUUGCUUUAACCAAAAUUCAAAAAUAUUAAUAUAUGCUUGGUUCAUUGUAAUAGAAUUGAACAAGAAUGAAAUAAUUAUAGUUUAAUGUAGUAAUGGUGAGGUAAUAAAAUAUUAUGUUAUUUAGUUGAUUGAAUCCUACGGACAUGUAAUAUUAUUACUUUAAGUAAAAUAAUAUCAUAGAAUAGGUUAAGAAUAAACAAAAAUUGACAAAUUUAACCUUAAAUUAAAAGUAAUUAUUAUUUUUAUAUGAUUAAUUAAUAUCUUACUAUUUUUUUAAUGCAUUAUAUAACUUAUGAAUUAUUUUUAUAAUUAUAAUAAAAUUAUAUUAAAAUAAUAUUUACAAAUAUUUGUAAUAAUUAAUAUUGAACACUUAAAGUAUGAAGUACAUAUUAUAGUAUAAAUAAAAUAUCAUGUCUUAUUUUUUUUGGGUGGAAAUACAAAACAACUUAAAAAUCAAACGCUAAACACGAAAGACAUAUGUGUGGACUCCUCUAUCAACCGUAAACCGGUUUUUCUAUCUUUUACUAUCUUAAUGAUCUUAUCUGCAAGUUUAUUAUUCUCUCUAGAGAUAUGCUGAAUACUCCAGUGGCUAAUAAACUUCAAUACUGUAUAAAUUCUCCUUAUCAAAGCAGAAUUAGAGUUUCCGUAAAUGCCAUUCUUAAUUAUGUUAAUAUCUUGAAUGCUUAUCUAUUAUUAAGAAGGCACAUGAAUCAUUGCUUUUUUGCCUUAUUUAGAAGUUGAUUUAAAUUUUGAAAUAUGAAAAUUAAAAGGAUUAAAUUUCAAAUAUGUAAAAGGAAAAGUUAAAAAAUAGUUUACCUAAAAAGUUACAGGGACUGAAGAGAAAAUUUCUCCUUUUCCCUUCUGCUCUUUUCCCCGCGAAGGUCACAGAAUGGUUUUGGUUCCUUUAUUAUUUUUCUCUUUACUCUUCUCCAUUUACCCUAGAGGCCGCCUUUACUCCUCUAUCCAGUCAGCCAUCGCCGACGUCCCUCGGGCCAACUGAUACCACCGGAGUGCAGCUCUCUUCCUCUUCAAUCUAUUUUCGGCUUAAAGUCUCUCUCACUCUCACCGUUGCCGCCGACAUCGUAAUGAUUUUUCGUAGGCGAUCUUCUCAGUACUUAACUGUAUCUACUCUAUAGCUUUGUGAUUAAUAUUUGGCUCUCAUUUCCAAUUUUGAGUAGAGCUCUCUUUGCUUUUUGUUAGCUUCGUCUUAUUGAAAAUCAUCUCUUAAAAAGUACAAAUCAUCUAUCGUUUGCCCUUCCUUUCUCUUAGUGAUUGAUUCAACAACCACUGCAAUCAGGAUUUCAUCUGACAUUUACAUUGUUCAUAACGACAUUUUCUUGGAAUGAUUUAGCUCUUAAUCCGUUUUUAUUCUCAUUUUCUCGGUUUCAUCUGUUUGAUUUCUUCAAUUUUGUUAUUUACUGAAGCUAAUAGUGUUCGCGUUUCUCUUUUGACAAUUUAUUCUGUUUUCUCUGUUUCUCUUUUGACAAUUUUAAACUAAGACUGUCUAAGAAGGGGAAACUUCUGUUGUCACUGUAUCAAAAUUUAAUGUUCUAGGUUUGUAAUUCAGUAUUAGGUUUAGUUGUCUUCCAUCCAAUUUUUUGCAUUUUGUAUUGUGCUGUUUUGGGUUUCAUGAUCAUACUGGAGAUUGUCAUGAUUCGUGUAUGCAUAGAUGUUUUCUUUUUCAUACUGCUAGGUGUUUGCAUUCAUCUGUAAGGAUUGGGUAGAUAUUCUUUAAAAUAGUUUUGAAUAGAGCUGAUCGAUGAAAUUAGUUGGGAUUGUUUGUGUGCUGGUGGGUAUUAUUUGCAAAUGGACUUUGAUAGAAAAUUUCAAGUAGACCCAAGGUAUCACUAUAUAUCAUCUGAAUGGGAAGUUUUUGUGUGAUUACUGAUAUAUUCAUCUGUGUUACCUAGGCUUAUAGCAUGUUUACAUGAAGGGAAAUUGAGUUGUAAUCUUUUAAGUGAACAGGUUCUAGGUUUUGGCUAUUUCAACGUUUUAGGUUGAUUUGUUGUUCUACUAUUCUCUCUUGUUUGAAAAGCUAUGUUGGUUUCUGCUUUCAGUUGCAUUAUUUGCUUUUAAGUUGCUUCUCUUGUUUUUAGCCUGUAGUUAUAAAAUCUAUUUUAUAUAUAUGCUUGGCCUUAACAGUGAAUGAGAAAGAAAGCACUAAGAAGAAGAAGAAGCUAUGGGAAGCACAAGUAUUGCUACUUUCAACUGGUUGAUGUGAUAAUGUUGUUUUAUAAUUGGUGGUUUGUGAGGUCCAGUUUUUUAGAUAUAUCAUAGUAAAAGAUUAGGCCAAACUGAUGAAGGCCUUUUAAAGUUGUUCAAAAUGUUCUCCAAGGCUCAAAGUAUUGUGAAAUGAACCGUAAAUGGUGCUCUGCAUUUUAAUGCAAUGUUAUAUCACUGUACAAGUGACUCCGACAAAGAGGUCUUACCUCAUGAAUGAUACGAAAAGGCAUUUUCAAAGUUGACAAGAUUGGCCCACUUGUUAAAAGAUGUGGAUUCAGUUGAUGGAUGGCUUGUGAAUGCAAACGACAAUUCGAUCAUCAUCAGUGAUCGAAUUGAACAUAGAAUGAAUGCUUUCAAGUCACUUGUGAGAGUCUUUAUUGGGUCCCCAUCUAUCUGUUCAACAAAUGCUAAAGAAAAAAUAUCUUCAUUUGACUGUUUUGGUAAAACUAGUGAAAGGGAGCCCAUGAUUGUGAAUUCAUUAACCUUAGUGAGCAAUGUUUGAAUGUUACAGCUCAACAGAGGAAGUUGGUGCGUCUAACAAUAUGUCCUCAGAUUACACAACACAGGAUAUGGAUGGGUGCCCUUGAGAAAAUAUUGAAUGAACUGAAAUUGGAGAUUGAUUUAUUGAAUUUCCAAUUCCCAAGUAAAGGAACUAAGAUGGGUAAGCAGAUAGUUUAUAGCUGCCUUAAGUUCUUGAACGAGUCUGCUGUUUCUUAUGACUUUGAUUCUGCUUCAUGGAUUCGACUUUCACCUGCAAAAGUUGUUGACUCUCCUCGCAAAUGGGAGGAUGUUCUUGAGAUGUUUACUGAUCUCAUUAAUUGCUUGAAGAGUGAGAAGGAUUGGCUUUGUCAUUUGAAAACAAUUGAGGUGAUGAAAGAAGGUGUGUCUCAGAUUAGGGAUGUGUUAGUUGAUAACAGUAUUGGGUAUAAGGAUUCUAGGCACCAAGAAAGCCUUGUACAAAGGAAGCUAUCUAAGACAUUGGGACACCUCGUCACGGUGCUUGUUCACACUUUUAUUGUAUUACCUCUACGGGCAGGUUAGAGAUCUUGAAGUGGAUUUGUGUGGAGCAAUGUAUGGGAACGGUAUUGAGAAUAGGCUUACCUUGUGCAUGGGAAGAGUUCUGACUUCAAAUGAGGAGAAGAUGGUUUGGAGUGGGGUUAAGCAGUUGGAUAGGGCUCUGGGGUUAUUCAAGUUUGUAUGGGAAACAGCAGGUAUGAAAGGGAAUCUGGAGUUGCAAGGUCACUUAUGGUUUGUAGGGCCUCAGGAGAGAUUUUUCACAUAUCGAGGAAAUGCCUUCUUUCUACAUGGGAUCAGUCUUGGACCUAAGAUUAUCUCGUCAAAAGCUCUGUGAUGUUUUAAGGUUAUAUUUGGCAUUCCUGAUUAGCAAUUACAUCCUGUUAUUCAAGUCUUGACAAUAUGUUUUAAAUUUAGUUUUAUUUUAUUUACCAUUCUUGCGAAAUAUGUUGCAGUAUUUUAAAAAAUGUUUCAAGACUUGAAUAACAUUAUUUAAAAAUAUAAAAAAUAUUUAAAAUUUAUUAAAAAUUAGAAAAAAAAAUUGUAAAUUUUUUUAAAAAUUAUAAAAUGCAUCAAAAAGACGUUUUAUAUAUUUUUUAAUUUAUAAUUGUAAAUUAUUGAUUUUUAUUUUUUUAUAUAUUUUUUACAAUUUUAUAAUUUUGUUUCCUAAUUUUUAAUAAAUUUCAGUGUUUUCUAUUUACACCUUGAUUCCAACUAUAUUUCCAAUUCCAUCCCUUCAUCUCUAUGCCAUUUGACCAAUUCGCAGUCGUUGCAGCUUGAGAGAAAAUCUUUUACAUGGUUCCAUCCCUUCAUCUCUACUUCAUUUACCUAAUUUAUUGUAUCUAUCCGUGGCUUGAAUCUUUGGAAGGUCCCAUACCCCUUGAUAUUGAGAGUUUGAAUGCCCUGCAAUACUUAGAUCUCUCAGACAACAAAUUGAGUGGAAGGAUUCCCCUGCAAAUUGGUGGCUUAUCUCUAUACCAGCUUGAUUUAAGCCAUAAACAUUCUCCAAGGAGUGAAACCUUCCCAGUUUGAGAGUUUAACUCAAUUAAACAUUUAAAUCUCAGUCGGAAUAAUUUAACGGGCAUGAUUCCUGAAUUUCUAGUUUAUGUAAGGAACCUCCAAAUUAUCAUUUAAUUCCCUUAAGGGUCCAACUCCAGAUGGGUUGUUGUAUUUUGCACCAGAGGCAUUUACAGGGCAACAAGGAUUUAUGUGGUUCCAUUCAAGGCUUCCAUCCUUGCCCUUCAUCCCAUCUGUAAAUCAAGAAAGAAAUAGCAAAGUCAAGCACACUCUGCUUGUCUUUAUUCUGGUUCCACUUUGUUAUUUUUUGUCACACUUUUGCAUUGGUGAUAUUCAUCCUUUGCCGAAGAUACAGAGCUAAAGCAUUGAAACAUGAUCCAAGUCCAACCAAAAAUGGGGAUUUAUUCUCUAUUUGGAAAUUUGAUGGAAAGAUUGCAUUUGAAGACAUCAUCAAAGCAACAGAGGAUUUGAUAUCAAAUAUUGCAUUGAACGGGUGGUUAUGGCAGUGUUUACAGAGUAGUCUUACCGAGUGGUAAAGUUGUUGCUUUAAAAAAAUCCACCGAUUGGAAGCUAAGCAGCCACAUUAAGAUACAAGUUUCCGAAAUGGGAUAAAGUUUUUAACAGAAAUACGACAUAAAAACAUCGUCACGCUCCAUGGAUUUUGUCUCCACAAUCGGUGCAUGUUGGUCUAUGAAUAUAUGGAAAAGGGAAACUUGUUUUAUGCCUUAGCAUUGAUGAUGAAGUUGUGGAAAUGGAUUGGAUCAAAAGAGUGAAUAUUGUCAAAGGUGUCGCACAUGCUCUAUCUUACAUGCAUCAUGAUUACCCCUCCAAUUGUUCAUCGAGACAUCUCAAGCAAUAACAUUUUGUUGAACUCUGAAUUGGAAGCUUUUAUUGUUGAUUUUGGGACUGCAAGAUUUCUUACUCUGAUUCAUCUAAUCAAACUGUAAUUGUUGGAACAUAUGGAUAUAUUGCCCCAGGUUCUUCACCUUCACUUCUUUUUUUCCUUUUUAUUUAGUUUCAUCCAUUAUUACCUUGUAUUGGUUAUUUAUUUUGAAUUACAUAUUGAAAUAAUAUGAUAGAAACAAAUAGGAAAAGCAAAAUUAAGAAAGAUCAAAUAUAAAAAAAAAAUUCGAGAUUGAAAAUUCAAAUGCAAUUAUACAUGCAACCACAUUUGAAUACAAAAUAUAAUUAACAUCUAAUUAAGUCGUUUUUUUGUUUUAAUUACAGAAUUUAUUUUUUCGUUGGUCGUGACCGAAAAAUGUGAUGUUAUGCUUUGGAGUGUUGGCAUCGAAAAAAUUGAUGUGAUGGGAAAGCAUCUUGUUGAAUUGUUGUCAUUACUAUCAUUAUCAUCGUCUCGUGUCCAGAAUUUCAUGCUAAAUGAAACUUUGGACCCUCGAUUAUCACCCUGACAAGUUGAAAAAUGGUAGGAGACAUCGUUUUUAUUGUUGUCAUUGCUUUUGCAUGCUUACGAGCUAGACCCAAAGCUCGACCAACAAUAAAUUAGUGUCUCAAGAAUUCCUACACGUCAAGUAUCCAAUUGCAAUGCCUCUUCAUAAAUAUCAUUGAUUAAGCUUAAGAAUCACGAGAUAUUAUGAGAGAUGAAAGUCACAAUAAAUGACAUUUUUAAAGAGGAUAUGAAUACCAUAUUCAUCUAAAUAUCUCCUUAGGCUAGAUUUUGGCUAUUGAAUUUGAUUUAAUUUUAGAAAUUACCUUGUUGAUCUAAUUAUAAAUUUUGAAGUUGAUUUAAUAAUUUAGUACCAACGGAAAGUGACAAGUGGAAUCAAUCUUCACUAGGGCAUGAUACUGCUAUUUAUAGUUGUUUUCUUGUUUUCCUACAAUUUUUUUCAUUCAUUAUCAUCAAUGCAGUUAAGCUUACGCUGUAAAGUGACGAUGACAACCACUGAGCAUCUUAAAGUUCUGAAAUUUGCAGUUGUAAUUCAUCUCAACGCAGCUCUCAUUGCAAUAAAACCACAACUUGGGGAGAAAUUUUAUACUAUUCGAAGGCAGAAUAAAACUCAAAUACGAUAUAAUUAAUCCAAUUCGAAAUGAGAGUUUGAUAUACUUCAAAUCAAUUACCUGCAUAUUGAAACUCAUGCUUCAUGCUCAUUUCGAAAUGAUAUAGUAAAUUCCCCAUACCAGAAAACAUGUAAUAAAAUGGAGAAGAGAAGGGAAUGGGGACAUAGUCAUUGUAAAGGUCAGCAUGCCUUGGGUUUUGGCGAUCGGUGAAGAUAAUUAUUAUGAUAUGGAGAGACAUGCGGACCAUUUGGAGGGUAGAGGCUUCUUGUUGAAGAUGGCCAGCAAUGCAGCAGCAAGGAUGUUUUGGUGCUUAACCAUGCAGCUGUUUUGUUUUUUUCUUUCAAACUAGUCUAGUUUAUUUUGUAAUCAGUCUUGUUGAUGUACAAAGACUAGUUAGCUUAUUUUUUUUAUGUUUAGGUGAUGAUUUAGCCGAUAAAUCAGCUUGUUUAUGUGUGCAAGUUAUGUUUUGUAGGGAGUUUUAUGUAUUAGGUAAUUGUUUGUAACAAAAGUGAACAAUGCCUUAAUGAAAAACACAUCAGCUAAGAGUUUUUGCUGAUCAUCUUUCAUUCUUCAGUUUCUUUUCUUUCAUGUUUUUCUGUUUUCUGUUGCAAAAACCUCAACACUUCUAAGAGGUUGUCCACACAUUAACGCCAACCCAGCCUGCACUCUAUUGCUAGUUCUAGAUUUUAAGUUGGAUCCGGUGCGCUCUAAUUGUAUAGCCUAGAAAUGGGAAGAAGUAAAAGCUAUAUAUCCUUGAGAUUUGGCAGGGCUUUAAGGAUUCAAUGAUAAGUGUGUAAUUUAUCAAUUAUUUGUGAUAUUUCUCCCUUGAAUUAUGUUAUUUAUUUUUAACUAUAUUAUUUAUAUUUUAUUUAUUAUUGUGUAUUUAGAGAAUAAUUAAAAAAAUGAAGUUAAAGUUUAUUUUUAAAAAUUUUUUGCGCUUUGAAUUUUUAACAUAGUGCAACUUCAGUAUUUUGAUUGAAAGAUUGCAUUUGAAGACAUCUGAAAGCAACAGAGGAUUUUGAUAUCAAAUAUUGCUUUGGAACAUUUGAUUAUGGCAGUGUCUACAGAGUAGUCUUACCAUGUGGUAAAGUUGUUGCUUUAGAAAAACUAUCCGCCAGUGAUUUACAUAUGUGUACGCCACUUGGUCUAUCUGUCAUGUUCUAUUCACCAAUCUUGAUUAGUUCGCCAUUCCUGGAGAGUUCGACAAAUUUAGAGAGUACACCAAAUUUAGGGAGUUCGCCGGUCGUGCAUGUUACAUGAAUGAUCAUCUUACAACAAAUAUGGCACCUUAUCUAUUUUCAUUUCUACUAGUGGAAAUGGUCAAUUAUUAGUUGUUAUAUAAUUUUUUUAGAGUAAUUUUCAAGGCAUCAAUUGUAAAUAAUUAAGGAUAUAGUCGUACUUGUGUGUAUAUAUAGGUUUACAUAUCAUUUCAGGCUUCUUUAAUUGUAAAUAAGUAAUAGAUAUGUGAUAAAUGCCAAGAGUAACAUUUUUAGCCUCAUUUUAAUGCAUUUUUGCAUGAUUGUUCGAUUUAAAAUGGUGAAUUUGCUCUUAAUCUUUAAAUUCAUGUUUCUAUACUUAGUGUCGAAACCAUUUUUGAAAAAAAACAAAAAAAGUUUAGUUGUCGACUUGAAAAUAAAAAUUGGAGUCGCCACCGAUCUUUUAUAGAGGUGUGAUGAUCGGAUCACUUGAAAAUAAUUUUAGGUCUGUAAGUUUUGAGAAAACAGGUUCAGGAGUCGGUUACGGACGAGGAAGGGUUAGCACCCUCGUGACGCCCAAAUUGGUACCGAAUUGAUUGUUUAAUGUCUUAAUGUCGAAAUUUUGAAAAGAUUUUAAAAUACAAUCUUUGAUGAGAAAACUUGAACAAACUAGAUUGAAUGAUAAGACGCAUUUACUUCGAAGAAUAAAUUGUCACACUCAGUAAGUUAGGGUGUUACAAUUUAAUCUUCAAAAUCAAAUGUAUUCUUUUUAAGAAAAUCAUAAGUUUAAAGAAGGUUAUUUGAUUGUUUGAGUCAGUCGAGAAAUCAGAAUCCAGUAAGUUAGGAUUCAAUUUCUUGAAAUUCUUAAACCUCAAAUAUUGCCUUUAUUUUAAAAUUGAGACGACAAAAGCCACAUCUAGUAAGUUAGGAUCCGACAUUUUGUAAUCCUUAAAACUUUAUUACAACAAUUGAAUGGUUUUAGUAAAAUGAACACUUGAUGAUACGAAUUCGUCGAUAAGAAUUGAAGCCCAGUAAGUUAGGGCACAAUUCUCUCGAUGACUUAUAAACCAAGCCCUUUUUAGGAAUUUUGAAGUAAAACGAUUCUAAUGCCUUGAUGAAAUGCAAUUCUUACCAACAAUAUAAUUGGAUAGCAAUAUAUAAAGCGGAUGAGAAUAACAAAACAAAUUUACAAUAUGGAACACCAAACAUAUAAUACAUCAACGUAAAUAAUUAAGUAUCUAAUAGAUCAAUAAUCAGUCUCCUAAGAUAUCUUGGAUAUAAAGAAAUGGACAUUUAGAAUAAUUUAUAAUAAAUAUUUGAACUAAAGUAAGCAAAUGAAUAACCCUUUUUAAUAAAUAAAAUACUUAUGUAGAAAAGCAUAUACAAUUUUAUAAGUUGAAAUCUAUUACUUUAUAUUUAUUUUAUAUACACCAAAAAGGUUCCUUAUAAAUUAUACAUAUAGAUAUAAUAGUCAUGAAACAUCAUGGUGAAAAUAAAAUUGGAACUAUAUUCUAAAUAGAUUAUUGAGAAAUAUGAAGUNNNNNNNNNNNNNNNNNNNNNNNNNNNNNNNNNNNNNNNNNNNNNNNNNNNNNNNNNNNNNNNNNNNNNNNNNNNNNNNNNNNNNNNNNNNNNNNNNNNNNNNNNNNNNNNNNNNNNNNNNNNNNNNNNNNNNNNNNNNNNNNNNNNNNNNNNNNNNNNNNNNNNNNNNNNNNNNNNNNNNNNNNNNNNNNNNNNNNNNNNNNNNNNNNNNNNNNNNNNNNNNNNNNNNNNNNNNNNNNNNNNNNNNNNNNNNNNNNNNNNNNNNNNNNNNNNNNNNNNNNNNNNNNNNNNNNNNNNNNNNNNNNNNNNNNNNNNNNNNNNNNNNNNNNNNNNNNNNNNNNNNNNNNNNNNNNNNNNNNNNNNNNNNNNNNNNNNNNNNNNNNNNNNNNNNNNNNNNNNNNNNNNNNNNNNNNNNNNNNNNNNNNNNNNNNNNNNNNNNNNNNNNNNNNNNNNNNNNNNNNNNNNNNNNNNNNNNNNNNNNNNNNNNNNNNNNNNNNNNNCUGCCACUAAGCUUCGUAUUAUCGAUGCUGGAAAUAAUUGUAACAAGAUUUCUCCUGAUCCAUUUGAAAGCAAUAGUCGUUUAUCACCCUAUAUGUGUCCUCCUCCAGUAACCAACAAAACCAACAGCAGUAGAACUCCUUCCUAUAUCAAAAUAUUCCUCCCAAUUGCCAUCUUCUCCACAUUCUCCAUUUUGGGAUGCUUUCUAUUUUCACGGUUUAAACUCAAGAAUAACAGCGUCGGUGUACAACCGACGAAGAAUGGGGAUUUGUGUUCCAUAUGGAACUAUGAUGGAAAGAUAGCAUACAAGGAUAUUGUUACAGCAACAGAGGAUUUCGACUUUCAAUACUGUAAAGGAGUUGGUGGUUACGGAAGUGUUUACAGAGCACAACUACCUUGUGGUAAAGUAGUUGCCUUAAAGAAACUUCAUCGUUUAGAAGCUGAAAAUCCAGCCUUUGACAAGAGCUUCAGGAAUGAGAUCAAGUUUCUAACAGAAAUACGACAUCGAAGCAUCGUAAAGCUUCAUGGGUUUUGUCUACACCGACGGUCCAUGUUUUUGAUCUAUGAGUACAUGGAAAAAGGGAGUUUGUUCUGCAACCUAAGAGAUGAAGUGGAAGCUGUGGAAAUGGAUUGGACAAAAAGAGUGGAGAUCAUCAAAGGCAUAGCGCAUGCUUUGUCUUACUUGCACUAUGAUUGCAGCCCUCCAAUAGUUCAUCGAGACAUAUCAAGUAACAAUGUUCUUUUAAACUCAAGCUUUGAGGCCUUUGUAGCUGACUUUGGGACUGCUAAAAUGUUGGAUCUUGAAUCAUCCAAUCAGACCAUUGUGGGCACAUGUGGUUAUGUAGCUCCAGGUGAUUUUCUUUGCUUUGUUUAUGACAUUUUCUUCGGAAUUUAUAAAAUUAAUUGAACAUAUAAAUGAUUUUCUUUUUUAUCUGGUUUUUCGUACGCAGAACUUGCAUAUACAUUGGUUGUCACCAAAAAAUGUGAUGUCUAUAAUUUUAGAGUGGUGGCACUAGAAACGUUAAUGGGAAAGCAUCCCGAAGAAUUGUUAUCAUGGUUGUCAUCACCAACUUCUUUGGUAAAUAUGAGGCUGAUUGAUGUGCUAGACAACCGUUUACCACUUCCCACAAGUCAAUUAGUUGCACAAAAUCUUGUUCGCAUUGCUACUUUGGCAUCCGCCUGCCUAAAUCUGCAACCUAAGUCUCAACCAACAAUGAAAGAAGUGUGUGAAGAGUUUCUUUGUGGCCAAACAUCCUUGGGAGUUCCCCUUCGGAUGAUCUCUUUGUUACAACUUGUGAACUGUGAAAUGCAUAUUGGAGAUAGAACUGAAACUUGUAAUGUUUAAACUCCAUGCACUUGUUCUUGAUUAGAUAUUGUUUAUCAAACUUUGAUGAUUUGUUUGUAAACCAUAUCCUAUGUUCUAUAUGAUGGAAUGAAUUGCAAUGUUCAAUAAACUUGUUUAUUCGAUUGCUUUACAGAACAUAAAUUCGACAAUUUGAUCCAAAUAUUCAAACACCAUCCUAAUAGCUUCCUUUCAUUUCGUGCUUCUUUCAAGCAUGAAAGACCAACUCAAAGGAUAAAUCAAAUAUAAGUAAAUUAAUUGUGAAUUAAAGCAAAAAAAAAAUCAAAUUUAUAAAUACAAUGUUUCUUUCCUCAAUUUGCAUAAAUGUUAAAUGGUUCAGAAGAAAGCUUUCUAAAAAAGACUACACUAAAAAUGACCAAACCAUUUUGGAAAGAGGGAAAGAUGCUUAGGGGUAAUUUUUGAUAAAGCAAAGGCCACUAAAGACUUCAAUAAUGCUUAGGGGUAAGAUGCUUAGGGGUAAGGUCUUUUAAUUUUUUUAUAUUAUCUAUAAUAAUUCAAUUUGAUUUAGUUUAUUUAUUUUUAUAUUAAUUUUAAGUUUAGGGUUUUGCACUUAUUUUAAUAAAAUGAACUUUAUUUUAUGAUUUUUGGAUAUUAUUUGAUAAACUUUGACUUUUAUAUAAGGCUUAGAAUUUUUAGUCCUCAGAUGGAAGGGUUCAGAAAUAAAGCACAAAGAAGUAUUUAUAAAGUGAAACUAUGAAGAAAACAUAGUAGUGACUAGGGAUAAUAAUAUAAUAUAAUCAUCUCUUCCAACUUCGGCUUCAGUAUAAAUGAUCUUUCAUUCCACCAACAAGCCAUGUCUCUUGGGCUAUAUCAGAUGAAAUUUUGUAGAAAUCAAGGUCGUAUUUCAUCACUACUAAGCUCUCUUUCACCUUCCUGUUUUCUUCUUCCAUUAAAGACCUCAAAUAUUUUCUUUUUUCCUCGUCUUUCCUCUUGCACUCUUAUUUGUCUCCUUGAUCUUCCUCGUCCUCUUCGACCCUGUUAGCUUCUUCUAACCAGCUCUUAGCAGGAGCGGAUCGACAAUGCGUAAGCAAGAGAGCAUUUGUAGGUGGGACUGCAGCAGCUUGAUCAUCAACAUGAUCGAGGGAGCAUUUACCAGCAAUCACAAUUCUUAAUAUCAAUCUGCAAGUCUGAGAAGAUUGCAAAUUUAAAAAACCUAACUAUCUGCUUAAAGGUCAAAAGUCAAAUGCUAAGUUGGUUAUAACAUGUAAUUAAGUAAUGAAACCUGCAUUUAUAAUUUAUUGAAGGAAUCAGGCUGCCACAAUAUCUAUAAAUGAUUAAGUUCAAGCUAUACAAAUUAUAUUAAAAAUAAGAUGAUCAUUACAAAAAAUUAAAAAAGAAGGCCCUUUUCACCGGCAGUAACAUGUAAUUAAGUAAACCAUGUAUUUUUCUGUUUCUUAAUCUUAGCCUGAACUUCCAUUUGCUUGCCAAUAUUUCUGGAAAACGAUUUACUUUUUGGAAAUGAUUUACUUUUUUCGUGUUUGGGUAAAUAUGUGUAAAAUAUUUUCUGUUUUUUGGCAGAUUUCUUGAAAAUAGUUUAGAAAAACUGUUUUAAAUGAAACAUACAUUUGAGAAUUUAAUUGAGUUUAUUUUAUAUCUAUCAAUAAAUUUAUAUUUUACAUUAUUUUUACAUAUAUUUCAACCACAAUAUCAUUUCUCACCUCAUUCUUAUUUAUUUAUUUUCUAAUUUAAUUAUAAGGACAAAAUUCUAUUUUUCAUUGUUUUUUCGUUUUGCACUUUUGAUUUUCAAACUUCCAGUUUUGAAUAUAAAAAAUAAAUAUCCAUUUAAUAAUUAUAUUUGAGUGUGAUUAUACAUGAUUGGUAACUUGUAAAUACACUAUUUUUAGUUUUUUCACUUUACCCAUAAUUAUUUAUUAAAAUAAUUUUAUAAAUAUAUAUUUUUAAUAUAAAAUAUAUUCAUUCGGGAGUCUUACCUUAUAAUAUCCACAUACAUGUUGUAAGGCCCAAAAUUUGCCCGGGCCCAACAGUCCAAUUACAAAAAUAUAAACCCAAUUUAAACCCAAAUAAAUCAAAACCCUAGGGCCCAAAUGGCCCAAAAUCUAAAGCAAUUUUUCAGCUAAAUUUUAGCAGCAAAAAAACCCUAGCCGCAUGACCUGCUACUGCCGUCGCUUCGCCUCCUCGCGCGCCUGCGCCGCUCGCCGCCACCACUCGCCUAUCACUGGCCUUCCACGCCACUGACACCUGCAGAGAAAAAUAAAUGCAAUGCAACAGAAGAAUCCGGCCAAAUAAAGAGCAAAAAGACAAAGAAUAGAAAUCAAUAGUUGUAAUACGGCUAUAAAAGCCAAAAUGUUCUCGUUGUAUUUUUUUUACGCACACUAAGCAAUCAAAAAGCAGAACAGAAAUUUGAAAAGGUUGAUUAAAAUAUCUUACUGUUUCCUGUUUGUUUUUCUCUUUUUUUAUUUUUUUUUAUUUUUUAUUUUUACAAAUCCAUUUGAACGAAAACUAGAAUAGAAAAGCAAGAAAAAGCUUACUUGGGCGUCACGAUCCCAUCGUCGGAGUCCCUUUCUCCGUCGCCGGAGCCGAGUUUUCAGAGAGGGGAUGAGGAAGACUUUCUUUUUCUUUCCCAUUUUUGUGGGCACGGGCUAAAAACCUUUCUCUUUUUCCAUGCGACUCCGGCCACCAUCCUUGGUGGCAUUGCAGUGGAGAUGUGGUGGAUGACGGCGGCAGGGAUUUAAAUAACGGUCGCGGUCGCGUUUUCGGUCGCGUUACGUUAUCGCGGUUGCGGACAUAACGGAUGCUAUUGCGGUCAUCGCGGGUGUCGCGGUCGUGAAUUUUUUUAAAAUUCGCACAAUUUAUUGUAAAACAUUCCAAGCCCUUUCCACAACUUCACUACUCUCCUUACUCUCUUCAGUAACCAAGGGCUUAACUUGACCACUUAGUUCUCCAAUUUUACCGACUAUUGCAUGGCUUCCACGUUGUUCUUUACACUUGUGCACGUGUAAAUCAAACAAACUCCUCUUUGUUCUUCACUUAAAUUUUUUUAUCAACAAAUUCAACGUUUCAUUACUUGAAAACACAAAGGAAAUACACCCCCAAACUACUUUCUUUCAAAAAUAUUUCAGGAGAAAGAAAGUGAGUGCAAGUGUGCAACAGUUGUUCUGGUUUCAACAGCAACAUGGAUAUUGCUUCAGCCUACAAGUAUAUCAGUUCAACUUCAUCACUGUCGCUUCAUGGCUCAUCAUCUUCAUCCUUGCUUCACUUUUCCUUUGGGGAAAUGUUCUCAGGCUUCUCGGAUGUUCAAAGUCUCUCAUUUGUUUUUCAGGUGGUCAUACAAUCGGCAUAUCCCAUUGCCCGGCUGUUUCGCGCCGGUUGUACAAUUCCACUAGCCCCCGCAGAAUCGACCCAACCAUGGACAGCAAGCACGCUGAAAACCUCAAGAUCUUAGCUACUACUCACUCUUGCUCAAAAGAAGGGGUGGGCUGUGAACCUAAGCUAAUUCUUUUCUCUAUUGUACCUGAACGGAAUCCCCAACCUUCAUCUCAUCCUUCAAUCUGAUGCUGCUUUAACCACUGUAACGGAAAAUAACGGGAAUAGCGGCCCGUUAUUCCCGCAAUUGGCCGUUACCCGUUAAAUUGCGGCCGCGAUCCACCGCUAUUUUCAGCAAUAGCGGUUUCGGACGGCGCCGCUACCGCUAUAUAACGGCCUCUAUUCCGAUAUCGGUCCGCUAUUUAAAUCCCUGGACGGCGGGGUUCCAAAGCUAGGCUUGGAGCCCUAGCAGAGAAAGGGGAAGCCCCCUUUCAUUUUAUUUUUCUGUUCUUUGUAACAAAUGAAACAGCAAAAAAAAAACUGUAGCAAUUAUAACAAUCGCAAACGGCGUCGUUUAAAGGGGGAGAGCUGCGCAUUCAUUCCCUAAAGGGGUAAUUUAUGCAAUUGGUCCCUUCUCUUCGACGCCUUAAUGCAAUAUGGUCUUUGGUUUUUUUUUAAAUUCGGUCGCAUAAUUCUUCAUGCAUUUCAUUUUAAUCCAUGCUGGGACUCAAUGCAUGAGGGUUGGGGAUAUUUUCCCAAUCAAUCCCUCAUAUUCAAAGCUUGUCCCACUUGGACCCUUAAUACCUCUUAUUUAUUUAUGGUUUUAACCCACCGAUUCUAGCCCGAUUCCAAUUCCAUCCUUGGUUCUGUAAAUACUUAUUUUUUUUUCUUUUAAAUUGUUUUUGUCUAUUAUCAUUAGUUUUUCUUAUUUGUCUUAAUUUCUUCUUUAUUUGUUUUUUUAUCGUAUAGCUAUAUUUUUCUUUUCUUUUCUUUUGCUAUAUAUAUUAUUUCAUUAAACAGUUUUAUUAUCAUUGUUUUUUUUUUGUUUUUUUUACUUUACGUUUUAUUUAUAUUAAACAUUUUUGUUUAUAUAUAACGUUUUAAGUUUCCUUUCCUAUAUUACAUUCCAAGCCUUUUAUAUACAAUACUAACUUGCUUUUAUAAAUUGUUUUUUUUUUAUUUAUGAUAAGAUGUAUUAUAUAUGUCAAAUCUUAUAAACUGCUUUCUACUAUCUCCUUUUAAAUUGCCAUUUUUAUCUUUAUUUUGAACUCAUUUUAUGUAUUAUUUAGUUAAAGUUGUUUUAUUACUUAAAAUUGUUUUAUAUAUCUUUUAAACGCAAGUUAUUUAUUAAAAAAUGUUUUAUUUGUUUUUUUCCGUUUCAAAGAUUAUUUCCUUCACAUUACUUAUCUUAUACUUUUAUAUAUAUACAUUAGUUGUCAUAUAUAUAUAUAUAUAUAUCUUUUUUUGUAUAUUAUUAACCUUAAAUUUCUUUGUUUGCAUUAUCUAUUUUAAACUCAUCAUUAUUAUUUUAAAUAUAUUUUACAUUUUAUUUGACUUUAAUUUGCUUUAUACCUUCUAAAUUAUUGCUUGAUUUAUUGGUCUUUAUUUAUCGAUGUUUGAAUUUGAAUGAUGAAUGUUGUGAGAUUAUUGCCUUUGUGUAUAAUUUAAUUCGCUUAUUCGUUUUCAUUGUAUUGGUGUUCACUUGCAUGAUAUUGUAUUCGUGUAUUAUUGUCCCAAGCGCGCUACCAUAUUUUAUUUCAUGUCAUUGCAUCGUGGAUGUCUCAACGUUUUCAUUCGAUAUAAUCCAUUUUGUUUUACUCCCAAACAAAAUAAAUGCACAUCUCUUAGUGUUGUACUCGCGACUAUUCGAAAAGAUUUUCUAAAUAAGGCAAUAUUUCGCGUUUGGAAAUUCGAGAAAACGUGCCCUAACGUGCUGAGUUUCGAUUUCUCGUUCGACCAAAUAGCCAAAUAUCCUUUUAAGAUUUUCUAAAUAAGGCAAUGUUUUACGUUUAGAAAUUCGAGAAAAUGUGCCCUAACGCGCUGGGUUUCGAUUUUUCGUUUGACCAAAUAGCUAAAAUAUCCUUUUAAAAUUUCAAAAUAAAGUAAUAUUUCGCGUUUGGAAAUUCGAGAAAACGUGCCCUAACGUGCUGGGUCUCGAUUUCUCGUUGAACCAAAUAGCCAAAUAUCCUCCUCUUAAAUCUCAAUCCAUGUCGUUUGAGUUUUUUAGGAUCAUACUCUACAUCUCUUUAAAGUUUUCAAUUUUCAACACUAAGACACUAAGUAAUCAAUUAGGUACCAAUUUUGAGCAUAUCGAGGGUGCAAAUCCUUCCUCGUGCAUAACCGACUCCCGAACCCAUUUUUCUGAAUUUCGUAAACCAAAAUCGUUGUUUUAAUAAAAAUUAAAUCGUUUAUUAAAAACAACCACUCUUCGAGGUGACCCAAUCACACCUCAUCGAAAAAAGAUUGGUGGCGACUCCCGUUUUCGUUUUUAUUUUCAAAAAAAUGGUGUCAACACAUGUUAUGGCUUAGGUUUGGAUAAUAUUAGACUUUGGAUUAACAGGAACGAUAGAAGAAAUUGAUGUUAAGUUGCACCAUAGAAACUUUUAUAUUCUCCUCCAAUGUAAACAAACCAAAAACUACUUUUCUAUUUAUCAACCACUGCACAAGUAGUGUGUAUUUCUUUUGUUAUACAUAUAAGCACAACUCCGCAUAUAUGAAUUAUCUACCAAAUACUCACGAAAGGCUUUUAAAAAAAUAUUAGUUAGUAAAGCCAUCCAAGAGGGAAUAUGCUACUAACGUGAAACGGGCAAAAUUACAUAGUAAAUAUGUCUUCAUGAGACUGCUGUAUUUCUUUAAGAACCAAAAAAACUAUAAGUGAAGGCAAAAUAGUUUAUUGUUUCAACUCUCUAUCCCCAUGCCUUAUUGUGCAAUGAAUAAAGUACAUCAAGCAGGGAUUUAUCCCUCGCCAUAAAUAUAUCGCACUGGUCUUUGCUUUAUACAAAUUUCUUGAAACACAACUUUGGAAUUUUAAUAUUUGGAACUCCUAAGCUACCUGAAAUAACUGCAAGUUACCAUGACUAAAGUGCAUACAUACAUAAAUGAAAGUUUCUCAAGCAAUGAUAAGAUAAUUAAUUGCUAAAAAUCUUUAUUAAUUUUGUGGAGAGACAAUCAGACAAGUCAUGUCAAAUUAAUGAUGGGACAAAAAGGUUUUCUGGAUUUUUAAAAGCUAUGAAUGCAUCUAUCAGGCUCAAGCAUUUCCAACAUCUAACUUAUGGCUUACAUCUCAAAGCAAAGAAUGCAAAGCAUCAGGCUUAAAGAUCAUAAUAUGCACAAAAAAUGUAGUGGCCAUGCAAGGUCUGCAUCAUGUCAUGCAUGCAUAGAUACAUUACAUUACUAUAAGCAAAUUUAUAGCUUUAUUGGUCUAUAACACGGUAGCAUAAUUAGAAACUAUCAAACAUGUCGGAGUGUACAUGUCUGAAUCGAAGUACAAAGGCAAAAAUAUACCGGUUUCUUCUCACUGCAGUAUAGUAUAAACAAACUUCUAUUGCCUGCAAAGGAUGGAAGAUGCUAACUCAAGCCUUACAACAGUGCAUACAUCACAAGAUGCAUGCGAGGCAAUGGCGCUUCAAGAGACAUGAAACUUUACACAGUUAGAAUCUUCACAUUUACCCCAAAAGUUCAAACUUCAAACAAUAGAAAAUGGUAGACGAACUAGCUUUUUAUAGUGUCAAACAUGCUGCAUUACAACAAAAUAUUCUUAUUGUUCUUCUCCGGUAAAACAAAAGGUUAACAUUUAGAGUUUAAAACAAACCGAAAAUGAAAAAAUAAUUGGAAACAGACUAUUAAACAAAUGAAAAUAUGAAAAAUAAUUUCCGAUAUAUAUAUGCUAAAUAAAAACCCAAAAUGGCAAUCGGUCUUGAACUCCAAUCUCUUAACAAUUCAAGAAACAAAUUCCAAUUCCAAAAAAUCCUAGUCUUUUAACAAAACAAAAACCAAAUAUACCAAAUACCCUUUCCCUUACACACAAAAGCUAAUUCAAGAGAUUACCAAAAAAAAAGGCUAAUUCAAGAACCAAGUUUGAAAAACAACUAAAACCCCCAAUUAAAAUCUUGGUCAGCUUACCUUGAAAAAUCACAUAGAAAGAGAAAAAAGAGAAACUCACAUGUGGCCAUGGAGAAAGCAACGAAUUUACAGAGUAACCUACAAUAACUUUGAAGAACAAAAAUAAUCAGGGAAAUAGCCAAAGAGAAAAGCAACAAGUUAAACCCCAUGAAGGAAAUUACAACUGCUCAUUGGAAAGCUAGAUUUUUGAGUUUCUUCAAAAUGCAGACUUGGUAAGGACGACGAGAUAACAAGACUCGGAUUCGAAGGUGAGGCCAACGAAUAGAGAUGAGGAGGAGAGGCAGAGGCUAAUGGACAAAGAGGAAGGAAAACGACUGUUGUGAUGAGAGUGGAGGACAAUGGAAAAUGUCUUACCGAAAUAAAAUCGGUAAGACCUUUUCCAUAAAAAGCCAUUUCAUUUACCCUUGGUUUAGAAAAUGUUAUAAAAAGCCAUUUCAUUUACCCUUGGUUUAGAAAAUGUUCUGCUGAAGUAAUUUAUUUUCCAUCAAAAAAACACAGUAAAAUACAGAAAAUAUUUUAUGGAAAAUAUUUUACUGGCAAACAAACAGAGCCUAAGUACUGCAAAUGACAUAAUAUCACCCAUAUCAACAAUGUAAACAGACAGACAUAUUAAAAUUUAAAUUUAAAUCCAUAAAAAUUUAUGUACUUAUGUUCAUGCAUUUAUACAAACACAAGAAAGAUAUAUAAAUUUAGAAGAACAAACACAAUGUCAAAUCAAUAUAGUUCCUUCCUUUAAUACAAACAUCGUGUGACAUCAACCAACAUAAAGAAGAUAACAAAAAGUAUGCCCUAGUUUCAACACUCUUUUAAGGCAAUUACUAAAAGUUGUUUUCAACCAAGUUAAGAAGCAUAUCAAGAAAUCAAGUUAAGGAGGACUUCUAAUGAAAGUUGACAAGAAAUUUUCCAGAGAUGGAUGUACUAUCCACGAUCCGUUCUAACAAUUUGUUAUUUAGUCUUACCUUCUAUUAUAAGAAUGAGUAGCCUUUGUUUCUGACAAUUUUUGAUUGGUUCCAGUAUUCACUAGACCUGUCCAUGGGUCGGGCGGCUCGGCUCGGCCCGACGGCCCGCCCGAAAUAUGGGAGGGUUCGGGUAAAAAUAUAGGCCCGAAAUAUGGGCUUGGGUAAAAAAAUGAGGCCCGUUUAAAAAAUGGGCCGGGCUCGGGCUCAACUUUUUUGGCCCGAGCUCGGCCCGGCCCGGCCCGAAUAUAAUAAAUAUAUAUUUUUAUUUUUAUUUUUUAAUUUUAAAAUACUUUAAAAAUAUUUUUUAUUUUUUAUUUUUAAAAUAUUUUUUGUGUUUAUUAAAAACCGGGUCGGGCCAGGCCGGGCUUAUUAUUUUUUCCCGGGCCGGGCCUGGGCAAAAUUUUAGGCCUAUAUUUCAGGCCGGGCCGGGCCCGGGCCUAAGAGUCGGGCCAAAAUUUUUUUCCCGGGCCCAGCCCGGCCCAUGAACAGGUCUAAUAUUCACUAAUAAGAAAGAUUUUCAUUUUCUGAAUACGUAUACAACCUGAAUCCAUUCUAUAUCAACAACAAUAGUACACAUGAUAGAGUGAUAGAUUACAAGUUUCCAUACAAGAUUUCACACAUACAAUAAAAGAAAAAUAAGUGAAAUAAUUCCAUCUAAAAUGAAAUUAAAGAAAGCCAAAACUAAUGCAGUAGAACAGAUAAUUGAGAAUUUAGAAUUUUCUUAUAUUAGUUCCAUCUGUUUAAAAAAAAAAAAGAUUGCAAGGUAAAUCAAUAGUAAGAAAGAAAAAUAUGGAAUACCCAUAAAGGGAUUGCGAACAAACAAGCCGAUUUAGAUAAAAAAAAUCAGAUUGAGAAACAAUUAUUCAAGAACCGUGAAAGAACUGGAAAAUAUAAUGGUUAGGAGCAAAAACGAUUACCCUCUUUUUAUUUGUCGACAACCACUUGAUUUUAAGUUUUUGAACAUAAAUUUGUCAACAUAGAAGACAUACUUGGACCCUCCAUUGAAUCCAUCUUUUGUUUUUCUAUGUUGAAUAAAAAAUUCAAUCGAAACACUCAAUCUGAUUUCUACUAUUUUGAUUUAAUACAGAUCAUAAUAAUUUUUCAGUCAAAUGAAAAAGAAAACUAUUUACCUAUUUUAUGGAAACUUGUCCUUUUUUUUGUAUAAUUAUAGGUGUUUCAUCUAUUUUAUGGUCCUUACAGUGCUGACACGACCAUUAACAACAUUAACAUGGCGCUAUAUGUCAGCGAUAGUUAGCUACAAUGUUAGCAAAAAUAAAAAAAUUAAAAAUUAAAAGGAAUAUUUAAAUUUAUUUUACUAAUGAACCUAAACAAAUGGUUGUCCAAGUUCAUUCGUUUCAAAACUUAAAUUUUUUUAAAUUUAAAAAAAAUUAAGUUUUUUUAUAAAUGUGUAAAACACUAUUAAAAUUUAAUAAAAAUAUUUAAAACUUAAGUCUCUAAUGAAUAUGUCCAAAUUCAUUCAUGAUUAGUUUCAAAUAUACUAAAAUUAUUUUUCUUUAAAAUUUGAUAUGUGUGUCAAUAUUUUUCUACUGCUACCUCGUAGGAUGAAUUAAAAUAUAUAUAUAUAUCAAUUUAAAUAAUUUAAAUUUUAUUAAUCAUACAUCUAAAGAUUUUUUAAAUGACCAAUUAAAACAGUGUAUCUAUUAUUUCAUUAUAUGUGUAGCCUAAAAGGUUUAAAAAUUUGGAUAUAUUCAUACAUUUAAAACAACUUUACACAAACAAUUAAUAUUAUUUAUUUUUUUUAUUUUCUGAAAUAUAUUUUUUUAAUUUUUAUACAUUCUAAAAUGUACCAAUGGAAUUAGAACAUUGAUACACGUAUCAAUUUUUUUAAAGAAGAUUAAUUUUUAAUAUUUUUUAAACUUUGUACAAUUUAGAAAAACUUGAAUGAAUUUAGACAUAGACUUAACUUGUAAAUGGUUUUUAUUAAUUUUUAAUUUUUAAUUUUUUAAAUUUAUUUAAUAUUUUAUAUAUUUUAAUAAUAUUUUAAAAUUUUAUAAAAUUUUAAAAAAUAUAUAUAUUAUUUUUUAAAAAUAUUAUUUUUAAUUUUAAAAAUUUUUAAGCUUCGAAACAAAUGAACUUGGUACUGCGACAUCAACAACUAUUCCUUUUAAAAAGUUUAAAUAUUGCUUUUAAUUUUUUAUUUUUGUUGACAUGACAGUUGACGUGGUAUUGCCACAUAAGCAACUAUCGCUAACAUGAAGCACCACAUUAGCGUUGUUAAUGGCCACAUCAACAUUGUAAAGGUCAAUAUUAGUCAAAGGGCAUAUUUGGCCAAUUUUGUUAGUUCAUGGGCUCAAUUGGGUGCAAAAAGUUUGCAGGGGCUUAAUUGAUUUUUUUGAAAAAGUUUGAGGACCAAAAAUACCAUUAAACCCUUCUUUAACUAUUGAUAUUUCUUUUUCUAAGUAUCGAUCAACAUUAGUUAAAGGGCUUAUUUUGUCAGUUUUGUUAGUUUAAGGGCUCAGUUGGGUGCAAAAAGUUCGCAGGGGCUUAAUUGAUUUUUUCGAAAAAGUUCGACAAUCAAAAAUACCUUUAAGCCCUACUGUAACUAUUAAUAUGUCUUUUUUAAUUAAUUUUGCAUCCAUGCAUAGUAUAGGCACACGAUGUACGGGGUAUUUCCACGUAUACAUGUAAAGUGUAUUUUGAUGCCACGGCGGAAUUAGAUGAAAAUGUGAUUAUUAAGGUAGUAAUGUCACCUUCUAGUAAUUGUAAAGAAUUAUAAUUUUCUAGAUGUAUUUGGCUAGUAGAGUGUAAUUAUAUUGUAAUUCUUUAUGCCUUGUUUAGUAAUAUAAAUUGUAAUUACACAUUUACAAAUUUUAAUUUGUUUAAAAAGUAUUAAUUACUAUAAAUAGUUAUUAGUAAUACCUAAGAAAAAAAUUUUAAACAAGUGACAUAAAUUAAAAUCAAAUCAUGUUAUGUUAGUCCAAGAAAGUAACCGACAACACGAUUGUCCGAUAAAAAAGAACAAGAAAACUAAACAUCUAUGCAACUUUAUUAUUGCUUUAGCAUUCCAUGUUUGUUGGGUUAUUCCUUUUCUAACAUUUAACAUAUACUUCUUACCAUCAUAUGUUUGUUCUUGACCAAUUUCUUCAUUGUUGAUACAAGGUUCAACAAUGGAGGGAGUAAGGAGGAGGUAAGGUGGAGUGAGUGGUGGAAAAGUAUUUAUAAGAGAGGUCCUCUUGUCCAUUAGCAUGACAUGGCAGGAUAAAUGCUCAAUCCCACCAAAUGUGUAAAGGAUAUUCAUGAACAUAAAGGAUAUUCAUGAUGGGGGCCCAUUAUGUUAUUCAUUCCAUCAGUACAAGGUUAAUACGCCCAUGCAAGUCCUAAUGGCCUCAAGGAUGUGUUCACACCAAAAAAAAGGGGUGUUAGCCUUUCUAAAGGGUUGGUGCUCCUUUGAUCUUAGUGGAUGGUUCGGCGAGGCAUCUUUUUAGGCAGACUCAAUGAGAGGGUUAAUGUUGUCUAUACAAUUGACACGUGUCCAUGUGGCGGGGGUAUAACAUUCAUCAUCUAAAUCAAAAUCUGAAUAUGCAUCAUUAAGAUUAUCCAGAUCAUUUUUUUUAUCUAUAUCAUUAAGAUUAUCAAGAUCUAUUUUCUUUUUCAUGUACUAAUUAAAAGUAUUGAUAAUUCCAAUUCCACCUAUAAAUGGAAUUGUGAAGUAUACAACAAGUUAGAACGAUUGAACAUUGUUUUUUAGACUAUAUUGAUGUGGUUUGUUAAUUUGAGAAAUAUUUUUUUAGAACAACAAAUAUCCUCUCAACCACAUUUCAAAGCUUUGAAUAAAGAGUUUGCGAGCUUUGUUUGGUACUUGUGUCUAGCUCUGUUCUUUCAAAUGAUAUCGUACCCCGUAAUAUAUUGCAAGAAAACCUUUUGCAUUUGCAUAAUCAACAUCUACCACAUAAUAUUUCCUAAAAACAUGUAACAAUUUAAAUAAUUUGUGAGAAAAAUAAAAUAACAGCAAGGUGAUGAUAAUAUUAAUGUAUUUAUAAAAUACAAUUUUGAUCUAUUUUCUCUCCCAAACAUCAUUCUUAGCAUUCUAGUAUUUGAGGCACAAAUCAACUUUAUAAUCCUACAAUUAUAAUAGUUUUUAUAAAUCUAAUUUGCAGUUUACUAUGUGUUCAAUAAUAAACCACCUUUUUAUAAUAUUUCGAUUGCUAUUAUUUCAUGCAAAUUAGAUAAAAGAAAUAAUAUAAAUUUUAUAAUAUAACAUUUAUAAACAAUGUUUUUAUAAUGUGUUGAAUAGCUUUUAUAAUAUAACAUUGAAAUUUUCAAAAUCAUGCACUUUUGGGUCCGAAUUAAACUGAUUUUUUUUUUUAAUUUCAAAACAAUUGCAAAGAAAAUUCAUGAAAUUAAGUUGUUUUCAAAUAAUUAAUUCACAUUGGAAUUUUCAAAUAAGAUGUCACAUUAAUAAUAUUUCAAUCAUUAAAAUAUUAUAUAACACAUUUUGCCAUACAAGAAAAUAUGAAAAUACUAAAACUUAAUCCAGUUUAAUCUGCUCAAGGAAAUGACUCUAUCACUGAGCUAAUUCAAAUAAGCCUCUGAAAUUAGCUUAACUUCAUAAAAUUUCUUUGCAAUUUUUUGGAUAUAAAUAUAUAUAUAUAUAUAUAAAAGAAAAAGAAAACAAGUUGAUUGGAUCAUAUUAUUUUCCGUGAGAAAUUAAAAUACCAGCCAACAUGCAUGCAUUUAUUUUGUAGAAAAUUAAAACCAUAAAAAAAACAAAAAGCAAAGAUUCAACCCUUUUAUUAUAGCAUUUGUUAGGGGUGAGCAAAACUCAUUCGAUUCGAAAAAAUUAAAAAAUAUUCAAAUUUCAAGUUAAUCGAAUAAAGUGUUAAUUAAGAUAUUACAUUAAUAAUAUUUCAAUAAUUAAAAUAUUAUAUAAGACGUUUUUCCUUAUACAAGAAAAUAUGAAAAUACUAAAACUUAAUCCAGUUUAAUCAUCCUAAAGUUUCUAAUUUUGUUUAAAAGAAUUUUCAAAUAUAUAUGAUUUUAAAUUUAUAUGUUCUAACAUGAAAUUCAUUAUAUUGUAGCAAGAUUUUAAUGUAAUAUGUUUAAUUUUUUAAUUUAACUCAAACAAUUUCACUCGAUUCGGCUCGGCUCGAAUUUCAUUUCACUCGACUCAAUUUGGAAAAAGUUCCAAAUUGAGUUAAGAUGAUUAAAUGAGACUCGUCAACUCGAUUAACUCGAAAUUAUUUUACUCGAUUUGAUCCAACACUCACCCCUAGCAAUUGCAUCAUUGAUACUUACAAAACAUAAAAAUGUAUACCCAUCUUUUCUAAUCAAUAUGCAGGCACGAAAUGGAAAUUUCCAUGAAAAAAAUGUAUCGCGUAUGAAAAAGUAAGUUCCAUGACAUCGGCUGAAGCAAUAACAACAAUUGCAAAAAGACAUUGACUCCUAUAGAAAUCCAUCAGUUUGGAAACUAUAACGUAUUUGCUACGACUGGGGGUUUUUUGGUGUGUCACCCGUUAGGCUUUCAAUUAUGUUGGUAAUAAAUAUAAUCUAUUUCAAUUAAAAAAAUAGUAGAAUUUAGUAAUUUAUUAUGAACCCAAAUUAUUGGCAAAGUUAAAAUUAAUUUUUUUUGGACAAAAAUUUUUGGUGUGUAGUAUUUAUGUGUAAUCCAAUCUUCUCAUCAUAUAUUCCGAAUAAGCUAAAAGGUAUGGCAUGGUGUCUACCUUUGCUCAUCCAUGUCAGACUUGCAACUCCUUGUAUUCACCUUGAUUGUCGGCCUUCACUAAGGACUUAUAGUUAUACAAGUCAAGAGCAAAAAGAUAUGUCCCCUAAUAUCACUUUGGGUGAUGAGUCCUUUCUGAACCAUUCCAUCACCUUCAUAUGUCAUACCAUACCUAAAACAUUCUACUUUCAACAUCUAUCAAUGCGAAUCCAUUUGGUGAUGAAUCAAAGUAUGACGGUCAACAUACAAGUUUGUGUCUUUAAGUCUAAGGAUCAUUUACACUACCAAUACAUGGGAGUAUUUCUAUAAACAUUUGAGUGAAAUACCAAAUGGAACUCUCAUAAUAGGCCAAGUUAUAUUUUAUAAUUUUUUCGAACUUUUUAAAAUCAUUAAUAUUUUAUUUUUUAUAUUUGUAAUACAAUAAUUUUUAUAAUUUUUUUAUAACUUUUACAUUUUUAAAAAUAUUUUAAUAACUUGAACAUCAAUAUAUACUUCCACACGGCAUGUCACAUGUCAACUUGCCAUAGCUUCCGUCAACUAAUCAACAACCAAUAUUGAUAAAAUCAGUCAACAACAAUUUUCGUUAUUGAAAAGAGCCAAUUGAUUUUUUUCCAUUGAAUCCUCAAUUGGGUCUGUUUUUCUAUUAUGAGCUUAAUUAAUUUUUUAACUUUUUAUUAAGUUGUUUUUCCUUUAACCUUAUAUUAAUAUUCAUUACUUUAUUAAAAAAACUUACUUUUAGGUAAUUUUUCCAACCAAAAUGAUAUCAAAUUAACUCGUAACAUAAAUUCAAUAAAAUAUAUUAUAUAAACAUAUACAUAAAUUCAUUAAAACCUGUCAAUAGUGAAAACACCAUUAAUUUGUCUGAAGUCUCUACUUUUGGGAUCUUAAUGGGGGAGAAAAUUUUUAGAUAGAAACUGAAUACGAUAUAUAAAGUAAAUGCCACGUUAAAAGCUCAGUUCUUUGGAAAAUAAAUUCCAUCACGACUGAACCAAAAAUUCCCUUGUGUCAUAAUCUUUUGUGGAAAAUUAGGCACAUAAUGGAAAAGUAUAUCCACAAAAUGAUAGAAAAAGGCUUUGGGCCACAAUUAAAUCAACAUCUUUAAAUUGUUAAAUCAAAUUAAAGAUGGAAUCGUCGUUGUCAUGGGAUCCACACGGGGUGUACGUAUAAUGAAUUUCCCAUGUUUUUUGCAUGAAACUUUUGAUUCAAUGAGAAAGGAAAUAUUUUCAAAAUCAUGCAGCUUCGGAUUCUAAUUAAGCUUAUUUUUUUCCAAGCAAUUGCAAAGAUUUGUUUCGACAACAAAUAAUAAUCGGAUAAAAGUGUAAUUAUUAAAUAGUAAUUACAAAAGAUUUAUAAUUACAAAAUUAGAUCGUAAUUUUCUAUAUCAUAUUUCGUAGUACAAAUUGUAAAUUAUAAUUUAUAAUUACAUAGGUACUUAAUAUAUUUUAAAAAAAAUAUUAAUUACUAUAAUAAAUAAUCAGUAAAAUUAAAAAAUUUCUAAACAAGUAACAAAAAUUAAAAUAAAAUCAUCAUAUUUAAUAUGUUAGUCCAAGAAAAUAAUCGAUAAUACGAUUACUAAUAAAAAUAACAAGAAAAAUGAUUUAUAAAUAAGUAUAUUAUUUUCUAUAACAUAUAGUAUGGACACAUAAGUAAGUUAUAUUUAAAUUUUUUGACCAUAACUUUUUUAUAAAUAAGUAUGUAGUACACUUUUUAUAAAACAUAAAUUAUUUUUAUAAUAUACUUUUGGCUAUAACUUUAGAAACUUUUUAGGAUUUAAAUAAUAUAAUUCUUGUCAUAAUUUUAUAAAAUAUUAAAAAUAUAUAAUGUAAUUUUUUAGGACUUAUAAUAUGAUUUUAGAAAUUUUUAUUCAUAAUCAUCCCAAACACGCAUGCGUAUUUAUGUUUAUAAAAUAAUUUUUUUAACUUAAAUUUGUAAAAAAAAUAUUUUUUUAAAGUUAAAUUAUGUAUGAAUUUUCAGUGAGAAAUUAAAUAUCGGGAAACAUGCGUUGAUGAAAAUUAAAAUCAGGAGGUAUCAUAAUUAUCAAGAAAUAUGGACCAUAGGAAGAGCAAAGAUUCAAUCCUAUAAUAUAGUAUUCGCAUUAUUGAUACUAACAACAUAGAAAUUUCCAUGAAAAAGAAAGCAUUGCGCAUGAUGAAUUAAGUUCCAUGACAAGGACUGAAGCAAUGACGACAACUGGCCCCUACAACUAUUGCAACAAGACCUUGAAUCCUUUGAUGAGUUCCUUUAAAUUCCUCAGUUUGGAAACCAUAACAUAUAUGCUACCACUAAAUCCUUACCAGAUUAAACAAUGGCCUCAUCCUUAACCAUUUCUGUUAUUCCAGGGGUACUGUGGGCUACCAUCCUUUCUUUUGCUACAACUGUGACAGCAGCAUAUCCAUCGCCAUUGGAGUCCGAAGCCAUAGCUCUGCUAGAAAGCAGGUGGUGGAGUAACCAUAGCAGCAAUACUUCACAAUGUUGCCAGUGGCCUGGUAUAACCUGCAACACUGCUGAAAGCAUCACCCAAAUUAACUUAUCUGAUGCGCCCAACAUUGAGGUUGGAGCUAGAUUUGGGAAACUGAAUUUCUCUUCAUUUCCAAAUCUUGUCCUUCUUAAUCUUAGUGAUCAUCAACUUAGAGGAAAAAUCCCGCAUCAGAUAGGUGAUCUAUCAGCAUUGAAGUACCUUGACUUGUCUUAUUGUGGUUUAUCUGGUGAGUUACCUCCUUCUCUAGGGAAGCUGACCCAAUUAGAAUUCCUCGACAUUUCCUAUAAUGAUAAUAUUAAUGGUUCCAUCCCUCCACAAUUGGGGAAUCUAGAGAACCUUGUGACUUUAAACUUAAGUCAAUGUGGAAUUGUUGGUCCAAUCCCUUCUGCUUUGGGUCAAUUAACCAGUCUCCAAUCUCUGAUCCUUUGGGGGAACCAAAUCAAUGGAUCUAUCCCAUUAGAAAUUGGAUAUUUGAGAAAUUUGACUUAUUUGAGUCUCUCCAACAAUAGAAUUGUUGGUCCAAUCCCUUCUGCUUUGGGUCAAUUAACCAGUCUCCAAUCUCUGAUCCUUUGGGGGAACCAAAUCAAUGGAUCUAUCCCAUUCGAAAUUGGAUAUUUGAGAAAUUUGACUUAUUUGAGUCUCUCCAAGAAUAGAAUUGUUGGUCGAAUCCCUUCUGCUUUGGGUCAAUUAACCAGUCUCCAAUCUCUGAUCCUUUCGGGGAACCAAAUCAAUGGAUCUAUCCCAUUAGAAAUUGGAUAUUUGAGAAAUUUGACUGAUUUGAGUCUCUCCAGCAAUGGAAUUGUUGGUCCAAUCCCUUCUGCUUUGGGUCAAUUAACCAGUCUCCAAUAUCUGCUCCUUUCGGGGAACCAAAUCAAUGGAUCUAUCCCAUUAGAAAUUGGAUAUUUGAGAAAUUUGACUUAUUUGAGUCUCUACAACAAUAGACUUGUCGAUUCAAUACCCAUUACUCUGUACCAAUUAACCAAUUUGGAAAUUUUGGACGUUGAUAAUAACCAACUUCAAGGUUCUAUUCCCCAAGAAAUUUGUAAUCUAGCAAAUUUAACUUCAUUGUACCUCUCCCAAAACAAAUUGACUGGUUCAAUCCCUUCUUGUGUUGGUAGUUUAUCAAAGAUGCUGUACUUAAGCCUUGGUUCUAAUCUAUUAAAAGGUCCUAUUCCCCAAGAAAUUUGUAAUCUAGCAAAUUUGACUUCAUUGUACCUCUCCCAAAACAAAUUGACUGGUUCAAUCCCUUCUUGUAUUGGUAGUUUAUCAAAGAUGCUGGACUUAAGCCUUGGUUCUAAUCUAUUAAAAGGUUCUAUCCCAAAAGAAAUUGGCAAGCUUUUUGAUCUAUCAUAUCUAAACCUUAG
rnacentral:lncRNA from 1 species